CCACCCCCCCUCCCCCCGCCAUAUAUAACCGAGGGGGAGGAAAGAGGGGGAGAGGGAAGGAAGUGGGAAUCUUAAUCCACACUUUCCUUUCCCUUCUCCUCUUUCCUUCUCCUCCUUAGGCCGGCCCAUAUGGAGGCGCACCAGCCCCUUGUGGCUGGUGUGUUUCCCCUCUUCGCCCAUAAGGCCCAUAUCUUUUGUCGGGGGUGCCCGGAACCCCUUUCGGUGACCCGAUAUGUAUCUGAUACCCCCCGAAACACUUUCGAUGUCCGAAUACCCUCGUCCUAUAUAUCAAUCUUUACCUCUCGACCAUUUUGAUACUCCUCAUCCGGGACUCCAAACAACAUUCGGUCACCAAAUCACAUAACUCAUAUAAUAUUAUAUCGUCAUCGAACGUUAAGUGUGUGGACCCUGCGGGUUCGAGAACUAUGUAGACUUGACCGAGACACCUCUCCGGUAAAUAACCAAUAGCGGAACCUAUAUGCCCGUAUUGGCUCCUUCAUAUUCUACGAAGAUCUUUAUCGGUCGAACUAUUAUGACAACAUAUGUAAUUCCCUUUGUCCAUCGGUAUGUUACUUGCCCGAGAUUCGAUCGUCGGUAUCUUCAUACCUAGUUCAAUCUCGUUACCGGCAAGUUUAUUUACUCGUUCCGUAAUACAUCACCUCAUGACUAACUCCUUAGCCGUUUGCUUGCAAGCUUAUGAUGUGUAUUACCGAGAGGGCCCAGAGAUACCUCUCCGAUACUCAGAGUGACAAAUCCUAAUCUCGAUCUAUGCCAACUCAACAAACACCUUCGGAGAUACCUGAGCAUCUUUAUGAUCACUCAGUUGUGUUGUGACGUUUAAUAGCACACAAGGUAUUCCUCUGGUAUCCAGGAGUUGCAUAAUCUCAUAGUCGAUGGAAUAAGUAUUUGACAUGAAGAAAGCAGUAGCAAUAAAUUGAACAAUCAUUAUGCUAAGCUAACGGAUGGGUCUUGUCCAUCACAUCAUUCUCCUAAUGAUGUGAUCCCGUUAUCAAAUGACAACUCAUGUCCAUGGUUAGAAAACCUUAACCAUCUUUGAUCAACGAGCUAGUCUAGUAGAGGCUUACUAGGGACACAGUGUUUGUUUAUGUAUUCAUACAUGUAUUAAGGUUUUCGAUCAAUACAAAUAUAGCAUGAAUAAUAAACCUUUAUCAUGAAUAAGGAAAUAUAAAAAUAACAACUUUAUUAUUGCCUUUAUGGCAUAUUUCCUUCACUUUAUUCGGUUGUUUCUUUGCAUAUAAAGCGAAGCGAAAGCCUCUUUUGAGGUCGGGAGAGCCAACAUGAUUCUUUUGAGAUGGUUUACACCCUAAGCAGCCUCUGAUACACUUCUCUCAUCUAGAAACAGAGGGAUGACACACUUUGCUUCUUCUUUUUAUGAAAAACUUCCAAUCUAUUCAUCUUUGAUCAUGACAGUACAAAGAACAAUAAAGGUAAUAAAAAUUACAACGAUGUGCAUGAACCACUUAGAGCAUCUCCAAUAAAUGCGCUAUAUAAGCCGCGCGUUGAAAAAGAUGCCUAUAUAGAGUGUGCGACAAAAAUAACGCUCCAACAGAAGCUGUAAAAUAGAGCACGCAUAAAGAUGAAGCUGUAAAUUUAGUGAACACGGGCUGCGGGGCUGCAAAUUUGGGACGCCGGCUUGUGCGCGCGGGCUGCUGCAUGUGGGGCCACCGGGUUGGGCGUCGUGUUUUUGUGCGUCUGUUAAACCUCCCGCGCGCAAAAACACUAUUUCAGCUUUGCAAAACCGUUUUAGCGCGCCGCGCUACCGCGCGUCUGUUGGAGAUGCUCUUAGCAACCACUACAAACACUGGAUUUGGUGCAUAAUUUUAUUCCCAAUCGCUGCACGCGAUGGCUACAGCUUACAUAACCCCCGCUUAUUAAGUGCAUGCAGCUCAGAUAUCACGUCUCACUUGCAUCUCAACACCAAAGGCAUGAAGCACGUCGGACAUGUGCAAGGAGCCUCUACGUCAAGCGUGCACGACGAUCUUGGUGUAUUUCGUCAUAUCGGUGGUGGCGCGGCCGCCGGCGCCGUCCAGCGGGAAGUAGAAGGGGUAGAUCUCGUAGCGCACCCUGCAGCUGCUGUAGUUGAUCUGGCAGCCCUGCUGCGCGCCGCAGUAGUCGCCGAACUUGGACAGCGCCACCGAGACGCACUGCGCGCACACCAGCGGCGCGAGGUCCCGCGUGCACUGCGCCAGGCCGUAGAUGGUGACGAACGGCGUGUACUGGUCCUUGGACCUGCCGAGCCCCGCGCGGCCCGACGCCGACGCCUGCGCCGUCGCCUUGUUCAUCACCUUCCCCACCGCCUUCUUGAACGGCUUGGGGUCGUCCGCCGCCUGCACGUUCACCAAGAUCACGCCGGCGCCCGUGUCCGACUGCCCGGCGAAGUCUGUGUCGUCGUACCGCAUGAAGCAGAAGUCGUACCUGCACGCGCGUACGUACAGGCCAGCCAAGCUUAGCCAGAUGAUUAAGCAUGUAUAUCCAUCGAUCGUUCUAAACUUGUAAGAGGAUGAUUAUAGGAAGUGGUACCAUAUUCUGGCGUCGGAUAGGUAGCUGCAGGCAGUGGGGAGCUGCUUGGCGGCGUCCGCGAGGCAGGAGGAGCAGUCGCUGGCGGAGACGUCGCCGCGGCAUUGCGCGAGGCCGUAGACGACGGUGCUAUUACCCUUGCCGGCAACGGCCGUGGCGAAGCCUCCCGAGGAGCCCUUGGCGACGAGGUCCGCCAGGACGGAGUCGAUGUUGGCCUUGCCGCUGCCAGCGUACCUGGUCCCGGCGCAGUUACUGCCAAUGGCGUCCAUGGCCAUGCCCAGAGGGAGCAGAGCCAUGCCGAGAAGCAGCAGCCCGCUGCGCGCUCUGCAAAGUGCCAUGGUGCUAGCGAUUGAGCUUGCCAUGUGUGUGGCGAAUGGUGGGAGCUUAUAACAAGUGCGAGCGUGCUGCCUUUCUUUGACUGCUUAAUUGGAUUGCGUACAAUGCCAGACGUCGACACUAGAAUGAGGCCGUGGACCGAGCUAUUGCUGAAUCAGCCAAGGGUCCAUGCACAUGGGCAGAGAGGGAUGGGCAUAUCGUGCAUAUCUUGCUGCUUGGUACUUGCUACUCCCUCCCUUCCGAAUUACUUGUUGCGGGUAUGAAUGUAUCUAGAUGUAUUUUAGUUUUAGAUACAUCCAUUUCUACGAUAAGUAACUUGGAACGGAGGGAGUAGUUGCUACAGCUAGCUGGUUCGCGGCAUUUCAUGACUCGUUGACUUGUCUUUGUGAGGAUGUGGCUUGGUAAUGGGUGGCAGGGAUUGUGAGAAUCCAAUGAGUUUUGACUCCCUGUGGAAAAGGCAAUCUGGACGCAACGCGCUGUGGAAAAUCCGCAUUCGAUUCCUGGGGCUUCAAAGGAGCAGAGACGGUACCCGUAAAAAUAAAAGAGCAGAGACGGAACUGAAAAAGAAAGCUCGUUAUUUCGAGCAAGCAUUUUAUGGAUCAAAGAUAUGUAAGACACACCCUCAGAUUUUUCCUUUUUGAGGGGUAGCCACACCCUCGGUUUUUUUUUUUUGAGUGGACACACUCAGUUGUUGAGUUAUACUAUCGUCGGGUGGUAGAAAACAUUUGUUCAGUUAUUCACAUGGCGAUCGCGGACCCCGCUUCGGUGCAAAUUCUUUGCUUGACUUGCGAUCAUGAACCGAUGCUGGACCUCGGAUAGAUUGGCACGAAGAAGGCGGCUGCACCAGGAUUCAUGCCCUUUCUGUGAUCAGCAUGAGGAGACGAUUGGCCAUCUGCUCAUCGAGUGCGUUCUUGCACGCAAAGUGUGGGCCAAGGUCUUCACGGCCUUAGGCAUUCAGCAGGGCGUGCCGCAACCAGGAGAGACAUUACCGGACUGGUGCGCUCGAGAGGGUGUGCAUGGGCAUCGAGGACGAUGCGUACCGUAUGCCUCCUUGCCAUGUGGGAGCUAUGGAAGCACGGGAACGCCACAGUCUUCAAUGACGCGAGGGCCUGGCUCCCGCUGUCUCGUUGGUCCUGAGCUGGAUGGCGAGUGAAAAUAAUGUAUGGAUGCGGAUGAGGCUGCUACGAGGAGAGUUGGAUGUGUUCUCCGUAGCAACGCCGGAGUGGGCCCAUAGCGAGUAGUCGGAUUAGCUCAUAGGUGGACGUCCGUAACGCCGUGUAAUCUUUCCUUGUAACAUAACUGCGCAAGGCUCUUUCCCUUUUUUCUAUAAUAUAUGAUAAGCAUACUCAUGCGUAUUUGAGAAAAAAAACAUUUGUUCUAAUGGAUCACGGCCAUUAAGAGUUGGUGAUGUAGUAUGUGUGAUGAGUUGGGAAGUAUGCAUAUUGAGAGAGAAUAUAAGUAGAUGCCGAAUCACAGGCGAGCGCACACACAGAUUCUACACAGGUCGCGGCCUUUAGCUUCCCCUCACUCACCAACAACGUAUUUCAUAAAAACUACUGGUUCUCGAAAAAGAAAUUAGAGUUUUUAUUGAUCAAAAAAUCAUGCAAUCAAACAAUGUAAAUAGAAAACAUUUUUUAAAGUGCAUUUAGAGGAAAAAAAUUAAAAACAUAUUCACAAAAUUGAAACAAGCUCAUGAAUAAAAAAUCAUUAAAUUUACACAAUUGUUAAUGGAUUUAAAAAUCUUUAUGAAUUUUAAAAUAAAACAUAAAUUCACAAAAUUAAAUAAAUGUUGAUAAUUUUAAAAAAGAAAAGAAAAAAAGCAAGAAAAAACAGAGAAAGAACCACCAAAAAACCAGAUGGGUCCGUCGAAAAAGUUACCAAAAGUUUUCUUGCAAACCAAAUAUUUUUUUCAAAUUCGUGAACAUUUUUCAUGUUAUACAAACUUUUGUGAACUUUUAAUUUUUGUGACCUUUUACAAAAUCAAACUUUUUCAAAUUAUUAAAGUUCCGAAGUCAUGACAUUUUUCAUAAUUCAUGAAUAGUUUUUUGCUUUUUUGCAAAUUCAUGAAGUUUUUUGAAAUUAUGAACUUAAGUUGUGAGCUUAUUUCAAAUUCAUAUUUUUUAUAAAAAAUAUUGUAAACUCUUUUAAAAUUCAUAUUUUUUCCAAAAUGUCAAAGUCAAUGUUCUAUGGCCAAGGGCCAACGGUCCACGGUCGGGGCCGAUAGUCGAAGGUCAGUGGUCUCAUCGGCCGCAGCCCAUCUGGUGCAUUGGUGAGCGCAACUUCCGUAGUGGGCGCUAUAAGCGUCGCAAAGGAGCUCUCGCGGUUGGCUCGAUUCGUAGUACAUGCAUGGGGACCUCCUAUUUGCGUCAAAUAAGAGGAUUGCCACAAAAAGGGAGUCGUGGAUGGGCUGACGCAUCGCACGAACUACAGCGAGCUGCGAAUGAGCCAUGCAACUAUAGGCUACUAAAGACAACAUUUUUAAAAUUUUGAGGAUAUCUUUUAACUAGUUUUUUAUCCAAAUAAUGUAACAGUUUUUUAAAACAUGAAAACAUGCUGAAUAUUUUAUAAAAUUGUGAAUAAAAAAUAAAAAAUCAGCCAUGAACCUUUUAGAAUGUUCCGAAACCGGUCAUGAUCCUUAAACCGGAUCUGCUUAAAAUGGGCUGACUGAUUUAACUCGUUCGUUUCUCUCUCCUGUGUCCAUUUUGGCAACAGUUUGACGCACUGACCGUCAAAUAAAGAAUAAAAACAAGGCGCGAAGAAUCCAACUAAACACCAUGGAGAUGGCCCGAGCAUAAAACCAUGGACGGGAAUACCCAUUUGCCCUUUUCCAUUUUAGCUUGUUGUUGCUUUUUUUCUAGGGUUGUCGAUCCAUAAGGCGCAAUAAAUCCCAUUCUGUUCAAGCCCAUUCUCUAGGCAGAUCGUUUUCACUCAAGUAUUUGAGAAUAUCAUCUAUAUAAAGUAUUUAAGAAUAUGCGUCUAAGAAAAGUAUUUGAAAUCACAUACCCCUACCUAACUUUGUCAGGUAUCGACAGACAAACUCGUUACCCCCUAACUUGUGAAGUAACAAAAACAGAUUAUACAACCCUAGUGUGUGUUUUAAAGACGGUUUUGCUGAUAGGAUGCAUAUGAAACACGGUUUUAACUACAUGGAUAAAUGAUUUCAUAAAAAAAUACAUGGAUAAAUUAUGGAAAAUAAGCGAAAUAAUGUGCAACUAAUAUUUUUAAUAAUUUUUAAAAUCAUUUUAUUUUUUAAAAAUACUCCAAGGUUUAUAAAAUAUGAAAAAUAUGUGAAAUAUGGCAUAAUAAAUAAUCACUUAAUAUUCUGUCAACAUUGAUACAAAAAAUGCAUAGAAGUUUUUCUUAACUGGAGUUGCACAUUUUCCCCUAUUUUUCUUGUUUACAAUUUGGUUGUUUAUUUUUAUUUCUUUAUCAAAGUCUUCAUAUUUUACUUAGCUUAUAGUAUUUCAUAGUUUAUUAAUAAUUUUUUUAUUCUUCAUGGAUUUACGUAUUCAUNNNNNNNNNNNNNNNNNNNNNNNNNNNNNNNNNNNNNNNNNNNNNNNNNNNNNNNNNNNNNNNNNNNNNNNNNNNNNNNNNNNNNNNNNNNNNNNNNNNNNNNNNNNNNNNNNNNNNNNNNNNNNNNNNNNNNNNNNNNNNNNNNNNNNNNNNNNNNNNNNNNNNNNNNNNNNNNNNNNNNNNNNNNNNNNNNNNNNNNNNNNNNNNNNNNNNNNNNNNNNNNNNNNNNNNNNNNNNNNNNNNNNNNNNNNNNNNNNNNNNNNNNNNNNNNNNNNNNNNNNNNNNNNNNNNNNNNNNNNNNNNNNNNNNNNNNNNNNNNNNNNNNNNNNNNNNNNNNNNNNNNNNNNNNNNNNNNNNNNNNNNNNNNNNNNNNNNNNNNNNNNNNNNNNNNNNNNNNNNNNNNNNNNNNGACAGAGGGAACAGUAAUUAUCUUCUCUAUACAUGAGGUGUUCAGUACACUUUUCCUUAAGCUAAGACGUGAAAACGGAUACCUCAAACGUUUUGAACGUCAUUUCAAAAUCAUUGCAGCUCUACAAUCAGCUGCUGAGAAGACACUCCCUAUUUUAUUUACUCAGCAUGUUAGCUUCAACUCAAGCCAAAGUUUGUAAAUUUUGAUCAAAUUUAUAGAAAAAGUAACUAACAUCUAUAAUAUCAAAUCAUUAUUAUUAGAUUUAUCAUGGAAUAUAUUUUCAUAUAUUGUAUACUUGUUAUUGUAAAUGUACACAGUAUUAUUUUCUAUAAACAUGGUUGCUUCAAAAAGUUUGACUUAGAAAAAAGCUAAUGUGCAGAGUAAAUAAAAACAGAGUGGGUAAGACAUUUUUUUUAAAAGGGGUGACUCCCCGGGCUCUGCAUCAGAACGAUGCAUACGGCCACAUUUAUAGAUAAAUAAAGAGGUUCAACAAGCCUAACAGCCAUUGUGGAAUGUUGCUCUUCUUUUCUCUUUGGCAAAAAUGUGAAAUGUAGGGAACAGUGAACAACAAGAGCGUGCAUACUACAGUAAACAGUCGGGCUCGGGCACUUGCCAGUUGCCACUAGUAAGACUGCCAGACUAGCCUUUCUUUUUUGAUUGCGACAUACGUUACGUUAGUGAUGUGGCCGUAUUUGGAGGAGGAAAAAUAAAUUGGGAAUACCAUAUGCAUAUUAAUCUCUGGUUCGGCAGAAGAGCACGACGCCGCAAGUUGCACGGGUGCCAAGCGAACUAACAUGAUAUUGGAAUGAACUGUGCUCUACGUUGGCACGCAUAUAAACAUUGACGAAGACGACGGAGUGAGAAAAACGACGAGGGAGCAAGUGCCGUCCACUCCAGGGCGUGUUCGGCUUGUGCUAGCGGCUAGCGCGGUCUUGCUGCGUUUGGCGCGUGAGGCGCGGCGGAACAGCGACCGCGCACGGGAAGUUGCUAGCGGCAGAAGAAAAGAAAGAGAUCGAGUCCAUCGGGAUCGGGUUGGGGGGAGGGUUCCUACCAGACAGCUUGUUACUUUAGUCCUCCCUCCACGUUGUGUUUUUCUUUUGAGAACCGUUCCACGUUGAUUAGCGCCAGCAAGCGAGCGGCUCCACCGACAGCCCGGCGAGCGCCGAGCGAGGAGAGCACAGCAACAGCAGGGGCAGAGGCGCCCCACGCGUGGGUUGGCACUGAGAGCCGUGCAUGCUCGCCGGCACACUUGUACACUUAGAUGAAAUAUAUCGCGUCUUUGCUUGUCAUGGAUUAUCCGAGGUUUAGAGCAACUCAAACAAGAUGUCAUAUGGUCUUGAACGUCACAAUAAUCGAUAAUAAAAAAAUUAACACAAAAUGGCACAUUAACAUAAUUGUCAUAUGGGAGUAAAUUGCAGAAAACCACCACUUUGAGGGCAAGGUUUGCGAAAACCACUACAAUACAUUUUUUUGCAGAAAACACCGUGUCUUUAGUAAUUUUUUUACAAAAAGCACUGGUCGGCGGAUUGGGCUCAAAUAAGUGAGAUUAUGACAGAUGGGGCCUUUUUUUACCUACGUGGCGUAAAUUUUUGUUCAUGUUCGAUUUAAUCUAAAUUUACAAAGUAGCCCAUGCAAUUUUACACAUACAACCCUCCCUCCCUUCUUCUCGAACUCUCUCCCCUCUCUGCAAAAUCAGAACAGAGCUUGGCCUCCCACCGCCGCCUGCUGCCACAUGCCUUCCCCCAGCGCCCGCACUCCCAACCGCCCUCAAGCACUUGGCCGCCCGCCGUCGCUCGGGAUCCCACCGCCGGACGCCGCCGCUCGCUGCUGCUGGUGUUGCUUGCUGUCGGAAUGCGGUACGUGCCUUGCAUCGGCGAGGCAGGGUCGACAGCGGCUCAACGCUGGUAUCUUCUGCGGUGAGCAAGAUCCAGCCAUUCUGAUGCUCGCCGGUGUAGGAUCCGUCUGGGGCCAUCAGAGCCAUGGUCGGACCAACGCGAGAGGACGACGACUGGGUCAAGCCCGAUCUAGAUCUCAGCGACGAUUAGGUGAGCCCCUGCACCGUGCACAUCAUCCCGCUGCAUCGGCGGCCCUGGUAGCUGCUGGAGCUCCGCCUUGCCUGCCCGAGUGGGCCGCUCUGAAGGAGAUGCCGAGCACAUCUCCAUUUACGAGCGCGCCUUCCAAUGUUGACCGGUGGAUCCUCCCAUGGCUCCGCAACAGAGCAAGCCUCCCUGACAUCUUCGGCCGCCCGUGGCGAUGCCGGAAGCUUCUCUUGAGCAGCGUCGCGUCCUCCCUCAGAUGCGGCAGCGCGCCACCAUCGUGCCCCCCGUGGCCGCUGCGUCUCCUCGUGCGGACUACGCGCUCACCUCAGCCAGCCGCUCCGCUGCCCUCUGUCAUUAGCUAGAAGACGAACAGGGGGAUAGAGAGGAACACAAAGAACAGGAGGGGUGUAUGUGUAAAACAGUGGGGACUACUUCGUAAAUUUAGACUAAAAUUAAACAGGCAUGAAAAAUCACGCCAUGUAGGCAAAAAAUGGGUCCCAUCUGUCAUAAACGCGGUCAACAGAGCCAAAUCCGCCGAUCAGUGGAUUUUACAAAAACACUACCGAACACAUGGUGUUUUCUGCAAAAAAAAAAUGCAUUGUAAUGUUUUUUGCAAACCUAGCCUUCAAAGUGGUUGUUUCCUGCAAUUUACUCGUCAUAUGGCUUUCAGUCACUAUAAUUUAUGAAAAUCACAUAUUUCAUAUUUGUAGGCACCGGAGGGUCAACAUGAAGCUCGCGCCAAACCCAACCAUCAGCCCGGAAGAAAAGUUUCAUCUUAUUCCUUCUCGCACCACGGCCGGGUUUGAAGCAGCUUGCCAUUUGUACACGCACCUUUGCAUUUCGGUUAAUCACCGGUGUGUGGGGCUACAUGACAACUAAUCAUCCAUCAAUUAAUGGUGUGGCCGCUCCUUCGGAUUCCUGAGGUGGUCAUUCGGGUGGUCGCCACGCAACAUCGGUUCGGGACUAUGAAGGACCGUCGGCGACGCGUCCCCUGUCAGCACAGUGUCACCGCGUAAAAACACAACCGAUUGGCUGGACUUGGCGACACAGCAAAACCUCCCGUUGUAGACACACCGUGUAACUGCAGGGCGAAUUCUCCUCGCAGUGCAUCCACCGCACGUGGUGGCGGGCGCGACGAAGAUGGUGGCUCCCAUGGCGGCGGACGUGGGGAAGAUGGAGGCUCCCGUGGUGGCGGGCGUGAUGGAUCUGGCGCCAGCGUCCCUGUGAACUAGGUCGUCUACAUUGACGCAACCCCACUCAAUGUUGAGGAGCUAGAGCCAAAGCCCAAGGACAAAUUCGCGGCCGUGCUGCGGCUCCCCCAGUUCAAAGCAGGUUUACAUCAUCAUCAGCAGGCAGUGGCGUAGCUAGGGGUGGCCAGGGUGGUCCAUGGACCACCCUGAAAUUUUCCCAUAGCUUGUAUAUAGUGUAGUAAAAAAAUAUUUCUUAAAAAAUAACUAAACUUAGGUAAAUAUUUUUAUUGAUGAACCAUCCUGACUUAUUGGGCUGGCUAUGCCACUCUCAGCAGGAGCACAUCUUUGAGCGCUUUGGUCCCACUCGGGCCUAAGAGGAAGCGCCACAACCUGGGCUCGUUUGUCGUUGCUCUGGCCCCUAUGCCUACCUUGGCAACCUCAAUUUGGAUGAGGAGAAAGAGGAUGAGGAGCCCGAGGAGUUGGAGGAUAACUACACGACACUAGCGAUAGAGUUGUCUAGGUAGCAAUAUCGAAUAACGAUGUUGCAUAUAAAUGUCGAUUAACUAUAUUGUAAGUCGCUAAAUAUAUAUAAUGCGGCGCAUUUCGGUAAUUAAAUAUAUGUAAUGCUGCGCAUUUUGGCAAAUAUAUGUAAUGCAGUUCAUGACUGAUAUAGUUGAUAAUUAUCACGAUGAAGCAUGUGUUUACAUAGAUUAAACUGAGCUUAAAUUGCUCCUACAAUUUUGAAGGUAAUGACAACACAAAUUAAAAAUCAUGGAGGCAACCGUCUGGCGACUCUGUGUUUGCGCACAUGCUUGCCGACCUCCAAAUCCAUAUGGAGCGCGCUCUAUAUGCGAUAUGACUGACUCUCUAGAGUUGUUCUUAGCUAGGAGAAGAAAAUUGGCUUUGGGUACUCCUGAAUCAAGCCGUGUGUAUGAGUUUUCUUGUGUGUGUAAAGUCUAUGAUAUGGCCUUCAAUUUUGUCUCAGUUAACUGAUAUUGGGUUAUUUUUUAGUACUCCCUCCUUCCCAAAAAUGUAAGGCACGCUUAAAUUUGCACAGUCUUUGAUGCACAAGUUUGACUACCGAUGUAAACAAAAUUAUAUGGAUCUAGCUUGUAUAAAUGGUGUCAUCAUAUUUGUCUAGCAAAAUAGUUCUAUUUCAUAUACCUUUACAAUUCUAUCAAUAUACUAUGAGCAAAAAUCAUAGUCAAAGUUGUGUGCCAAAGUCCAGAAAAUGUUGACCGCGGCUUAUAUUUUAGGAAGGAGGGAGUAAUGUUUUGUUACAUAUAAAAUUAAAUACGAAAUAUCAAAGACUUAUUCGUGUUAUGUUUACUCAUCAGUGGCAAUCUCAUCGCAAGAUUACGAGACGGAGUGUCAUGGCUCGCGGGAGCUCGGUUAGGCCAGUAGGUGCGGAUCUUGGCGACUAGAGGCAAAAGGAAGAUGCUCACAACUUUUGAUGGCGUUGACAUGGAGCCAAGGUUGGUUGGAGACAGGAGGGAGACAAAGAAGGGAAGGGGAACGGACGUUGAUGCAUCAGUGUGGAUGAGAUCGGCGGAGAAUAGAUAGAGAGCGUGUAACUAAAAUGGCAAUAAAAAUGUGUGAUGAUAGAGCAAGCGAACAUUGUGUCGGGUAGCAAUUUUCCUCAUUAGAGAUGGAAGGAGUGGUGUGAUGCUAUCAUGUUGAGGGUCUGGGAGGGUAAACGCAUGUCGAGGUGGUGGCAUUCCCUCCAUAAUAACUUCACUAAGGCAAGCGGUAUUUUUCAGAGCCCUAAUAUGAGAAGCUCGAAAGUGCAUACAAGGUACUCCCUCCAAUCCAUAUUAAUUGUGGGUGAUUCAUCAGAUGGAGUAGGUCUUUUUUUACAAAUGAAGAAAACCAUGUAUAGAGAGAUGAAUCGAUUGAAACUAAUUCAUUUUUGUUUUAAUUUCACUAGCACAAAAGCCCAUCCAUUGCAAUGGGAGCUGAAUUUGACAUGUCCACUUAAAUGCCCAUUUUGCUAAAAAAAUAAAUGUCCACCAACGUGGCACAACAACAUCUGAAUGGUGGCAUGCAGGGGUGACACCCACUCGUAGCUCUAACAGAAAUGCAUAUAUAAGUAAAAAAUGCUCAAUUAGCAGACUUACAAAGUCGAAUUAAUAAUGUAGGGGCUCACUUGGUCUUUAAACAUCAAUUUGGCAGCUUUUUUUAACCGGGCAUAACCCCUUUCCAUUACUGCGACAUAACAGAAAUACAACCAGGUCCACAGAAUGAGACGGGAGAGGGGAGAGCGAGUUCAAGCAUCACCGAGAAACCCACCGCGAGCACUCGCCAUCGAGAUAACCCGCCGUAGGACGAAAACCCGACAACACCNNNNNNNNNNNNNNNNNNNNNNNNNNNNNNNNNNNNNNNNNNNNNNNNNNNNNNNNNNNNNNNNNNNNNNNNNNNNNNNNNNNNNNNNNNNNNNNNNNNNNNNNNNNNNNNNNNNNNNNNNNNNNNNNNNNNNNNNNNNNNNNNNNNNNNNNNNNNNNNNNNNNNNNNNNNNNNNNNNNNNNNNNNNNNNNNNNNNNNNNNNNNNNNNNNNNNNNNNNNNNNNNNNNNNNNNNNNNNNNNNNNNNNNNAAAGCCAGUUACACACAGGAAAGACACAAAGGAUGACACACAGACAUAAGAAAAUGAAGCUGGAGAAGACGCCCCAGGAGACGCAUGCCUUUUUCUUUCUGUCAUCACUUCUCUUCUUUUCUUUUCAACGAACUUCUUCACUUUUGGUUGCAGCACAGAUGCGCAUCAUCCUCGACACAUUAUUCUUCAGCAUGUUCACCCCGGCUCACAGAUCCACCGCGUCUUCACUACAAGAAAUAUGUCAACUUGUGACCACCACUAUUGGUCACUGAAAGGUCAUGGUUUUUCAUUUGCGACAUUUUUGUGACCAAAAACAGAAGGUCAAAAGCUGGCGGUCAUAAACUGACUAUAGCGACCUUUCUUCUGAAAUGGUCAAAGACGUUUAUGACCAAAAUACAUCUACUGUGGCGUUUUGGUCACUAGCAACCUCCCCAGGCCACGUAGGCAUCCAGCGUGGCAAUCUGACGUGGCACAAGAUUCAGCCCGGUCCAAUUCGAUUUUCUACAUGGGCCUAGCCCAUUAAUUCAGCCUUUCUAUAUAUUUUUUUCGUGUCAAUUUUUGGUCGAUUUCAUGGGCCUAGCCCAACAUUAUAGCCUUUUUAUCUUUGGGCCGUAGCCUUUGUUUCUCUUUUUUUAAUGCAUGCCAAUUGUCAAAUUCUGGUAAGUGGGUCCCAAAUGUGACGUUCUAGUUUGUGGGACCCUACUGUCAAGGUCAUGUUCUUUCAUAUUUCAAUAUGCAAAUACAGAAAACAGACACAAUAUUUCAAAUAACAGCAGGAAGCAAUCUGCUACAUCAUAUAACAUACAUAAAAAUGUGAUCAGCAUCAAGUUUACAAUUAGAUAACACACAUACAGCCCAAGUGUAUCAGCCCAAGUCUAUCACAGGAGCCCUACAAGUUCUGCUACAUCAUAUAACACGCAAAUAGGAUCAGCUCCCAGAACUAGCACAUGUACAAGUUCUGCUACAAGGAGUUCGUUACUCCCAGAACUAGCUCAAUGAGGUAAAACUAUGCUUCAUCCAACUUCAUUGUCCUGAAUGAAAUGCCAGCAUCUGCACAUUGUAGAACAAAAUGUUUAGGGACAAAAUAAAAGUAAAUCGAACAUCAAAGUAUCAAAAAAACCAAAGUAUUAAAAAUUGCAGUAAUUUACUCGUAGUUGGCAGGUACACAAUACCAUGGUUUUAAUAUAAAAUACAAAGCAAGUGUUUGGCUACAACAUAGAAUGCUGUAAAAUUUGUUUUAGAAUCCAGGCAUGUCAAAUUUUAAGCACUAGCAGAAUAGAUCUAACAAACCAGACCAUGAUCAUCAUGCGCAUCAGGAUUUAUGGUUCUAGCAAAACAGUAAAGAGAUGGACAUACACGCAUCAAGCAUACCAGCUACUGCAUCACCAUUCUCGUGACCACAGACAUCACCAUUCACUAAUAAUUCCCAUUGGGAGAUCAAACUAUGCAUCCAACAAGCUACAGCAACAGGGAAUGCAAAAAAAUUUAUGACCCGAGAUGACGAAUCAACUGGGUACAUCUCAGUUUGAACAACCACGGCGAGACAACAACCGCAUACUAAUGCGGCGAAUCAAAUCUGCACGCAGGAGCAGCGCCGUUCGUGGCAUCCACAUGAGGUCGCACAACAUCAAGAACAUGGGGCAUGACAACAAUAGACCUAGAGAUCUAGGACGGAGGGAGGGGGGAGCUUACACUUGUGGAUGCGGUCGGGUAGAGGUGGAAGCUGCGACGGCCGCAACGGAUGCAGAAUUGAAGAGGGUCCUCAUGUAGCAGUAGCAGCAGCAGCAUGAAGAAUUGAAGACCGACCAACAGAGCCUGCAAUGCAAACAGAGGGGCAUGAGGAAACUGAAUCCAAUCACAUCAAAUCAAAUCGAGCUGCUGCACCUUGACCUUGAGGAAAACAAACCUCAUCUCAUGUCAUCUCAGGGAAGAAUAAGAAGAAAAAUAUAUGGCUGCUGCUCCAUGACCAUGACCUUGAAUUGUUGCUGCUGCACCAGAUCGAGGAAGAAGAAGACCUACAAAAAAAGCAAUAACUAGCAAUGCACAAGCAUGAAUUCAUGGAAGGACGGAUGCAAGGCCAAACAUCCAGCAUACUGUUUCUUAAUGCCCCAGCUACUUAAAAAACCAUGGUAGUUCUAACCAUAUUAAAUUAAAGGACAAAGUGAAGUCAUGAUAUUGAGAGUUCCAUCUUAUAAAGCUUUCUGUUUAGCAUAUCCUAAAUCACAGUCUAUCUACCAAUAUAUGAACUCUUUAGUUUUCAGAACCGAGGCUCACAUAUUUGGGUUGAUUUGUACACUGUAUUUUCAGUAAUUUUUUUACUUGAGACAAACUAAAUGCUAACAUCAGUGACAACAAGACUUGAACAGAAAUAGCUAUUGAAGAAACACGUUUAUAAGAUAGAAUGAAAAUGAUUUACACCACAACAUAUAGUUCACAUGUACUGGAGCUAGAGACUACAGAACACACAUAAUAACACAUAUGCAAACAGGGUACUACUCCAUGGUUCAGGUUACACUAAUAAACAAAAUUAUACAAGCGACUAGACUAGUAUCACAGAUCUACAGAGUAGUACUAAACAGCUAAAAAUAAGUAGUAGUAGUACAGGGAGCAAGUACUCCUUUCAUUUACUUUAAACUGAGACAACUGAAAAGGAGUACUCCUUUCAUUUACUUUACUUUAAACUGAGAUGAGACUACUAAAAAGGAGUACUCCUCUCUUGAGAAGUUGAUGUAAAUGAAAUCCAGGAGUAUGUGAGAAUAUGGCCAUCUUUAUUUCUUUCUGUAAGCUUUAUCUUCAGUGCCCUGUAAUCACCAAAAGGCAAUAUCAGAAAUUAUCUGGUAGGCUAAUAAUAUCAGAAAGCUUGGCAGCGACUGCACAUACCUGCAGUGUUCGGUCUUCCAGGCCUUCUUGUUGUCGCCGAUACUGCACGAACAUUAAGUAAAAAACUGAUCAGCAUACAGAAAGUAUAAAUUUGACCUUGUAAAUGAAAUGUUCUGACAUCAAAUAGUUCCAUUCUACAACUACACAGACCCUGGACUAACAGUCUUAAACACAACACUGUCCAGAUUAAACAAAACCAACGCCAGUCUACACUGUUAUGGUCUCGAGCUCAUUGACAAAUUACUAUCCACACAUGAGCCAAAGACAUGCACAUCUCGGACAAGAGGAAACUAAAGUUCAACAUAAGCUCAUCAGUUAAGCACUUGAGACAAAAAAAGAAACGUUGAAGCCGUCAGACCAAAAUACUAAAAAAAACUGCACGUUUAAUUAGCUAAGUGUACAACAGGUUCAGGAGAAGCACAUGACACCACAACAAGCACAUCUACAUGCAGUAGCUAUUGGAUAUGAUGCCUGCUUUAGAUUGAUUGAUUGAUUUGGUUGCUGCUGCUUACGGCUGUUGGUUGGUGUUCAAAUGUACUCCUACUAGAUACAGUAGAUAGCUAGAUGAAGCUAGAGACUAUUGUUACAACGCACAACAUGAUACUGAAGCCAUACAUCAUAAUAUGGUUGAUUUGGUUGGCGCUAGCUAAUGGAUGUUAGCAUCUGAAUGUAGCAUCCAGUCUCAUACCAAGUUGCCUCAUUCAUCUCAAUCUCAUCCAGAGCAUGCAAGCAGAGUGACAAGCAACGCAAACAAACAAACAUUGGCAGCAGCUUAGCAUAUAUAGCAGGAGCGGUGUCUGCUGACCUACUGCCGAUCCUCGUCGCGCUUGCCGUACCUGUCCGAAGGACGCGGAGACGGCCUCGAGGCCUUCGCUUGAGCGGAGGUCGGCGUAGAAGGCGCGGACGCUGGGGAGCGCGUUGAGCAGUGCCCGCGGUGCGGCCCUGCGGUGGUGGGUGAAGGCCACGUCGACGUAGACGCCGUUGCCCCCCGCACCCGGCGGCGAGCGCGACGAGGAGGUGCUGGCCGAGGUAGCCGCUCCCGCCCACCACCAGCACCCGCUUGCUCUCCAUCUCCGCCAAUGCCCGCUGCUUCGGCGCCCCUCCUCUCUAGCGGAGCGAGCAAGCUAGAGUAGGUCGGAUGCGGGCGCGGGGUGGAUCUGAGGGGCGGGAUCGAAGACGACGGGUUUGGGCACGCGGAGCAGGUGGAGGACAAGGGUGGGGUCGGGAGGAGGAAGCGGCGGGGAGGGGGUUGCGGUGGAUCUGGCCGGCGACAGUGUUCGGAGGGCAGUGAGAGGGGAUGGAGGUGGCGAUGGCGGCGGAGUGGUUGCGGUCGCCAGCGUGUGGUUCGUGGGGAUCCAGAUCAUGGGGACAGCACCANNNNNNNNNNNNNNNNNNNNNNNNNNNNNNNNNNNNNNNNNNNNNNNNNNNNNNNNNNNNNNNNNNNNNNNNNNNNNNNNNNNNNNNNNNNNNNNNNNNNNNNNNNNNNNNNNNNNNNNNNNNNNNNNNNNNNNNNNNNNNNNNNNNNNNNNNNNNNNNNNNNNNNNNNNNNNNNNNNNNNNNNNNNNNNNNNNNNNNNNNNNNNNNNNNNNNNNNNNNNNNNNNNNNNNNNNNNNNNNNNNNNNNNNNNNNNNNNNNNNNNNNNNNNNNNNNNNNNNNNNNNNNNNNNNNNNNNGGCGGCGAUGGAUCUGGAAGGGAGGAGGUGAGGUCUCUCCAUCGGGCGAGAUAGCGAGGAGAUGGGGGAUCUAGAAUGGGAUGGAUGUGGAAACUAGAAAGAAAGGAGGCGGGGGGGGGGGUGGAUGCAAAAUGACCAUCUAGGGUUUCGGGGUUGGUGUGGAAGGGUUGAGGACGGCCGUUGGAUCCGCGAGCAUCCGACGGCGUAUGAUGCACGAUCCGCAUGAAAUGUCUACAGACCAAUCAGAAUGCAGUAUGAUGCUAUGACCAUCUAAAUUGGUCAUAGUUGUCUAAAAAUAAUAUGUUAAAAUCAUGUCAGCUAUUUUAUGACCUGAGAAAUUCAAAAAGAAAAUAGGAAACCUUCUCAUUGUGUCACCAAAAUGUGAACGAGUUUUCAGAAAAAAUAACAAACAUGAAAAAAUAUAAAUAUCUUCAAAAAGGUGUAGUGAGAAAUGAGUUUUCUUGCAAAAAUAAACAUAUUUCAUUUUUCGGGAGCCCAAAAUGAGUUUUUUUGUGAAGGACCUACCAUAUAUUUGUUGCAAAAUUGGACCAAAUCAUUUUUCUAAAAUACUAUGCCAUAUUUAAUGCACAAUUGACAAAAUGGUUGGGUGUCAAAAGUUUUGAUCCACCUCUGGUGAAAAAGACAAAUUCCCGCCGAUUCAGCUGGAAGCGGGUCAAAUUUGAACUGUAGGUGCCUCAUAGUUUGCUAUUUAUUUUUUUCCAAAAAUCAUUUCUAGGUACAUAAGUACCUAUUUAAUCAGAGAAACACCAAAAAAAUUCUAAGAUUCAACCGCUAGCUAGGAACAGUCAUUCCCGACGUUUUGACCGCAUUUUGAAGCGGGCAUAAAAAAUUCAAAAAAAAUCAAAAAAUUGGGAAACCUUCGCGUUGUGUCAUUAUAUCUGUCCAAGUUCAUAGGAAAAAUAACAAACUUGUAAUACGGCAAUUAUUUUAAAAAAGUGUUCUUAGAAACGAGCUAUCAUGUGUGGAGAUCAAUGGCUUUCAAGCCAAAUGAUCAAUUUUAUGGCCACAUUCAUGGCACAGUUUGUUCAAAUGAUCUCAUAUUGUGCACAAAGGUGCAUAUUGGAAUGACAAACAAUGUUACCUAAGGACGUUUUCAUUUUCUUUGGACGAAAAAACCAUUUUCCAUUUUUUGAGUGCCCAAAAGAAGUUUUUUUUGUGAAGGACCUCCCAAAUAAUUGUUGCAAAAUUGGACCAAAUCAUUUUUAUAAAAUACUAGGCCAUAUUUAAUGCACAAUUGACAAAAUGGUUGGGUGUAAAUUUUUUUGAUCCACCUCUCGUGAAAAAGACAAAUUUCCGCCGAUUCAGGUGGAAGCGGGGCAAAUUUGAACUGCAGCUGCCUCAUAGUUUGCUAUUUAUUUUUUCCAAAAAUCAUUUCUAGUUACAUAAGGACCUAUUUAAUCAUAAAUACAUGGUUUGGUAGCGAUACGUCGAGGUUUGGGCGGUGGCCGAGGGCCCCAACUCUAGAGCGCGUAAACUCGCAUGCCCGUCGCGUGGUCACCGCGUGACCGUAAUGUUGACAUGUGUUCUGGGCGGCCUAGGCAUGUCUAGUGGGUUGGGCACUCCCCAGGUUGGUGCUAGGAAGAAAAUUACAACAUAAGAUUCUCACGAGGAGACCGAUCGAUGCUCAAACAUGAAUUAGCAGCCAAGUGUUUGAUUAGCGGUACGGGAAAUGUACAUGGCUAAUGGGCGUGAGUUUUGGCUGAGGAUGAUCAGUUACUAAGAAGACCGUGUUCACAAAUUUUAAGCUGAAAAGGAGUAGCCUAGGUGGUACUUGCUUUGCAAACUACCAGACUGGACAUAACUACGAAUGUUGAAGCUCGACUCAAAAUAAUGAAUGGAUUGAGCUGGCAUUUGGUGGAGGAUGGUUAUUUGGGCAUAGGAAAGCACUGUAGAAAAUGGAUACUAUUUGGACAUGCCAAAGUGGUACUUCCUUCACAAACUGUUGUUCUGAACAGAAUAGGAAAAUGAAUAUUUUUGAAUUAUUUUUUAACUAUGCAAGGAAGGUUUUUACAUAUUUGACUAAGAUAUGACCCAAAGAAUUUAUGAGAUUUUUUGGGAAUUUUGGGAAUGACACAAAUAUAGGUUGCUUCACAACCUAGGGCAAAAACUGCCACAUGGACAUGACACAUAGGCAAAACUGAUGAGGUGGCGCCUAGUCAUAGCAACCCACCACAAUUUACAAGGCUAUGACCAUCUAUAUUUGUCGUUAACAACUAGAAAUAAGGCAGCGGACUAGCGUUGUUUGCUUUAUGACCAUUUCGUGUAAGGAAAUUACGACCUUUCUGACCAAAAUGGUCGCAAUGGUUUAGGGUUUGGAGCCCCCCGAACAGCUUUUGACCAAUUGAUCUCAAAUGGUCAUAAAUCUAUGACCAAUUCUUCGAGGGUCACUAACAGAAGGUCAUAAGUUGACAUAUUUCUUGUAGUGCUUCUUGCUUCAGCAAACCUGCCCAGUAACAGAAGUGAGCGCACGUAGAGAAACUACAUUCAAAUGGGGCUUUAGACGUUUAAACUCAAACGUAGCACUAUUGUGGCAAAUCCAAAUAGCCUAGCAAAGCGCAACUAUGCCAACUGUGUAAAAGAUCUCCCCAUCUGGGAAGUAAACAUAACACCAAGAAUAAGCCUACCACAAAUUGUUUGGGCACAAGUCAGUGCCAAGCAUGAAUGCAAUAGUUCUUUAGGUCACUUUAGCAACAGGGCAAGCAAAAAAAGAUGUUGAGAUGUUUCACGCUUCCCACAGAAUAAGCAUUUAGGGUUCCCUUUCCACCCCUUUCUUCUCAUCACAUCUCGAUCUUCUAAUCACAUCUCGAAUCAAUUUGGCAGCCUAUUUGCAUGCCGCAAUAUUUUCCUUAUUUAAGAUUUAUCGGAUCAUCAUCGAAAUGGCAAAGUAGGUGUCACCUUUUCUACCGUCUUUCCUUGGUCAUGCAUGGAUGCGCGAGUUUCCUUCGGCUAGUUGCCUAGCAAAUCUUUUAAUGGUUGUGUUAAUUUCUUUCCCGCCCUCUCUGUAUAGCGUGUGUCAUGAUUCCAUUUACUUAAUGGGUCCUCUCUCUCCCAUCUCGAAGUUCUUAUAAUUUCAUUCUUUCGUGCCAAAUUUAUUCCCUCUAUUAAUGUCUUUCCUACAUGCUCAACUACUAAGAAUAGGGAUUUUAUUUUCUUUUAGUUAUUUUCCUUUCUUCAUGUUUAUAGCCAUCUCUCCCAUCAGCCCAUGCAUAGAGAACGUAAUUUAUUUUUGUUCUUCUAAUUUAUGCCUUGUGAUAUUUAUUUCCCUCUUUCUAAUUCUUUCCCUUCGUACUCAAGGGCUCAUAAUAGCGGGAUUUAUUCAUUCUUUAGUUCUUUUUCGUCCUUCCUUCACACAAGAGCGGAAUUUACUCAUUCUUUUAAUCCAUUUCUUUUUUGCUCAUAUUUGAGCCCAAACGGGACCAUCUCCCUGAGGCGUCUUAUUGAUUUUAUUCAAAACAUAUAUAAUUUAUGCGAUGAGUUGUAAAAUAAUAAGUUGGAACAAUUCAAUAAUUGAUUUCUCUACUACUAAGUCGGGCGACUGGUGAGGCCCGGUAGACAUCAGCAUGCGCGCUUGAAGGAAAAAAUAGCGACCGAGAAAAAUGAAUCAUUAUUUUUGACGGACAAAAACUUAUAAUACAGAUGAUGAACCAAAAAAGAAGAAAAGCACGUCCAUUUAUUAGUAGGUAUAGAUACAGAUAAAGAACCCAAAACCCUUCAUAUGCUGAAAAAUCUUAUACGAACAUAGAGUAUGCAAAAACUAUAAGCGCUAAUGGAUUCGUCAAUCGGUCCAUGGUUGUAGCUAGCACUCAGUGACUAGGCAUUAUGCAACCAGUGUAUAAGUGUAACUCACAAGAGCAAGAACAAUAGGUUCAAGGCGUAUUCCCGCAACAACCAAGAAAAAAGAAACUCAUACUAGCCAUAGUGGAGAGAAACUUACACUACUCCCGUACCGAUGCAUAAGAUAUCUUACAUUGUGCAUCGCAACCAAGGCAGAGAGAAAACAUAGAACUUAAUAUUUAUUUGCUACCACAUCCAUCCUGAUUUAUUGUUCCCUUUGUAUUUUGUGUUAAAUUUUGACCGUAGAUUUGACUAGCAAAAUGUUAAUGCAUGUCAGAAAAAAUGCUUCUAGAUUCAUAUUUGAAUGUACUUUUUAAUUAUAUUAUUUUUGUUACAUAUGACUUACAUUUUCUUAGUUAAAAUCAUGGUCAAAAAAUGACAUAGAAUACGAGGAGCACUAGUAAACUAGGACAGAUGUAGUAAUUAAUGUUAUUGCAUGCAAUGAACUGACCACUACAUGUCGUGCUAGGUAUUCUUAAGUUAUUAAACACAUACACGCCGCAUGUCUCUUAGGGCAUCUCCAAUAGAUUGUAUGUUAAUAUUAUUGGUAAAAUGUCCAUGUCAUCAACCAACACGCUAUCAUACAAUCACUCUAAUAUGCUGUAUCUAAGCUAUCUAAUAAAUGAUGAGAAAAUAAAUGUGAUUGCUCUCUAUUGCACCUUGGAGCUUGUGCAAAGGUUGUUGAUUAUUUUACAUACAACUUUGUUCUCUCUCCACAUUUAUUACAUGCCACAUCAUUAUUAUGUCCUAGGUGGCAAAUUUACCAACAUCUAUCUUACAGUUGUUGGAGAUACCCUUAUUGGUUGAUUCCUUUAUUCAUGUUAAGAAACAAAAGACAAGGUGCGAGUUAAUGCAUCACGCCUAAGUGUUUUGAGAUUAUUUGAUUUUCAUAAGAUGACUUAUGCACCAGUACAGAGAGCACGUUACCCUAUGCUAUGUUACCACCUCAUUAGUGAGUAGUAACAUAUGUGUGUUGUUAUGCAAAACUUCAUUUAUUAGGUUAUAGAUUUAGGCCUCCUUUGGUUUAGAGGAAUCUUGUAGAAAUUUUAUAGGAUAGGAUUUUUAUAGGGAAAAAAUCCUUUAGAUCCUUUUGGUUGGUAGGAAUGGAAUCCUAUUCCUACAAAGGAAUUCUUCCUAUCCUCCACAUUUUAUAGGAAAAUAAACAUUAGGCUAAACUCAAUGGAAAAAAAUCCUAUUAUGUGAAUCAAAGGACAUCUUCUUUUCUAUUUCUACUCAUAGGAUUUGAGAUACAUAUCAUCUCAUUUUUAUGACUUUCCUAUUCUUUUGAUUUUCCUACCCUAUGAACCAAAUGAGACCUUAUAUCAAGAGAUAAGAGAAGGAUGUUCCUACAAGGCUCCUUAGAGUUCAGCGAUCGUGGGUCGUCGGAUCGUGAUGCUUGAUGGGUUUUGGGCCGUUGGAUCGAGAGGUGGGAGGAUCUGGGCCGUCGGAUCUAGAAGAAACACUGCUGGAAUGAAUAGUAAUGGCAGCAGAAUGUAAAUACCAUGCCCCCACCAGGGCAUUUUGGUCAUUUCGCAUGGUGGGGGUAUAAAAGGGGGCCGCUCAUUUGACGAAGACCUAGCCGCCUCCUCCCUCGCUCGCUCCUGCAGCCGCCUCCCUCCCUCCCUCCCACGCAGCCGCCUCCCUCCUCCCUCGCUCGCGCCUUCGCCCCGCGCCUCCCCCGCGCCUAGCUCCUCCCGCCUCGCCGCCGCCUCCUCUCCCCUCCCGCGCGCCUCCUCUCCCCUCCCUCCUCCCGCGUGCCUCCUCCCUCCCACCCACAGCGCCGCCGCCACCCACCGCCUCGAACGGCGCUGUCGGCGGCCAGAUCCGCCGCAGCAGAGCNNNNNNNNNNNNNNNNNNNNNNNNNNNNNNNNNNNNNNNNNNNNNNNNNNNNNNNNNNNNNNNNNNNNNNNNNNNNNNNNNNNNNNNNNNNNNNNNNNNNNNNNNNNNNNNNNNNNNNNNNNNNNNNNNNNNNNNNNNNNNNNNNNNNNNNNNNNNNNNNNNNNNNNNNNNNNNNNNNNNNNNNNNNNNNNNNNNNNNNNNNNNNNNNNNNNNNNNNNNNNNNNNNNNNNNNNNNNNNNNNNNNNNNNNNNNNNNNNNNNNNNNNNNNNNNNNNNNNNNNNNNNNNNNNNNNNNNNNNNNNNNNNNNNNNNNNNNNNNNNNNNNNNNNNNNNNNNNNNNNNNNNNNNNNNNNNNNNNNNNNNNNNNNNNNNNNNNNNNNNNNNNNNNNNNNNNNNNNNNNNNNNNNNNNNNNNNNNNNNNNNNNNNNNNNNNNNNNNNNNNNNNNNNNNNNNNNNNNNNNNNNNNNNNNNNNNNNGCAGAGGAGGGAGGACGAGGAGCAUGACGGCGUUGGCGGCGGGGAGCAGCAGUAGUAGGCGGAGGCGCUGCAGAUCCCCGCCGAGCAGGCCGCGCUGGUGCUCGGGGUGCUCGCCGCCGUGCUCCCCGGCGAUGACGAUGAACUCGCAACGGAAGGAGCUGGCGCCUCCCCGCCCCCAUCUAUCCACUCCGUCUAGGUCUCUCUCUCUCUCUCUUCCAGUUCUCGUUCUUACAUCCACUCUCGCUGCCAGAUCCUCCUGUACCCGCAGAAGAUAGAGAGAGGGAUGAUGUGAAGGAGACGAGAGGAAGGAGAAGCCAUGCCCCGUCCACUGGCUGGGCUCUGUUUCAUCACCCCAAUCUUCCUACCUCUAUCCCUUUCUUUCAGGUACUCUCUCUCCCUCCUGAUUAGCCUGCUCUCCUCUCUUAUGCAUUCCUUUGUUUGAUAUAAUACCUGAAAUUUCCCAUCUUUGUGUUGCACUGGCAGAUUUUUUGUGUGUACAUGCAUACAAGGCGCUCGAUGAAAAUCCAAGCAGGUUGCAAGGGAAGGCAAAUUCCAUUUUAUGCUCAUGUGUAAUCAUUGAUUCUUUUUUCCUCACAUUUAGCAUGCAGUCAACUUUUACUUAUAUGUACAAUAUAUUACCUCUUUCAGUUAUAUGACUUGCACACACACAAUAUAUUGCAUCUGUAGGUCAUGUGACUUGCCUACGGAAGAUAUGAGUGUCCUUGGAAAAUAUUAUUAUGUUGGGUCUACUAUGGUUGCCACGUUAUGCAAGUCAGCAUUUAGUGAUCUAAAAGUUUAGACCAUGGCAUUAUGUUCAAUGCUCAGCAAAUACACCCUUCGCAGGUAUGUUUGGCAGUUCAUUCACAAGUGACUUGCAAUAUCUGCUUACUGAAUUUUUGGUGUUAAUUUUACCUUCUGUUCAAGCAUUGUGUGUUUUGUCUUCUACUAACAUGUAUUUUCAUAUGGCCGAACAAAUCAACUGCUAGAGAUUUCAGAAACUGUUCAACUAUGCAUUUUUUUAUUACAUUUUUUUGAUCACUUUUUUGGACUUUAACUCCCUGUUGUAUGUAUGUAUAUUAAUUUUCAGUGGAUAAAUUUCAAGGGUUUUAACUUUUUCCUUUACACUUCCUAGCGACCCAGACCAGUGCCAUGGCAACAAGCUUGCCCUCCUACCCCAACCUUGAACUUGAGCGGCCGAUACCACCAUGACUUGGUGGCACAGCUGGUGGAACCAGCCUCCCUAAGCGAGCCAUCGUAUGGCCGCCGCGCUUCCGCUCAGUAGGUACUACUCCCUUUAUCUGAUCUUCUCAUCAGCUAAAUGAACACAUGUGGUUCGUUCGCCUUUUGUUCUCCUGGAUCCAAGAACCCUUCCUUCGUUCCAAAUCCAGAAUGAUAUUCCUUUUUUAUCUGGAUUGGGAUUUUAAUUAGGAAGAUUUUUUCUAGGUAGAGGAGUAGAGGCAUUGUUUCCAAGGUUAGUAGUGAGGUGUUGCAGAUUAGAGCACCAUCGGCAGUUUUUUAGCACCAUGGCAAGGCAGAUGUGCUCCGUGUGCCCGACAUCUUCAAAAGAAUCAUCUCAUGCAGUAUUCCAAAAAUGUAGCAUUAUGUAAAAGUCUGGUUAUGAAAAACAUAUGAGCAGAGAUAACACACUAAUCAACUUUCUGCAUUAGAUUACUUAGUUGUGAGCUAGAACCUGAAGAAAAGUGAAGCAAGCUAGAUACAUAAAAAUUAGGCACUCCCUGCAACUCCAAUACCAAAUAGGCAGACAGACAUCUUGGCAUUCGACAGUAGGAGAUGAUGAGCUUGAGAAGUGAGAUGGUUCUGUUGAAGUAACGGUGCGUUUGGGCGGUCUGGCCGUUGACCAUUGCAUCCAUAUGUGGGGUUGGCUGGUCCUGCACCUCUUCCGGCGGUAGCGGUUGGGAGACAGCUGAAGAUCCUUCUCAAAUUUGAACUCCAUUUUUUUAAGAUUCCCUAUUUUUUGCACACUGAUGAUCACAUUUUUGAACUGUAUAAUUGAUUCCCUAUUUUUUGCACACUGAUGAUCACAUUUUUGGACAGUAUAAUUGAUCUUGGUAUGGUUUAUAGCUUCCUGCUACAACUCUUACCAUUGUCCAAUCAAGUUCAUCCAUGUCAAACACUAUCGACUUGAAACAAAGUAGUGUCAAAGAGAAGGUUUGAUUGUACUAUUUAAUCGCUCAUCAAUUUCAUUUUCUACUUUCUUCAGUUGGAAAACUUCAACCUAAAAAAUAAACUGGUGGUCUAUACGAAAUAACACAUCAGUUUUCUACUGAUUUAUGCCUCACUUUUUAUUUGUCUCAGCAGAUUAGAGUAACAAAUUGAUGGUCAUUCUCUACUUUGUAUUUGUAUUUUUUUAUGAGAUUGAUCCAAGAAAGAAUGACAUGUAUGCAAUACUCACUAAAUUGUAGGGUUGUAUAGCAAGGCUUAUAGUCUCGAAUUAUUACUGUCAAUUGUCUUAUUUUAUAAAGUAUUUUGUUUAGUGAAUAUAUAUUCCAAAAUUUCUCACGUACCGUGUCUGUAGAGGAAAAAGGACCUGAUUGCAGGACACUAAAAUAUUAUUGGUUGUCAAAGCUCCGCGGUCGCUUACACAUGUAUAUUAUCCAUGUAGUCUCGGUUAUCUAGGAUCAAUUACAACAAGGAAGUUGGAUAUUUUUUUAUAAUGGUGACAUAUUUUCUUAAUUUAAUAUACUUCCAUCUCACUAUGUUGAUUUAUUCAUGCUAUUUUGACGAGGAUGGCAUCGAUGCCAGUUCAUGGCUAUGCAAGGCAUCAGUGCUUGAUGAUUCGUCAUAGAGUGAUGUGUUACUCGUUGGGGACUUAAUUUGCAGCGGAAGCAGAUGCAGUAAACUCUGAAAACUAGAUUAUUUUUGCUCAUAUGACAUGAACACAAUGGAAUAUUUUCUAAGGGAGUUGAUCAUGCUUGCCUUUCCCUGAGCUCCAGCUAUUCACGCUACCGCAUAUAAUAUCCAUCGUAGCUAUAUAGAUGUCGCCAUCAUUAUGCUAUUAGACAUAAUCUGGACUACUGCCUUAAUUUCAAAAGGGUACAAUAUUAUUUUCAGUUUGUAUACCUUUAUGUAGUGUUGUAGCUUGGUUUAUUUGAAAUUUUAUUGUUCAUGUUAACAAUCACUAAAGAUGAUACAAUUGUGGAUGUAGGUUUCUAUUGAAACAAUCACUAAAAAUGAUAAAUAUGCAAGUGGUGACAGAUUGUUGUUACCAUGUGGAUCUUAAGCUCCACCAUUUCCUAAUUUUGCUCUCAUGUCCGCCUCUAGGUUUCUCGGCAAGGCGACAGAGUGCGAACCAUGUGCGCCUGCCUAGCUGUAUUGCGGCUCGCGGAUGCGGCACAUGAGUAGAUGAAAGAGGAAUAACUGAAGCCCCAAUGCCUCCACACAUUCUUGCUCCCGGACAAUGGGAGUACUAGGUUGCAAACUCCUUUCCCUUCCCUUAUAUUUGCAAUAUGAUGAUGACUAUAUGAUGAUAGUGUUGUUAUGAAGGUGAGAUGCCACCACAAUGUUUCAGAGGCUCACAUCUGUCAGUACUCAUUAGAUAGAACUUGUGUUGCAGUUUUUGUUAUGUGCUUCUCUAAAUUCUCUGUUGGCCAUCGUCUAUCUCUCCUGCAUAGCUAGCCCGAUGCCAUCUCAGAAGCUAAACCAAAACUUUUAAGAUGCUUGUGUAGCAAAAUGCGUUUGGAGAAGCUCAUUUAUCUUUCAGUUACUCUGUAUAAAGUGUAAUGUUCUAUUUGGUUUUGGUUACCGGUGAUGUCUAAUUCUCCAGGCUUCUUAAAAAUGAUGGCUAUGCCCAACCUGCUCAUACUAACCAACAAUAACAGCUCAGUUGUAUCUAGUAUUUCCUAUUCAUUGGUUAUAACAAUUGACUUGUGUGUAGGAUUCGUCCAGUAUAUAUUCUGGGAUAAACAAUGGUUUGGCGAUGCUAUUAGUUCAUGAGAAGUUCAAGGAGGAUUUUUGAUAUUAUUUUAUUGUUAACGAGUCAUGCCAGUAAGCUUUAUGUAUUUGUUCACCGUGGGGAGCAAUGGGGCAUUGCACACUUACCUAUUCGUAAAGAAAUAUAAGAGCGUGUAGAUCACUAAAGUAGUGAUCUAAAUGCUCUUAUAUUUCUUUAUAGAGUGUGUAUAUCUUUAGUGAUCUACAGGCUCUUAUAUUUCUUUACAGAGGGUGUAUAUUGCUACCUGGUUAUGUUGGUAUUUCGUAUACAGGCCUUGAUAUCCUUAUGUAUGGUCCUUCUUACCUACUGUGUAUUAUGAAUGGUAUUUCAACCUGUGGAAUGUAUUCCUAAUCCUGGUCUAUAGAACUACCUUUCUGAACUUGAUGUCUCAGUUGUACUCGAACAAGAGCGCACGGAGGGAGCUCUUCUACGCCACACCGGCGACAGGAACAAGGAAAAUCUAGUCCACGGUGCCACCAAUGAACAAGGUAAACAUGAGUUGUCGGUCACUUAUAAAUUCUGUACUUUGUAAUGUCGAUCCAGGAUUCAUGUGAGUAAAUCUUACUGUUCUUUGGGCCGUGUACAAAAAUAUUGUUCGGUUUUCAGUAGUAGCUGCAGUUCUAUUGUUGUGAAAGCCUCAUGGUCCAUUAGAACACCCAUUUUAGAUAGAAUACUUCAGAUCUAUUAACUGUGAUUUAGUUGUGGCAUUGAUUUUUAUUUGGUCAAAUACUCACCUAAUGAAUCUAUUGAAUGAUCUAAAUACCACCGAUUCACAUAUUAGCUUGUGCCACCGUUGAUUCUUUACUUAUCGUGUUAUUCUUAUUUUUGAGCUUGCAGGCCUGGCACAUUCUAUUACCAAAUAUAUUAUACAUAUCUAAUUGUUUGUCGUCUCAGGCACAAAGCAUGAGGUGUUUGCACCAAUUGCUUUCUUCGCACCAUGGCCAUGGCUUUGAUCGUCGAUGGACGUCACCAAUCACCUAUUCUAACUCUGGCAAGUACCCGAUGAUAUAUGAUGCCACCAGCUCUUGUGAUGUACCAUGUAAACAACCGUGUGAUCUCCCUCUUCUUUUGUGAACACGGCCUGGCGCGUCUAUCCAUCCUUUUGUACUCAAUAUCUACCUUGUACGAACAUUGCAUGGAUGGACAUUGCAUCCUUCAAUUUACCAUGUAUGAACAUUUGCAUCCUUUAAAUGUGUUUACUAUCGUUCUGGUUGCUAUGGAGAUGUGUUGUACUAUAUAUCAUUCUGAGAUGUGUUAUACCAUAUAUCAUUCUGGUAUCCAUCGAUGAUGUCUUGCCCUUAUUACAUGUGAAUGUUUGUUUGUUAUCCUAUUUGAAUACGUACGCUAAGCCUGACUUCCUACUAACUUGAGCAUUACUUGCUUGGCCAGAUCGUUGGGACCGGCACCCUCGCGCCAAGGCGCGCUGCCGAUCUAGUUGUCUAAGAAUACAUGAUGUCACCGUAACUAGUUAAGUUACUUAAUUUACCUUUUUUUUCUCAUUUCACUCGUGUCACAUAGGCAAAUUUGUUGAGUUGAACUCGACGUUACUCUUGAAAUUAUUCCCACUACAUCUAGUAUCAAUACAUGAUGUUACAAUAAUGUCACGAACUAGGUCUCCAAGGAAAGGAACUUGGAGAGGGAAUUGGGGAUCGAGGUAGCAGCCAGAAGGUUAGGUACAGACCAGAGGAUAGUUAAUCAGACUCCCCCCUUUUCUCUCCUCACCUGCCACGCCUUAAGAGAUGAGGCCACACACACACGCUCACCGCUCACUCAGUCAUUACACGAGCCUGGCCCUAGUCACGGGACGCAGCCCGGUACGCCCGUGGGCCGUGACAUUCCCCCCGCCUUAGUUUCGGCAUGUCCCCAUGCCGGUGCACGAGGAAAACAACGACACAAAUCCCCUUCCUUCUCCCAGGUCGCGCAGGACACCGGCCAGCCUGACCACUUGACGAGAAUUCUGCCUGCUGUGGUUGUUCCGUGCGUGCGUGUCUCCGAGCUGAUGAUUGCCUCAGGAAUAGUAAAGGCAAGGAAAUUCAGUUCAUCACUAACCUUGGCUUCUGUUGGAACAUGGCACUUGAGCUGAGACACGUGCACCACUGGAUGCACCUGACUUGACUUGGGCAGAUCAAGGCGAUACGCUGCAUCACCAAUUCGAGCCAGAAUCUUAUAUGGUCCGAAGAAGCGGAAAGAGAGUUUCUGGUUCAACUUGUCGGCCAAUGACGUCUGUAUAUAUGGCUGAAGCUUGAGGUAAACCGAGUCACCAACCUCGAAACUUCAUUCAGAGCGAUGCUUGUCUGCUUGCGACUUCAUCCUUUGCUGGGCACGAAGCAAUUGUUGAUGGAGGAGCUGCAACAUCUCACUGCGCUCUUGAAGCCACGCAUCCAAAUCAGCCACAGAACUAGUGGUGCUUGGUACAAUUCCAAGAUGAUGAGGUACAUGUCCAUAGAGCACUUCGAACGGUGUCUUGUCCAACGCCGAGUGAUAUGUAGUAUUAUACCAGUACUCAGCCAGGUGGAGCCACUCAAACCAUUUCUUAGGACAAGCAUGCACUAUGCAGCGAAGAUAUGUUUCCAAACACUGGUUCAGCCGCUCAGUUUGGCCGUCCGUAUGUGGAUGAUAGGCGGAGCUCAUGUGCAGCACUGUGUCAGAGAGUUUGAAGAGAGCUUGCCAAAAGUUGCUGGUGAAGAUACGGUCGCGAUCAGAGAUGAUCACCUCAGGCAAACCAUGAAGACGGUACACAGAAGUCAUAUAUGCUUGAGCCACUUGGAGGGCUGUGAAUGGAUGAGCCAAGGGAAUGAAAUGCCCAUACUUGGUAAGCUUGUCGACGACAACCAGAAUUAUGUCGUGCCGGUGUGAUUUGGGUAACCCUUCAAUGAAAUCAAGGCUGACCACCUCCCAUGGCCUUUUGGGAAUGGGCAAGGCUGAAGCAAACCGGGUGUCUUGACAUGUUUAGGUUUGGCACGCUGACAGGUCUGACAUUCCGCCACAAAUCGUUUGACAUCCUGCUUCAUUUUGGUCCAUGCAAACAGUUGUUUGAUACGAUGAUAAGUGGCAUAGAUUCCAGAAUGUCCCCCGAUGCCACUGGAAUGCAGAGCUUGCAUAAUGUGGUUCUGAGCCAAGGGGUUGGCUCCAACCCAAAUACGGCCUUUGAAGCGAAGAAGACCAUCUCGGAGGGAAAAUUCACCCUUCCCCAUGCCUGGCGGUGAUGCGCUUAACUCAGCUAUGAGUUGAGAAGCAUGCGGAUCAUCCGUGUAACCCUGUUGAAGAUUGUCCAUCCAUGCUGGGGUCGCUGAAGAAAUAGCCAUCACUCCGGUGUCCUCGUGUUGCCGAGACAGUGCAUCUGCUGCUUGAUUGGCCACACCUUGUUUGAACUGAAUCUUAUAUUGCAAACCCAUGAGCUUGACAAAAGCCUUGUGUUGGACACCAGUGUGCAAACGUUGUUCUCCAAGGUGCAACAGACUACGAUGAUCCGUGCGGAUGAUGAACUCAGCAUGUUGCAAGUAAGGGCGCCAUUUGUCUAUGGCGUAGAUGAUGGCAAGACACUCCUUCUCAUAGGUAGACAGGGCUUGACUUCGAGUGCACAAGGCCGUACUGAGAUAUGCCACUGGGUGCUCUUUCUGCAUGAGGACUGCUCCGAUGCCCGUGUUGCAUGCAUCCGUUUCCAACACAAACUGUACCCCAAAAUCCGGAAUGGCUAAAACUGGUGCCUUGAUCAUAGCUUGCUUGAGCAGUUCAAAAGCAGUUUGCUGGUCGGGACCCCAUUGAAAUGGAACGUGUUUCUUCAGAAGUUGAGUCAAUGGUCGUGCCAGGAUGCCGUAAUGCUGUACAAACUUGCGGUAGUACCCAGUUAAACCUAGAAAUCCACGCAAUGCCUUGGACGAUCUCGGGCAAGGCCAAUUCUUCACUGCUUGGACUUUGGCCGUACCGGUUUCCACCCCUUUUUCACUCACCACGUGCCCCAAAUAUUCGAGUUCUUGUUGCAUGAAAGAACAUUUGCUUCGCUUCAAGAAAAACUGAUUUUGUUUCAGUACCUCAAAGACCCGUCGGAGCUGUUGCAAAUGUUCUUCUUUUGUUUUGUUGUAAACUAACACAUCAUCAACAAACACAAGCACACCGUGGCGAAGAUCAGGUUCAAAGAGUUGAUUCACCACUCCUUGGAAGGUUGGUGGUCCAUUAGUGACCCCAAAGGGCAUCACCAGGAACUCAUACAAGCCUUGAUGAGUCUAGAAUGCAGUUUUGUAUUGAUCUUCUACUGCAACACGAAUUUGAUAGUACCCCGACCUGAAAUCCAAUUGGGUGAAAAAUCGGGCACCUGCUAACUCAUCGAGUAACUCGUCAAUCACUGGCAUGGGGUGCUUGUUCUUGAUUGUGAGGGCAUUGAGGUGACGGUAAUCAACGCAGAAACGCCAGCUGUCAUCUUUCUUUCGCACAAGCAACACCGGAGAAGCAAAUGGACUCACCCUGUGUUGAAUAAUGCCGUUGCGCAACAUCUCCUUAACUUGCUUUUCAAUCUCUGUUUUUUGUUGUGGUGUAUAGCGAUAGGGGCGUACUUUAACUGGUUGUGCUCCAGCCACCAGUGGAAUGCGAUGGUCUGCAGCUCGACGUGGCGGCAGGGCUUGAGGUGUAGCAAACAGUUCAGCGAACUCCUCCAACAGUGGCUGCACUUCACUCGGUAUAGUAUGUUCCUCUGUUUCAGAGCUUUGUUCAAGGGAACACACCAUGGAUACUGCCACUGGAGACACUUGCACCAUGUGUGUGACCGCAUGAUGACGAAGCAGCCCACGCACCUUCCUUGCUGACAUCUUCUUGCAACUCACGACUUUGUCAGUAAUCCCUUGGAGGGUGAUACGUCUCCCCUUGUGAGAGAACCGAAGACAAUGCCCCCUCCAGUUUGCCCACAUGGGGCUAUGAUCACAAAGCCAGUCGGCUCCCAGAAUCAGGUCAUAACAGCCAUCGGUAGCACCUUGACAUCCUGAGUGAAUGAAUGUCCUUGCACUCCCCAUUCCAGUUGAGGCACAAAAGAAUCACACCUCAUCCUGUUGCCAUCUGCAAUAACAAACGUCGAUGGAGGCGUUGGUUCGGUGGUGAGAUCCAUCUCCUUGACCAGUUGCUCAUUCACAAACGAGCAAUCACUGCCUGAGUCCACUAGGAUUAAUAUGUGUCGCUUGCCGAUGAAACCGUGCAGCCGGAGUGUGCGCUUGGUCGAGCUCUUGGACACAGCCUCCGGCGAGCGAAGCAUCAUGAUCUCACUAUCAUCACUGGAUGCACCCAUCUCGCCCUCUUCUGUUGGAGGAUCCUCAGCUUGGAGCACCUCAAUCAGUUCCUCAAUAACAUGGAGAGGCACGUGAUUAGGGCACUUGUGUGUUUUGCUCCAUUUGUCUCCGCAGGUGAAACAUAACCCUUUUGCCCUGCAGAAGGCCUUGAGAGACUCCACCUUGUCAUCUGUCUUGGAGGAGGUAGCAGGACAAGCCUCAUCAGAUUUGCCAGUCACUUUGGACCGUAUAUUGUGCUUGUACUGAUCGCGAUCAUGCUUGUUCUGGUCACGAUCGUGCUUGUAAAAUGAACGCCUCUUGUACGGGUCCAGCUCCUCUUCCUGCAACAUUGCCAAAGUACAAGCAGUAUCGAGAUUUUCGGGGCGAUGUAACCAAAUAGCAGAACGAAUGUCAUCCCGCAAUCCCGAAACAAACUCCUCCACAAAGAAACUCUCAUCUAAGUUGGAAUUGUAAAGCAAAAUUGAGGCCUUAGUUGCUCAAAAUGCUCAUAGUACUCAGCUACACUACCAGUUUGCCUAAGAGCAUGCAAUUGUCUACGGUAAUUGGCAUACUUGUUCUUCCCAAACUUCUCCUGCACCAAACUGCACAUAGUUGGCCAAUUAUCUAUGCGGCCCUGGGCUUCAACAUUCUGCCACCACAAGGCAGCUGUACCCCGAAAGUUCAGCAUACCAUAGCGAGUUUUGAAGCUCUCCUGGACUCUAAACAACUCAAAAUAAACUUCACAUUGUUGCUGCCAGAGCUUAGGAUUUCCCCCAUCAAACUUAGGGAAUUCCAUUUUGGGUGUGUGCGAUCCUGGUGGACGCCCCCAAUGCUCACGAUAUGUCCUAUCAUCUUCAUACCCAUGCUCUCCUCCCCCAAAAUUGCGACCCGGAAUUGAGACACUAUGAUUGGGUGCACCUGUGACCGGGGCACGCAUCCCGGCUCCCAAGAGCCCAGGAGCAUCACCCCGGAAGAGAUGGGCGUCGCGGCGGUCACUUGACCCGAAUCCAGCACGCCCGAGGUGGUAGUGGUCGGCGGCGGCUCGAUCCUGAUGCGGGCGCAGCAGGUGCGUGGACGGCACCGGUGCAGCCCUUGGAGAUGGAGCGCUCACUCCUCCGCAGUCGAUCUCCGGCUGCUCGACCCCAGGCCCCGCGUCCUGGUUGCUUGCGGGCGGCGGCCCCCUGGUCGAGGCCGUCCUGAUGUCGACGGUGGCCGGCCCCUCCGGCGACGUGGACGCACCGCCGCCCCCAUUGAUCUGUGCUGCUUCCAUGGCCGCCUUUGUCUGGGCUUGCUCCUCUUUCAACUCCGCCACCGCCCCCUUCAAAUCCUUGAACUUCGCGAGCAGCUGCUUCAUCAGAUCGGCCAUAGUCUGAUUCUGCUCGUUCAUCUCCUCCACUCUCUGGCUCAUGGCCUCGAUCUGCUGGUUCUGUUUGUUCGGCGCCAGAGUGGGCAGGAUCGGUUGCUCUGAUACAAAUUGUCACGAACUAGGUCUCCAUGGAAAGGAACUUGGAGAGGGAAUUGGGGAUCGAGGUAGCAGACAGAAGGUUAGGUACAAACCAGAGGAUAGUUAAUCAGACUCCCCCCUUUUCUCUCCUCACCUGCCAUGCCUUAAGAGACGAGGCCACACACACACGCUCACCGCUCACUCAGUCAUUACAUGGGCCUGGCCCUAGUCACGGGACGCAGCCCGGUACGCCCGUGGGCCGUGACAAAUAACUAGUUAAGUUACUUAGUUUACCUUUUUUGUCAUUUCACUCAUGUCACAUAGGCAAAUUUGUUGAGUUGGAAUCGAUGUUACUCUUGAAUUACUCCCACUACAGCUGAUAACGCCCACACGUGUGGUGGGAGCAACACCCGUCCACACACCCUAUAACACACAGAUUGCGCCACGUCUCCGCAUGCAUGCAUGUGGGAAACUUUUUAGAUUUUCAGUUUUAAAAUGUUUUAGCUCUUAAAUAAAAAAUUUGAUUGAAGAUCUGUUUUCACCAUUAAAUCCAUCACGACGAGAUCUUCGAAAUUAGAUCUCAUAUCAAUAUGUUUCGACGACUUUUUUGGGGGGUAAAAGUUGCAAUGUCCAUUACACAUGAAUAGCCAUGGUGUUUACAUUGAAGUUGCCAUGAUAUAUUUCAGCUAUUUUUCUUCUACAUUUAAAAGUAAAUUUUGAUAUAUUAUAAAACGGGGAAUUAAGAAACUAGACUUGCCAUAAAUCAUAAACUAAAAUUGUCAUGAUACAUGCACUUAAAAUUGCCAUGGUUUAUACAAAAAAUAAUUUUCAUGUCAAAGUACUGGAAUUGCCAUGGUCAAAAUACUAAAAUUGCCAUGAUCUAUAAACUAAAAUUGCCACAUGACAACUUUAGUGUGAACACUAUGACAACUACAAUGUAAACAUCACGGCAACUUUUGGCAAACGAAAAAAAAUCGUCAAGACGGAUUUAAUGAUGAAAACAAAUUUUUAAUUAAGAGAUAAAAUAUUGUUAAGCCGAAAACCAAAAAAAUUCCCGCUGACGUCAUCUAUUUUGACGUGACAAAAUGAAUGAUAAUAAAGACGUUUGGGCCAUGUUGCUUCGUGGCACAUGUGUGGGCGUUAUCAUUUGGGUAAAUCAGAUCCACCGUCAAAAUCACAUGAGGCAAAAGCUCGGAUGACCGUUUAAUAUUAAUACGGCUACAUCAAUUUUCAUUUUAAUCUUUCCUUUCCUCAAGGGAUGGGCAAGAAUAACACUAGCACUAUAGAUUGUCAUGGACCUCGUGGCACUAUUAAAUCCCUUAACUUUUGAGCAAGCUGUGUAACCACCCACUAACCACGGCACUAAAAAGAUGUUAACUUUUCGCUGGAGCAGCUCGGACUGACAAUCCCGGAUUAUUAAAUGGCAGUGAUAUGAUAAUGCAGCCGUGAUGUUCAUGACGUGGUGCCCAUGUUCUUCUAGUCCUCCCACUUUCCGUUUUGCCGAUGAUGCUGCUCACUACUGAAUGCACGGAUCACGACGCACCAGAGUAGUGUAUGUCUCAAGCAACCAGGAGGGGGGCGGUCUCGAACCCGACAGAGACCAUAGCGGGUCGAACCCCCACACGAGGAGCCCCGAACUCUUGUCGGUCGGCCCGCGAAGCCAUCGCCCUCCUGCUAACCUUACCCGCCAACAGCUAAAGUGUGAAGUCAAUGGCCCCACCUGGCAGCGAGGCGAGCACUCCCCCUCCCAGUCGUAAACAACGCCCACUGAGGCACUGACGCCGAAUCCCCUACCAAAUCCCCGCCUAAUCGCGGUUCUAAAUCUCGGAUCCGGGGCCGGGCGCGCUGAGCUGUCCCCGUCGAUCGCACGCACCAGCGGUUGGGGUCUCGCCGGGCGCCACCAUCAGCGGCAACUUUGCUUCCAACCGAAGCGCGAGCGGCACUGCACGGAGUAGGCAUUGAUUAAUCGCCCGGUUUUUUCACCGUCCUUUCGGCAAUUGUUUUCCUUAAGGAAAAAGCUGAUGUCGUUGGAGCAAGUCGGGCGGUGUGGUGUGGUGGGAUGGGAUCUGAGCUGAGCUGAUCGGCGCCGGUUGGUAGCAGUCGGUGUGUGUUUCAUGCGAGGUGGAGGGGGAGGGACAGGGGGCGCUUAUAAAUACGGCUCAGAUCUGGGAGGGCUUUCCACCUCGCCUCGUCGUCCGCCCACGGUCUAAUCCGAUUCAAACGCACCGCUUCCUCGUGUCCGAACUAAGCCCCAAUCCCGUCACCACCGCCGCUGGUGAGCGCCCGUUCGUUCUCAACUUCCUUCCUCGAUCGCGAUCGUCGAUCAGAUCGUGUCCAGAAUCUCGGAAGGUUUUGGGUUGGGUUGGGUUGGGCUGCUGCGUCGUGUGGCUUCUGACCAUCUCUCCUCUCGGCCCGGUUGGAUCUGCGUGUGCAGGUGCUCGGCGCGAUGGCGCAGAAGGACGCCGCCAAUGGCAACGGCGCCACCACGCGCCCGCCGCCCACUCCCUCCCCCAUCCGCUUCUCCAAGUUCUUCCAGGUACGCCUCGGGAUCUGAUCGCGGCUGGAUCUCGCUGCUCGUCACACGACUGGCGCUAAUUUUGGGACUCUGUGGGGGUUUGGGCAGGCCAACAUGCGGAUCCUGGUCACCGGCGGAGCUGGCUUCAUCGGCUCGCACCUCGUCGACAAGCUCAUGGAGAACGAGAAGAACGAGGUCAGGACCAGACCCCCUAGCAUCAUUCUAGCUGUUAGCGAAAUUCACCUGUGCGGGGUCAACUCCCUUCCGCUUGGAUCUGAGUGGCACAGUCAGAGUCACCAACUGAGUGGGUCUAGAAUUUCGUGAAAACGACGUUCUGAGUGGAGAGCUGCUUUGUGCCAGGCCAGAUCUCAGUGUGCAAGCUUGUGCAUUAGUUUUUGCAUGCUGUGGGGCACUACUGUCUAGAGCUUAAGCUGGAAACUUUGCUCCACUCUCAAUUUCUUUAGAACUACAGAGAUCCAGUGGCAAUGCUUUAGAGAACUAUCUGAUCUGUUUCAGAAUGUGAGGUCAACUGAGAUCCAGUGGCAAUGCUUCUGAGAUCUUGCUAUGAGUCUGUGACUAUUUUAUUCUAGGAACCUCCCUUCUGAAUCAUGCAGAGUGCCUGUUAGUGGUACUGAGCUCUCUUAUGUUCACCUCUCUCAGUACAUUUAAAAACAGAGGGGUGUACUGUUUAUCUACAAUUCUACAUGAUUCGAAGCUCGGCUCAUCAUGUAGAAUUCAGUGUUGUUACUAUGCAGUUCUGUACAGACAAACUUAGCAAAUGUAGACCAAUCUGAUCGUGCCUUCUUUUUGGUUCAGGUCAUUGUUGCUGACAACUUUUUCACUGGGUCAAAAGACAACCUGAAGAAGUGGAUCGGACACCCAAGAUUUGAACUCAUCCGUCACGGUAAUACUGCAUGCUGAAGGCAUCUUGUAGUAAAUUCUUGAAUCAUCUCCUUUCCAUGUGGCUAUACUAUUUUGUAAUGAACACAGAUAGUUGACACCUAUGAGUUGUUUCUUUCCACUGUUCCUUUAAAGUAUACAGAUCAUUGUUUAACACAUGAGAAAUAGAGAACCAUAUAAGUUUAUAAGGUCAUAGCCAAUGGCUGUACAAAAACCAUGUCCUGAGUUGUCUGUUGAAUUGAACCUGCAAUAUUCUAAACUAGUCAGUGAAGCCUUUGAGUUAACUACACCUCAGUAUCUCAUUUGUCUAUGGCAUGCUUAUGUGACUUUCUUUUGGUAACUUUCUGUUCUAGAUAGAAAGGACAUCCAUGCAUAUUUAUACACUUCGCUCAAGUGUUAUAGUCCAACCAUAUUCCAAGACUAAGUGAUUGUCCAACCAUGAAAACAAGCCAAAUUGCCGUUAACUUGUGCUGCAAUGCUCAAGUGUUAUAUCUUCGUCAUUACAUUCUUGUGCGUGAGUUUCACAUUAAUUUUACAUUUUGCUGCAUUUCAGAUGUCACCGAACCACUGCUCGUGGAGGUUGACCAAAUCUACCACCUUGCUUGCCCUGCCUCACCAAUCUUCUACAAGCACAACCCUGUCAAGGUGUGUGUAGGCUCUGUUUUUGUGUUUAUUCUGUCAUAACUGCUCCUAUCUGUCCUGACACACGCAUGGGUGUAAAUAUCUUGUACAGACCAUCAAGACGAAUGUCAUUGGAACCUUGAACAUGCUUGGACUUGCAAAGAGAGUUGGAGCUAGGUCAGUGUUUAUCACUUAGAUCGAUUGUGGCAGUAUCAUGGCAGAAAUGAAAACCAUAUUAACCUGAGGUUUUGUGUUCAACUGCAGAAUAUUGUUGACUUCGACCUCUGAAGUUUAUGGUGAUCCCCUUGAGCAUCCUCAGACGGAGGCGUACUGGGGCAAUGUUAACCCAAUUGGUAUGCCUGUUCAUCUGGCAAAAAUGUUAUGUUAUCUUUUCUAAACUUGUGCCACGUAAGUCUCAUGUUUUGAAUUUAUUUUCUUUAUCAGGAGUCAGGAGCUGCUACGAUGAGGGUAAGCGUGUAGCUGAGACACUGAUGUUCGACUACCACAGGCAGCACGGCAUUGGUAAUACUUUGACCUUAAAUUUAAACUAAUCUAUUUGCUAUUAGUUUGUUCGUCCUUCAAUAAGUCUUCGGUUAUGAGUUGUCCUUAAUAAGUAUAUGUCGUCUAUUUCUGUAGAGAUCCGUAUUGCCAGGAUUUUCAACACCUAUGGACCUAGGAUGAACAUCGAUGAUGGCCGUGUUGUUAGUAACUUCAUUGCUCAGGCCAUUCGGUAAUUCUUGUUUGACUUGACUUUUUCUGAUCUUGCGUCCAGAUAGUUUUGGUGCUUAUUUGUUGUAAUUUGUAGUGGUGAAGCACUGACUGUCCAGAAGCCUGGAACACAGACCAGGAGCUUCUGCUACGUCGCUGAUAUGGUUUGUUUUCUACUAUCAUCUUACUAUUGAAUACUAUCUUGUCAAAACUGUGGAUGGUCACCUUACCAGUGGUGUACCAUUUCAAUGCAGGUCAAUGGUCUUAUGAAGCUGAUGAAUGGAGACAACACCGGACCCAUUAACAUUGGGAACCCAGGUAAACUUCUUUUGCAAAAAAAAUAAUAAUAAUAAAAAAUCUUUGGCAACGCGCUAACAACUUGAUCUGUAAAUUAUUUAUAAUUCUGCACUUUCGUUCCUGUGGUGAUGAACUGGACUUUCUUUAAAUGUAGGUGAAUUCACCAUGCUGGAACUUGCCGAGAAUGUGAAGGAGGUAAGUGGGAUAUUCUAUACUCAUCGACUCAUUACAUCCAACCUUUUUGUUUCAAGUAGCAGUGCUCCAUUCAGCUUCAAUGCAUGACAAUUCUGGAUGGUAUAAUAACAUGUGUGAUUUUACUUACAGUUGAUCAACCCAGAAGUGACAGUGACGAUGACUGAGAACACUCCUGAUGACCCUCGCCAGAGGAAGCCUGACAUCACCAAGGCCAAGGAGGUUCUCGACUGGGAGCCCAAGGUCGUCCUGCGCGACGGCUUGGUGCUCAUGGAGGACGAUUUCAGGGAGCGUUUGGCAGUGCCCAAGAAGACCAAGGCCUAAUCCCCCUCCCUACGUUUGGCGUACAACAUCACCAAUUUGCCAGAGCAUACUCAUAGUUGGGUGGGUUCGUCAAUAUUCGUUGCUGCGUUUCGUUACGGAAUUUGAGUUCCAAUAAACCAAUUACACCUUCGUCGUUCACUUGAAAGAUUGUAUUAUUAGAAACUUCAUACAAGGCGUGGCUGUUUGUAUUACCGUCGCUUUUUGCGGAACUUGUGCUCCUUAUGUUUUAGCAUAUGAACUUCCCUAAAUCAAUUAUAGCAAUGUUCGUGCCAUUUUGGGUUUGUUAUUAAAGUUUUUUCUGCCAAGAUAUUUCUCUGAUGCUUGCCAAGUGGUCCUAUUUCUUGUCUUUAUUUGUUCCCAUUUCCUUUCUUUGGAAAAGAGGCGGCAAAGGGCACCUUUUAUUCAUUAUCAAGCUUACAUUCAGUAUUGGACACUCCUUUACAUAUUGAUUGCCAAUCUUUGAAAGCAUAGGACACUGAUCAGUCACCUGUAUGUGCUAAGCUACAGCAUGCCAGAUUUUUUUUGCCCACUACCUUGUCUGAUUUACACUUGCUUCUGGGACACAGAGUUAAGGUUCCUUGGUACUGUAUGUGAUAAAUCUGUAUCUUCAUUCAUGUUUGCUGUUGUGGCAAAGAAAUAUUCUCCCAAUGUCCAGGGGUGUGAAUAAUAUUUCGCGGCGCUGCUUCCUUUACCAGGGUCGGAUUAUCCACCAGAAGAGUGACCUCCUUGCAUCUGAAUUUGGAAAUUGUUUCUGCAGCAACCUGAAAGGCCAUAGCCUCUGCUUGUAAUCGGGAAAUGCCAUGUUUGCCACCUGCUGAAACAAAGAAGUUUGCUUUUACUUCAUUUUCUUCUACUUGUAUAUUUAUUCCAAUGUCUGCUGUGUUUGAUCCUGUACCCUGUAGUUUCUUGAUUCAGGCCUCCUUUGGUUUAUCAUGGGAAUAGGAAAAAUAUAUGAAGUGAAAUGACAUGUACGUCAAAUUCUGUAAGAAAAGAGAUGUGAUUUGGUUUAUAGGAUAUGAUUUUUUCCCCAUUGAAUCUAGGCUAAUGUUUUCUUUUCCUUUGAAUACAAAGGAUUGCCUCAUAUCCUAUACAAGAAUAUGAUUCUAUUUCUACAUAUCAAAGGGCUUCAAAGGAAAUUUUCCUACGAAAUUCCUAUCCUUCAUUCCUGCAAACCAAAGGAUAGUGUUGAGCUUGGUUCCUUGAAGAGCCUGCAUAGUCUGUAUAAGUUGUUCAAGUCUUGCUCUGCAUCAUUUGGUCCAUCUGCUUGGGAGUAUUAGUAAAUAUGCACGUGCAACGCACGUCUCAACUAAUAUUACAAUCAUAUGUAAAAAAGCACAUCGUUUGGUAUAAUUAGUACCCUCAACCUGAACAUAUUCUACUACCGUACAUCCAUUUUAAAUUAUAUAUAUAAUUAAGAGCCAUUUUAUAUGCCAAAAUCUGUUAUUAGAAACAGUAUUGAUCAGUUUUAGAUUUUACGUAUACACCUAAAUUAAGCAAGCAUUCAGAUAUGACAUACAUUUCCAAAGCAACACCGGAAGAAUUCUUAACUCUCAAGAUUGAAGGCUCUACUGUAUUUUCAGGGAUGUGCCUGCAAACUUGUUUAGUCAUCAAUCCACAAUAUAUGCAUUUCUAUUGUAAAAUAAUUCCUUGCAGGGUACACAUGUGCAGCUAACAUGCAUUUCUACAUCACAUUAUUAUUAUUAUCGAUAAUUACUAACUUGUCUAACUUCCUCUCCAUUUCUCAUUUGAACAUGACACAUAUGCAGGAGCAGAGAAGGAGACCCAGAUGGUUACCAAACCGGUGGCGAAGAAGAUGACAAUGACUCAGAGAAGCACCUACAGUGACAGUCAUAUGGCCGAGCUUGAGCAGCACCAAGACCAUACGCCCCUCAAACAUUAAUGAAAAACUUGGUCAUUAUUUUUGUUCCAGCUAACAGGUUAGCCCCACUUGCCCCUCAAACAUUAAUGAAAAAUGUGGUCAUUAUUCUUGCUCCAGCAAACAGGUUAGCCCCACUUACCUUCCCUGCCUCAUCACCAAGGUAGAUAAUAACAUAGUAGUAGCAUACAAAAACCCGGACAUCAGCAGGGCAGGUUGCACACUUUGUAAACUGAUGACAUCAGCAGGGCAGGUUAUUUUCCUGCUAACAUGAAAUCAAUCACCCUAUGCCUUUUAAAAAUGCUUUUCAAUGUACCCUGCAGUACCAAAUUAUCAGUCCAACUAAAACAAGAUCGGUAGGUAAUUCUAAAUUUAUUAUUCAAAUUACCAGCGAGAGAGUUAUCUGACCAUAAACACAAUAUUCAUUAGCUAAUUGACUAUGCGGCGAUAAUCCUCUUACAUUACUGCCCACCAAACUCAGAGAAGUAGUUUAGUUGCAUUACUUCUUGCCAUGGAUUGAUAGCAGUAAGGACAACCGAUAAUCCAAAAUAAUGAAGUUAGAAAAAUAUAAGUUGGGGCAUACUGAUCUUAUGGGUGACUGUAUCCGGUCAAAUAAUGGUGGGCGAGCAUAGAGACGUCUGUCUUGUCCGUUGGGUGAACAAUUGCAAUGGAGAACUAAUGUGGGAGGUGUCCUAGAGCAGUAUCGACACUAUACUGCAGAUAACUUAACCCAUCAGAAGUUCUAAAAUGACCCAAAGAAUCAGAGAAUGAGGAAAUGGAGAGGGCUACAUACAUAUGUCAAGUUGAUACCUGAAACCAGUCAUUUGGAUCACAAAUACUACUCAGUCAGCUUGAACCUAAAAUAAGAACCAAGAUGAGGGAAGCUGCCGACCUUGAAAUAGAAUCAAUAUGAAGAUCAUGUGUCUCAAAAAUCUUGUUUGCACUUGGUAGUGAACUACUUAUUUACAACAAUUUUUCUUUUCUGGUGUACAUGAGAUAUUGGGUAUCGAUUGCUAGCUAACUACACAACACUAACAUAUGUGAGCCGCUAGAUAGAAUUAAAUGCGAACAAGAUCUGUAGGUAAUUACAUCUAUAAUAAUUUGGUGGAAAAAAUCAAGCCAUAAUGAUCCCAUUGACAUGUUAAAACUUGCAUCAAAAUUCAAACAUAGUACAAAUAUCACUUUGAAAAUGAACAUCAUAAAUCCAGAAAAUACAUUGAUCCAAUAGAUAACUCAAAACACAGAGAAUCGCUCACUACUAUUAUUAAUGAGUAAAGGUAAGAAGAAACUCAUUUGCACACUCCGCAAAUAUAAGAAAACUAAUGCAAAAGGGCACUAUACAAGACAUAUAUACCAAUAUUGUAUUGACCGAUCACAAUAAUAAAGCAAUCAGUCUUGGUUUGAGGUGCUUGGUCAGAAGCAGCAGAGCGGGACUGGAGGACGACACAACAUCCAGGGCAGUGGCUAGUUCAUCUGCUCAGGCAGAAGGUCAAGGUGCACCUGACGUAGUUGACUGACGUAGUUCGGUCAGACCUGCAUAUAUAUGUCCAAUUUUCAAACAUCUCCAGAGCAAAACAAACAAAAUGAAAGACUGUACUUCUGAAAUCAUCAUGUUGCAAAAAGAAUAGUGAAAUAUAAUAGCAGAUGGUAACACAUAGAAGAAUGUUUAUUACCUCUUGUCUCAUGUCCUUGCUGACGACUUUGCCAUUUCAAAAAUCUUCCUCCACCCUUCCAUUAGACCGUACUUCUGAAAUCAUUAUGCUGCAAAAAGAAACACCAAGUUCAGCAAGCCAAAAGUUCAUUUCUUCUACUUUACCAAACUAUAAAUUCGUAAGUUAGGUCUCAAAAGUUCAGCGAGCCAAAAGUUUAUUCCAGUAAAUUUUUUUGUGAAAUCCUAUAUCGCUUGAGCAAUGGAUUUGCAUUGUCCAUCCUAUAAUACUGUCCAUAUCUACAUCAAGUAGUACAUGUCUUGCUAUCUUGUAUUGUGAUGGAUUAGUUCUCACUUUUAUCUAAUCGAUGCAUCUGUCGCCAUUUAAUAUGAAAUUCACAGAGAUUAGCUGAUGUAUUAUUCUUCAAUUCCUUCUCCCACAUAUUACAAUUUGGAAUGCAAUUGACUCCUCGGAAAUUUGAUGAACAGAAAAAAUGUUGAUUGAAGAGAGGAAGGGCGUGUGACGUACAGCUUGUUGGCAAGGGCUGGACUUCGUCCUCUGCUUGGACCAACACGGCGGAUGCAUGAGGAGUGGAGAGAGCCCGCAUCCGGCGGAAGCAAGGCAGGGGGUCAGAUAGCACCAUGGUGCCCUGCCCGCGUCACCGUUAAGCCAGGCAGCAAGCCAGCAACUCGUGUCGGCGACCCUCCUGCGGCAACGUAGUUCGUGCCUCAACGCUGCUGCACCAAGCGUUUGCCGCGCGCCCGUGCCAAGCCGACACAAACCAGGUGCCCCGUCGUCGCCCUCCUUGGGGAUGGCCGUAGCUUCGCCCCGGCACGCCCUCCGGCGGGGGCGGCGAGACAGGGAGGAGUUAGGGAAGGGAAGGGGUGGUGGCUAGGGUUCUCCCCCGAGACGCAUGGAGGCGCUGGCCCUAGCUUCGCCCCGGGGCGCACUCCGGCGGCGGCGGCGAGACGGGGAGGAGGUAUAGGGGAGGGAAGGAGUGGCGGCUAGGGUUCUCCCCCGAGACUCAUGGAGGCGACGUGGUGGUUGCGAAGAUGAGAUAUGGAGAGCCCUUUGCGUUGACGAAGCGUUGUACGCGGACGCGCGUGGAAUAUUCCUUCGCGGGUGGAGUGCGUUCUGCUAAAUUGCUAAUUGCACACAUAGCUCGGGAUUUAAUUAACUGUAUCCAUUAGAUUUUAUUUAGUGGGACUAAUCUGACGAUGGUAAUUAGGUUGGGUACAUCUGCGGGUGGCUUAAAGAAAGAAUUAGUUUGAUUGUUUAAUAGUAGUAUAGAUAUAGAUUAUUUAGUGGGACUAAUCUGACGAUGGUAAUUAGGCUGGGUACAUCUGCGGGGUGGCUUAAAGAAAGAAUUAGUUUGAUUGUUUAAUAGUAGUAUAGAUUUGAUUUCCUGCCAAAGAGGUUGUCAUUCCUGGUUUUCCAAAUAUACAGUAAAAAUGUCAUAAUAAUCUUUUAAAUCACUACAGAUACUAAGCUCCCACGAAAUGGGAGCAUUUGGUGCGUGAGGGCUAUGUCGGCUAGCGGUAAUUUAUUUUUUUGACCAACUGUUGGCGGUAAGUGGGCCUGGUUUUGGGAUAGUCGGUUCUAACUGGGCUUGUUCAGGUGCCUCAUGGCGUGCCUGUUUUAGCUAGGAAUGAAGUUGGUUCAGAGGUGUCAAGUAGAGAGGUUAGAUCUUCUCUGCUCUGUUGGAGCCUUUGCAAUAAGAAAGUGGAUUAGGAGAGAGAGAGCUCGCAGACGAUGUUCCCUUCCUUCAGGAUCAGCCUCAUGAAAAUCUUAUAUUCCCUGAGGAGGAUUUUUUUUACAGACCAGAGGGGCUAUCUAAAUCCUAAAGUAAAGGCGAGCGAUCGAAGUAGAAGUCGACCGCCUAAAAAAAGACGUCUGUAAAAGAACUUCGACUUCUAUUAGUUUCUUUUCUUCUUUAAUGCAAUAGCUAUAGUUUGAUAUAAGAAUCCAUUUCGAAAUACCUCGACUUUUUCAGAACAGGUCCGAGUCAAAUAGCAAUGCAGAAAGAAAAACAACGACUGGAGUGGGGGAGUCAGAGUCGAAAAGAGGAUAUCGUCCGAUUCUCCUUCUAUUGAUUCUUUUCCGAUCAAGAUGUUAUCCUACUAGUUUUUUCUUUGCCAAAUUACCCGCUGGCGUUACUACGAGGAAACUGUUAUGAUACUAAACCUCAUGCCCUAUCGACCCGUCAAUUUUGGAUCCAAUUCGGGAUUUUUCUUGGGAGGUCCUGCGGCAAAAUAGCUCGAUGCCAGAAUGAUAAAAAGCUUAACACCUCUUAUUUGACUUUUUCACUAUUUUGCUAGAAAUCGAUCACUGAUCCAAUUUGACUACCUCUACGGGAUAGACCUCAACAGAACCAAUAUGGCUCCAACCUGGGGUUGGUCUCCUCCCCUUCCAUGGCGGCUGCGGGUGCGGAUGGUGGUCUGUUCCCGCACGGCCGUUCCCCUUCUUCCUCGCGCCCCCGCCCCGCUGGGUCUCCUGCCUCUGGUGGCCGCGGCUCUACACUUAGCGGCUCGGUGAAGCUCAUGAAGAAGACGGCGGUGCGCAAGGUCAGCGCGGAGGCGGUGCGCGCGAUGGAGCCGCUGGGGGCGCAUGUCACUCCGAGGCAGUCGGUCAUGGCGCUGGCGGCCCCGACAGCGCCUCCAGUGGACCAGCUGCUGCAGGACGCCUCCAAGACGGUGCUGAUUUUGAAGGCCAAGCGCACGAAGAUGGUGCCAGCGGCGCCGGUGCGCACCAGCUCGCGUUCGAAGGGGGCCAAGGGCAAUAUGCCGUCCUUGCAGAGGGCGCAACUCCUCCAAGCCCAGAAGAACAUGGAGAUCUCAGNNNNNNNNNNNNNNNNNNNNNNNNNNNNNNNNNNNNNNNNNNNNNNNNNNNNNNNNNNNNNNNNNNNNNNNNNNNNNNNNNNNNNNNNNNNNNNNNNNNNNNNNNNNNNNNNNNNNNNNNNNNNNNNNNNNNNNNNNNNNNNNNNNNNNNNNNNNNNNNNNNNNNNNNNNNNNNNNNNNNNNNNNNNNNNNNNNNNNNNNNNNNNNNNNNNNNNNNNNNNNNNNNNNNNNNNNNNNNNNNNNNNNNNNNNNNNNNNNNNNNNNNNNNNNNNNNNNNNNNNNNNNNNNNGUUUACAGUUCUAGAUGAUUUCUCGGACGAUCAUUUGCAUGAGGUGUUGGAUGCGAGCGGUGUGGAUCCCUCCUGUGUAGGAGGGGUUAGCGAGUUGAUUUCGCUGGUGCGCGCUAAGGAGUUAGCGCAGGCCGCGAUCGCGGCUGCCGCUGCAGAGCGUGCUGAGCAGAGACCCCGGGUACCCGAGGGAGGGGACGCCGUGGUGAUCUCUGUGCCCGAAGAGGGGGGACAGGCAACAGGGGUUGCUCCCUCUCCCACGACUUGCAAGGGCAAGACGAGGCGAGUGGCUAAAGCGGUCACCUCCAGGGGUGUCCGGCUCCGGAAUCGCGUGAUCUAGAUGCGAGCUUUGUUCUGGAAUAUCCGUGGCUUCGGUCAUGUGGGGCGGCGUACCCAACUUAAAGAGUACAUGCGCAAAGAGGACAUAGAUAUCGUAGGGCUUCAAGAGACGAUUAAGGCAGAUUUUCGUUUUCAUGAACUGCUUGCGAUCGACCCCUUGGAGCGCUUCGAGUGGCAGCACGCCCCUGCUGUAGGGCACUCAGGUGGCAUGCUGCUGGGCUUGAGCUGAGCCCUGUACGAGGUUAUUGACUGGGACGUAGGCUCGUUUUAUAUCGCGGCUCAUUUCCGUAUUCGUGCCUCGCUUCGCGAGUUAGCAAUCAUACAAGUCUACGGACCGACCGAUCACUCUCGUUCGGCGGAGUUCUUGGCGGAACUCCAGGCCAAAGUCACCACGAUGUCCGCGGCCACGCUCCCUGUUUUGGUGGGUGGAGAUUUCAACCUUAUCCGAUCAGGAGCCGACAAGAACAACAUCAAUAUAAACUGGCCUAGGGUGACCAUGUUUAACUCCGCCAUUGCUGCCAUGGCCCUAAGGGAGGUGACCAGGUCAGGCGCGAGGUUCACUUGGACUAAUAAACAACUCGAUCCGGUGCGCUCAGUGCUGGAUAGGGUGUUCAUGUCGCCGGAAUGGGAAAUGGGCUUCCCUCUCUGUACAUUGGUCGCAGAGACACGCAUAGGUUCUGACCAUGUACCGCUCGUAUAUGCCUCGGGGGAGGACAGGGUGCGACACAGCCCGCGCUUCUUCUUCGAAACAGCCUGGUUCGAAGUGCCAGGCUUCGAGGAGUUUUUCAGGGCGAAAUGGCGGGCAUGCGUUGAUUCAUUAGGAACCCAGAGAGGCCCGAUGGAAUUUUGGAACACGGUGGGGGGCCGGAUCAGGGCUAGCCUCAAGGGAUGGGGCGCAAACUUAGGGAGGUCUGACAAAGAGUGCCGCGCCGAGAUCCUUGCGGAAAUCGCAAGGAUUGAUGCACUGGCUGAUGCUAGGGCCUUCUCAGAGCAGGAAUGGGCCCAUCGCUACGCCCUGGAGGGCUAGGUAGAAGCGUCCCUGCGCGCGGAGGAAGAAUACUGGCGUAGACGAAGUGGUCUGAAGUGGGUUCUGAAGGGCGACGCCAAUACUAAGUAUUUCCAGGCUUAUGCUAACGGGCGUCAUCAGAAAUGUUCCAUCUUAAGGUUGCAAUCAGAGCAGGGGCUUCUGUUGCGACAGGAGGACAUCUCCAGACACAUUUACGAGUUCUACAUCAAUUUGAUGGGCUCGUGCGAGGCCCAGGGGGCGGGGCUCCGCGAAGACGUUUGGGAGGAUUCGCAACGUGUGUUGGACUGUGAAAACGAAGCGCUAGGGCUUGCCUUUCUGUCAAAGAGAUCGACGCCGCUCUCCUCAGUAUGAAAGUGGACACGGCGCCAGGACCAGACGGUUGGCCGAUGGCGAUGUUCAAGCGCUUCUGGCCUUUGCUUAGGGGCCCCAUUUUCGAGAUCUGCAACGGUUUCAUAAGGGGGAUGGUUGACAUCUCGUGCCUCAACUAUGGCGUCUUAACGCUCAUCCCGAAGGUCCAAGGGGCAGACAAUAUUAGACAAUUCCGACCGGUCGCGCUCAUUAACGUGCCUUUUAAAAUCUGUGCAAAAGCGUGCGCCAAUAGACUAGGUCCGAUAGCUCAUCGCUCGAUUAAUCAAAACCAAUCUGCUUUCAUCCGAGGACGCAACAUUUUAGAGGGACCGCUCGCCCUGCAAGAGAUCGUUCAUGAACUAAAGCGCACUAAGGAAGCGGCGGUGCUGCUGAAACUCGAUUUUGAGAAGGCAUACGACCGUGUGAAUUGGGAAUUCUUGCGGCAAGUGCUUAUUGGAAGAGGCUUUUCUGACGUUUGGGUCCACCGUAUUUUGCAGUUGGUGUCGGGAGGCCAAACUGCAGUCUCGGUGAACGGAGAAAUAGGGCAUUUCUUCCGGAACAAACGCGGGCUCGGGCAGGGUGAUCCGAUCUCACCUCUCCUUUUCAACUUCGUGGUGGACGCUCUGUCCACAAUGCUUCGGAAAGCAGCCGAAGCAGGCCAUAUCCAAGGGUUGGUAGGCCACCUCAUUCCAGGGGAAGUGACGCAUCUGCAAUAUGCAGAUGACACGCUGCUUUUGUUUUGCCCUGACCACCACAGCAUUGCGUCGGUCAAAGCGAUUCUAAUUUGUUUUGAGCUCAUGUCAGGGCUUAAAAUAAAUUUUCAUAAAUGCGAGGUGCUCACGAUGGGGGUUGAGCCGGAGGAAGGUAAACAUAUAGCGGAUUUACUCAACUGCAAGGUGGGUAAAUUCCCGCUGACAUACCUAGGCCUUCCAGUUGACAUCAAAAGGCCGACGAUAGAGGAUUGGGAACCUCUAUGUGCUAAGGUGAGGGGUAGGGUGUGCCCUUGGAGGGGUAAAUUCCUCUCAAAAGCGGCCAGACUAGUUCUCACGAACUCAAGCCUCUCUUCCCUGCCUAUGUUUGUUAUGGGCCUUUUUUUGCUUGCAGAGGGGGUGCACGCAAAGUUUGACACGCCGCGGUCUAAAUUCUUUUGGGAAGGAACUAGCCCGAACCGUAAAUACCAUAUGGUCAAAUGGGCUUGGGUGUGUCGUCCCAAGGACUUGGGGGGCCUCGGGAUCACCAACUCUAGAUUGCUUAACAUCGCUAUGAUCUGUAAGUGGAUUUGGAAAAUUGCCCGGGGGCGUCCGGACUCUGGGUUGAUCUCCUUAAGGCCAAGUACUUCCCCAACGGGAAUUUCUUUGAAGGUAGAGCAAGGGGCUCGCCUUUUUGGAAUGAUCUCCAGACGAUCAAGUCGGCCUUUGCCUUGGGGGCUAAGUUCUUGAUUGGAGAUGGGCGAUCGGCGCGAUUCUGGACAGAUCUUUGGAUAGGCGCCCGCUCCUUAUGGGAAGAAUUCCGCGACCUGUACGACAUUGCCGUAGACCCAGGCAUGUCGGUGGCUGACGCGCUGCAUACGACCCCUCCGGAGAUUCAUUUCAAACGCGAACUUCAGGGGACAGAGCAGGCCAGUGUUGUAGCCCUGCGGCAGUUGAUUGACCGGGUGGUGCUCUCGGACCAACCGGAUGCGGUGAGCUGGGCGCUCACCAGCUCUGGGAAGUUCUCGGUCAAGUCUUUAUACCGCAAGCUGUGCCAGGGGCCGUCGCAGCUGGUGGUGGCAGGGCUUUGGACCGCGCGGUUGCCACUGAAGAUCAAACUAUUCCUUUGGCAAAUGUUCUGCGAUAAGCUUCCCACUUCCCUAAACGUGGCCAAACGGAAUGGGCCGGCCAAUGGGCCUUGUGCGUUGUGCAGGGACCCAGAGGACGCGAACCAUGCAUUCUUUCGGUGCCCCUUAGCACGGUUUGCGUGGAGCGCAGUGCGGUCCGCGACUGGUGUCCAGUGGGACCCACGCUCAGCUGCAGAGCUUAUCCAUAUUUUAGGUGCGCUGCAAGGCUCAACGAAACGAGUCGUGUGGACCUGUGUCGGAGCUCUUCUAUGGUCCUUGUGGCUAACUAGGAAUAAACUCGCGAUCGAGGGGACCUUGCCAACACAUCCGGCUAAUAUCAUCUUCAAAUGCAAUCUUCUUUUGCAGCAGUGGAGUCCGUUGGGGAGGCGCAAGGAUGCUGAUUUGAUCAAGACAGCGCAACAACGAAUUCUGCAAGUGUAUGCGGCGGCUAGGGAGCCAUGACUAUGGUGGUCGACGUAGUCUCUUUUGAGUGCUUGACGAGCCUGCGUGCUCAGUACGGGUGAUGCCUUGUAACGCGACAGUAACUUUAUCUUCUCCGCUCGAUCAUGGUAGUGGCCCGAUGGAGCUUUUGGGUGAUGUAAGACUUAUUGGUAUGACUCUGCCGUUGGAGCUUUAUUAAUUUAAAGCCGAACGCAUCUGGCGUCUUCGUUCUAAAAAAACUGUUGAGUAACGGGGCCUGUUUUAGCGUACGCUUCGCUGGGUGCCUCUGUUUUGGCGUUCACUCUGCCGAUAGUAGGCGGCGGCGGCUAUGGCCUAUGGGGGCGUGACCUUUUCUUCUAUUCUCAGAGGAGGGCGACGGUGUUCUUGCUGGCUGCGCGACGUAGGGCUGCAUGAAGGUAGGCGGGUGGAGCUCUCGAACGGCGGAUGUGGAUGAAGACAUCCUCAGCGGCGACGGGGAUCAGAUCCUCUCUCUCUGAAGCGGCGGCGGCGGCGGACGGACGCAUCCUCAGCAGCGCCGCAGAAUCAGGUCACGGCGCCCCUCUCUGUUCCUGAGUCUGCUCUUCUCGGUCCUCUCAUUAGAAUGGCGCACGGCGGGGGCUGGUCGAGGGAUCGCCCAGAACGUAGUGAACUGCCUGGAACAUGGCGAACUCCGGUGCCACCCUAUAGUCAACUUUGUUAGAAAUUUAGUUCCAACAAACGUUGGCGCUGAUCCACCCUUCAGACAUGCCCGCGUCAGGUGUGCCUCUUUCCUCAUCUAUGUCGAUCUGUAUAUAUGUUCGUCCCAGCCCCCAGCUCUAUCAAACUCACACACAACAUCCUAGCAUGUGGCUCCUCUUGUUGAUGUUUUUUUUUCCAGAAACGAUUUAAUUCUUGCAUUGUCGCAUGGAGCCACAACUCUGUUCAUUUUUAUUGUUUCUCACGACCACCUACUUGCUACUUUGUUGGGCUCUUGAUUAUUGUUGCAGCUUAUGCAUGUAUGCCGGCCAAGUGCUUGAGAAAAUGUUUAGCAAUUAUUCUAAACAUAUUUCAGCAAUUAGCGAUGCAACUUCUAACAACUGAGAAAAUAUGAUUUAUUUGUCAUCGGCAGAAAAUAAAGUGACAUCCAGCAUGAUUAUUAAGUAAUUCUUAUCCUUGCGCCACACAUUAAAAAUAAAUCGUAUUGAUGCAGCGCCUGCAGCAGUUGAGAUAGGCCGGAUGAUAGGACCAACUACAAGACCCCUAUGAUAUGUGAGAACCUGUUUGGAGGUCUCACAACAUAAUUUUAUAAUGAACUCUUUGAUCUGCUAGAAGUUAAUUCUUUGAGUACUUCACUUUUUGUUUUAUAUGUAAUCCUAUUUACCCAAGGAAGCAUAAGGUUAUUUUCAUCAGCAGUUGUGCAAUUAUGAAAGGAUUCAGUUUGUUUAUGCUUGUCCUGGAGGAUAACAACUAGGCGUAGAUAUUAUAGAAUCAUCAUGUUCCCCAAACUAUGUCAAUACUCCAUACUUCCAUAGUAUCCAUGAAAGAACAUGUUCGGUGGAAAUUUGAUAAUGUUAAAGGUAAGGCAAUUUAUCACACUGCUCAAGAAAAGUAAUGGCGUUCCAAACUUUUCUAAAGGCAAGCAAUUUCACUUCAUCCAAGUUAAGACACUAUUUCAUAAUUUAGAAUAUUAUAAGUUGUUUUAUUAAAAAAACUCAUCUAUAUCAUAUCUGAUAAGGCAUGGUCCUGCUUCGCUAUAAUUUGAUAAAGUAUGUUUUGGUUGUGUUUUUAUUACAUUUCAGUGGAAUACCUACCAUUGGGCAAGCAUGGCCAGCGACCUUCAACUCUUGCUAUGUAUGAACAUGAAACCUGAGGUUAGUUGUGUUAUUCAUUAAAAGUCUUCUUGGAUUAGUGAGAUAACUUCCCAUCGGUGUUUUUUUUUACUAAACAAAUGCUGUGUACACUUGCAGACACGUGAGAGAAUUUUGAAAAGUGUUCCUUGCUUCAAAGAAUUCAGUGUUUCAUGUAUGCAAUGGUUCACUGUUAGUUCGUCAAUGGUUUUAUGUUUUACCCCUUUCCAGCUUUUUCUUUGUUUUCCAGCUAGAGAGGAAUGUCUAUGCUACUUGUUUUAAGAAUAUAUUUAUGCAAGCUUCUGAAUAAUGAAUUCAGAAUACUUUUGUACAAGAUUUCCUUGUUUUCCAGUGUUUUGUCUGCUAUCUAAGUACACAUGACCAUGAGUCCAUGACUAUCAGCUAUAGUGGUUGAAAUUGAAGCAAUUUAGCUUGAGAGGCAUAUUUUUUUCACAGAAAGUUUAUGGCCACGGUGCUAAUACUCCUAUCUGAAACAGUAGACAAGACCUCAACAAAUAAAAAUGUAUUGAUCAGUUACAGACCAAUAAAAAGUGUAGAACAGACAGACAACACGAAAGAUUCACUUGAUAUGCAUCAUGGAACCACAACCGCAAAGAUACUGCCAAAGGUGGAAUGGUUCAAGAAGAAGUCUGGGCGACAAGAAAAAGAUUAUGUAGUAAAACGCGCAUUUCCACUUGAUACAUAUGAAAAAAAGGGCGCGGCAAGGCACGCGUUCGCCUCUAGUAAAUUACUAAGCUUCCUAGGAAUGGAGCCUCCUGGGGAAUCAAGGAGGUUUUUGCCUUCGUGGCCCUACAUGUUAGGGAGUGGCUCGGUUUUGGGCUGCGGUUGGGCUUAUUAGCAUAUGAAUGCGGCACUCCUACGUUGAUUGUUGAUUGAUAGACAAAUCUUUAAAUUCAUGGACGUUUUUUUAAUUCAUAAAUAUUUUUAAAUUUUCAUAAACAUUUUUGAAAUACGGGGAUUUUUAAGCUAAGAACAUUUUCUAAAUUCCUGAACAUAUUUUAAAUUUGGAAACAUUUUUUGAAUUUCAGAUAACAUUUUCUGAAAUUCGCUACUCUCUCUUGCACAUACUAAGUGUACGUCAAUUAAUUUGGAUUGGAGGGAGUAACAUUUCUUAAAUUCAUGUUUUUUAAAAUCCCUAAACAUUUAAAUUCAUGAAUUAUUCUACCUAGUUUAGUUUUCCUUUCUCUUUGUUUUUCUGCUUCGCUUCCCCGGAUGGGUUGGGACCCACUAGGGCAACUGCGAGCGAACCGAAUCAUGGGUCCUUGAACAUGCAUAUUUGGUCGUCCUUCGGUGCACUAUGCGCUUAAUAGGAUGCCCCAUGUGUGCAAGUUAUUACGCCGCCAGGGGAGGGGGAGGGGCGAACUGGUUUUCUACUUCGUGUGUUUGUGAGGGUGUGAAGCUAGCUUGCUGGUUCUCAGGUUCUGUGAUGAGUGGUCAGGUCACCGCUUUCUCCGUCAUCCUUGUUGGGCACCUUANNNNNNNNNNNNNNNNNNNNNNNNNNNNNNNNNNNNNNNNNNNNNNNNNNNNNNNNNNNNNNNNNNNNNNNNNNNNNNNNNNNNNNNNNNNNNNNNNNNNNNNNNNNNNNNNNNNNNNNNNNNNNNNNNNNNNNNNNNNNNNNNNNNNNNNNNNNNNNNNNNNNNNNNNNNNNNNNNNNNNNNNNNNNNNNNNNNNNNNNNNNNNNNNNNNNNNNNNNNNNNNNNNNNNNNNNNNNNNNNNNNNNNNNNNNNNNNNNNNNNNNNNNNNNNNNNNNNNNNNNNNNNNNNNNNNNNNNNNNNNNNNNNNNNNNNNCAGACGUCGGAGAUCGAAACCAACAUGAACACCUAUCGGAGCGCCGUUGUAGCUGGGUCUUUGUAAGCCUGACCUCAAGGUUGGGGAGCGACUAGGUUGAGAUAUUGGAGUCUUUUUUAGGACAAAAAAAGUUGGAAUGAGGGUGAUUUUGAAAGGUGGAGACAUGAGCGAAUUCAGUUGUGUGGUCUGAUGGUCAUGCCUACACGUGCGAGCUAAGUAGGGAAGUUAGAUGAAAGGGGCGUCAGUUUCGGUGUAUAUGGUGUAAUGAUUAAUUCGGUUUAUGUAGGAUGAAAACCGGCGAUAUGCCCGAACACAAACAACUAGUAAUGGAAACACCGAACCGAAAAUCAUAAACCGAAUAAAUCGGGAAUACCGGUCAACUCAGUUUAGUUCGGUUCUUUAAUUUUUUGGUGAAACAUUGCUCACUUUUGACCGUAAGAGCCUGAGACUCACGAUCGAGGAACAGUGCGGCAAAGCACACGCCACCCAAAGUGGCUUGAGGAUGAUUAGAAUUGAGCAAAGCAUGAAUACUAGCAGGGAUUGUGCCAAAGGGAUUCAGAUCUAACAUGCCCUGGUUCUGAAAACCAUGCACCUUCGGCAAAAGGGCAUGCAAAGAAUGGGCGCAAAUCAUCUUCCUCUGAAUCACAUCUAGCACAAUGUUGCCAUUUUAUGCAGCAUCUCAGCUGUCGGCAUAAGGGCAUGGCCAACGCUUCAAGUUGGACGGAUGCUCCAUAGAAAAAGCUGAUGAUGUGGAAGAGAGAGGGAAAAAGGCUAGUGCUUGAAGAGAAGAAUGGGAUCUUGCAAAGGAGCCCGGUGCUUCAUCCAAAAAAAGUAAAAUAAAGCAAAAGAGAAGAGCUGGUUGUGAGAGAUGUGAUGCAUGUGUAAAGGAAAAAGUAAGAGAGAUACUAAGGGUGUGUUUGGUUGCAUUCUCAACUCAGUAUAGUUGUUCCCUCUUCAUGCAUGCUCAACCCAACACCCCUUUUCAUGCAUGUUCCUAGUGUAUUUGUGCUAAGCUAGUGUGGACUCAUGCAUCCUCCAUACACUCUACCAAACACCUAAAAGUGGGUCGAGAAGGGAACUCUUGGGCUCAUGCACCCUUCAUACACCCUACCAAACACACCCUAAGAGCAUGAACUAUGGGGGCAUCACCCCCGUGUGGUCUCAGCCUCCACCUAAGAAAAAUAAUAUUAAAGCCACCGUAUGAAUAUAUCACACCCAAUGGAAAUAACAUCUUCUAGUGGUCCACCUAUCUUCCUCUGCAUCACCACCUUUUUACUCCUCCUCCUCUCGCUCUAUGCUCUCUCUCUUCCAUUCCCUCCUUUUCUUCUGCUUUUUCAGCGAGGAAGCCGGUUCCUCUGCAAGAGCUUGUUUGGCUCUGCAAGCGACGAUCUUUUUGCUUUUCUCCUCCUCGGCGACAGCUCCUCCGACAUGGAUCCAUGAGGCAGCGGUCCAGCGUGGAGCGAUGGCCAUGUCCUAAAAAAUGAUGGAGAUGUGGUCCGGUCAAGCUAUGGCUGCUUUGGGGAGAGAAAAUUUAUACCGUGGUUUCAAUCUACAUGGCAGAUGAGGCAGCUACAUGGUGUUGCCUCCAUUGUACAAGCCCCAAUGCCCUAAGCUGUCGGUUGUUUAGGGGAUUGUCGUCGCAUCACUUGCUUGCUUGGUGGGCAAUGGGGUGCUUUGCCUAUUUGUGCUGAUUGUCUUGGCACGAUUCGUACGUCUUUGCCAGCCGAAAAGGCCACUGCCGAAUCCUGACGCGUGGUCGACACUUAGAAGUCGAUAUGGCUGUUCGACUUGAGGCGUGGCGUUUCUCUCCGCGUGUAUCUUGAGGCCCCGGUAGUAGUAAUUUUCCUUUUUUUUUUUGGGUCCGUCUUGUAACUGAGCCUUCAGGCUCCUGGUAUGAAUGAAUGCCGGGACGCCCUCCGUUGGGAGGGCUCAAGUUUGCCAGAAAUAAAAUCAUGGACUGACCUGAGAAUAAAAAACAUGCUUUGAAUGGAAAACACGAGCUUCCAUGGCUGCAACGGUCGUGCUUUGAAUGGAAAAACAGUCCUCUGAGAAUUGUCGUUAGGAAGGCAUUCAUCCUGAACGUCGGUUGCUUUGCUUGAUCUGACUGGCUGACGACGAAGGAAGGGUGCAGACGGCCGCCGUAGAUCGUACUCCAGCCUGGUUAGCCAGCUGGUAACACGGCCCCAUCACGUUCGUAAGCGACUGCCGACUGAGGACUAUACUAGUCUACCACUCCUGAAUAAAUAAACAAUUUCCACGAUGCUUCCUUCCAAAGCAAAGCACUACGCGCCCAUAUCCCAGGAGCUCUUUUUUUUUUUCGGGGAAGAGCACAACGUGUCCGUGUCGGUGUCGGUGCAAACACAACCCCCACCAUAUACAAACAUUUUAUAGUCCUACUAUUAUUAUCAAUUGCCCCAUUGAUUGAUCGGAUAUCUCUGUAAUUAAAGGGAUCGUGACAAGAUUGGUUGGCACUCCCUGUUACUCGCCUCACACCAUGAGUUAUGUUCAUCGCACGUCGUCAUCAUGAUAUAAUAGCUGGCUCAACCAACAUGCACUAGCGGCAUCUACUUGAGCCAGCACUAGGUAUAUGCACUACUCUAGCUAACCUCAGAUAUUAUUUGUCUUUGUCCUCCUAACUGUCAGCGAUUAGCACCACCAGCUCAAAGAGGGCAAAAUUAUCACCAUUAGCGGUACCGCAGCUUCCAGGUCACGUGUACAUGUGGUAGGUACAUGCAAUGGAUGUUGUGGUGCCACGUCCUCUCCUAUGGUAGUUGGGACAUGUACAACAUCUAAAAGGGAAAUUGGGACAUUGAUAAAGAGACGUAUCUUAAAUUCGCAAUAUUAUGAUGAUAACAAUAAAAAAAUAUAGUCUCAUCGAGUAUACUAAAAAAUGUACUAAAGCAAAGACAAGUAAUAUGGAUCGAAGAGAGCACAGUGAGUUGCCUCUUAAUCGAAUCUCUUGUAACUAGAUAUAAAUAUACGGCGAAAGAUAUUGUUGCUAAAAGAUAAUCUCUUGAUUAAUUCUCUCCUCCACCCUAACAUUUAUUAUUGUGACAUUUCUAAGAUAAUACAUAUCAUUGUACACCCCCUUAGGUCAUCUCCGAGGAGAAAUCUUAAAUGGGCACCCUCAAAUGUCGCGGAAACGUCCGGUUAUGUCUUCGGACAGUCGAUCAAACGCUGACCAAAUAAGGCUAUAUCUGAAAACUCUCCUACUUAUAUGUCCCUUCCCCUUCACUUCUUUUUGUUCACUAAAUUAAUUUCUUUCAUGUUCAACAUUCAAUAGCAAUUUUACGACGCAUAUAACACUUGCAAACAAAAACAAGCAAAACCAAAAGCACCGGAUGCCCAACAAAAAUAGCAAUUACUCGAAAGAAAAUCACGACCGGACGAGCGUUAGCGACUUGAUGAACAUGUAGUCCUUGUUGAGGUCGACGGCGAUGUACGGUGGAGGGUGGCCGGAGGUGAAGGAGGCAACAGAGUGUUGUCGCGAUUGUUGCAUGCCAGGUUCACCGUACUUCUGGGCAGCGAAGUAGUAUGACGCUUUGUACUAGGCGGGCCAUGGUGGCGAUUGCCCCAGCUAGACCGACAAGGCGGUCCGUUGUGGAGGAGGAGCUCCGGCCUGAACGGCUGCCUGCAUCUUCGUCUUCACCCUUCGCUUUAUGCACCUCUCUUGUCAUUUGGUAGUCUCCGGAUUCACAGGUGCGGCGCGCGUGGCAGACGUGCUCCGGGUCCAAAGGGGCGAUGAACCUCGUGAUGGGCUUUAGUGGAUCCAUCAUGGCGGUGACGAAACAGACAUGAUGACGAUGUUCGGAACGGAGAAGAUGGGGUUUUGGCGAGAAAAUAGUAGGAUCCGACGCCAUGAGUUCUGUUCAUCGCACGUCAUGAUAUACUAAUAGCUGGCUCAACCAACGUGCACCAGCGGCAUCUACUUGAGCCAGCACGAGGUAUAUGCACUGCUCUAGCUAACCUCAGAUAUUAUUUGUCUCUGUCCUCCUAACUGUCAGUGAUUAGCACCACCAGCUCAAAGAGGGCAAAAUUAUCACCAUUAGCGGUACCGUAGCUUCCAGUCACGUGCACAAGUGGUAGGUACAUGCAAUGGAUGUUGUGGUGCCACGUUCUCUCCUAUGGUAGUUGGGACAUGUACAACAUCUAAAAGGGAAAUUAGGACGUUGAUAGAGACGCAUCUUAAAUUCGCAAUAUUAUGGUGAUCAUCGAGUAUACUAAAAAAUGUACUAAAGCAAAGACAAGUAAUAUGGAUCGAAGAGAGCACAGUGAGUUGCCUCUUAAUCGAAUCUUUUGUAACUAGAUAUAAAUAUACGGCGAAAGAUAUUGUUGCUAAAAGACCAUCUUUUGAUUAAUUCUCUCCUUCACCCCAACAUUUAUUAUUGUGAUAUUUCUAAGAUAAUACAUAUCAUUGUACACCCCCUUAGGUCACCUCCGAGGAGAAAUCUCAAAUGGGCACCCUCAAAUGUCGUGGAAACGUCCGGUUAUGUCUCCGGACAGUCGGUCAGACGCUGACCAAAUAAGGCUAUAUCUGAAAACUCUCCUACUUAUCUGUCCCUUCCCCUUCACUUCUUUUUGUUCACUAAAUCAAUUUCUUCCAUGUUCAACAUUCAAUAGCAAUUUCACGACGCAUAUAACACUUGCAAACAAAAACAAGCAAAACAAAAGCACCAGAUGCCCAACAAAAAUAGCAAUUACUCAAAAGAAAAUCACGACCAAACGAGCGUUAGCGACUCGAUGAACAUGUAGUCCUUGUUGAGGUCGACGGCGAUGUACGGUGGAGGGUGGCCGGAGGUGAAGGAGGCAACAUAGUGUUGUCGCGAUUGUUGCAAGCCAGGUUCACCGUACUUCUGGGCAGCGAAGUAGUACGACGCUUUAUACUAGGCGGGCCAUGGUGGCGAUUGCCCCAUCUAGACCGACAAGGCGGUCCGUUGUGGAGGAGGAGCUCCGGCCUGAACGGCUGCCUGCAUCUUCUUCUUCACCCUUCACUUUAUGCAGCUCUCUUGUCGUUUGGUAGUCUCCGGAUUCACCGGUGCGGCGCGCGUGGCGGACGUGCUCCGGGUUUGAAGGGGCAAUGAACCUCGUGAUGGGCUUUGGUGGAUCCAUCGUGGCGGUGACGAAACAGACAGGAUGACGAUGUUCGGAAUGCAGAAGAUGGGGUUUUGGCAAGAAAAUAGUAGGAUCCGAUGCCAUGAGUUCUGUUCAUCGCACAUCAUGAUAUACUAAUAGCUGGCUCAACCAACGUGCACCAGCGGCAUCUACUUGAGCCAGCACGAGGUAUAUGCAUUGCUUUAGCUAACCUCAGAUAUUAUUUGUCUCUGUCCUCCUAACUGUCAGCGAUUAGCACCACCAGCUCAAAGAGGGCAAAAUUAUCACCAUUAGCGGUACCGCAGCUUCCAGUCAUGUGCACAAGUGGUAGGUACAUGCAAUGGAUGUUGUGGUGUCGCGUUGUCUCCUAUGGUAGUUGGGACAUGUACAACAUCUAAAAGAAAAAUUGGGACGUUGAUAAAAAGACACAUCUUAGAUUCGCAAUAUUAUGAUGAUCAUCGAGUAUACUAAAAAAUGUACUAAAGCAAAGACAAGUAAUAUGGAUCGAAGAGAGCACAGUGAGUUGCCUCUUAAUCGAAUCUUUUGUAACUAGAUAUAAAUAUACGGCGAAAGAUAUUGUUGCUAAAAGACCAUCUCUUGAUUAAUUCUCUCCUUCACCCCAACAUUUAUUAUUGUGAAAUUUCUAAGAUAAUACAUAUCAUUGUACACCCCCUUAGGUCAUCUCCAAGGAGAAAUCUCAAAUGGGCACCCUCAAAUGUCGCAGAAACGUCCGGUUAUGUCUCCGGACAGUCGGUCAGACGCUGACCAAAUAAGGAUAUAUCUGAAAACUCUCCUACUUAUCUGUCCCUUCCCCUUCACUUCUUUUUGUUCACUAAAUCAAUUUCUUCCAUGUUCAACAUUCAAUAAGAAUUUACGACGCAUAUAACACUUGCAAACAAAAACAAGCAAAACAAAAGCACCAGAUGCCCAACAAAAAUAGCAAUUACUCGAAAGGAAAUCACGACCGGACGAGCGUUAGCGACUCGAUGAACAUGUAGUCCUUGUUGAGGUCGACGGCGAUGUACGGUGGAGGGUGGCCGGAGGUGAAGGAGGCAACAGAGUGUUGUCGUGAUUGUUGCAAGCCAGGUUCACUGUACUUCUGGGCAGCGAAGUAGUAUGACGCUUUAUACUAGGCGGGCCAUGGUGGCGAUUGCCCCAUCUAGACCGACAAGGCGGUCCGUUGUGGAGGAGGAGCUCCGGCCUGAACGGCUGCCUGCAUCUUCUUCUUCACCCUUCGCUUUAUGCAGCUCUCUUUUCGUUUGGUAGUCUCCGGAUUCACCGGUGCGGCGCACGUGGCGGACGUGCUCCGGGUCUGAAGGGGCAAUGAACCUCGUGAUGGGCUUUGGUGGAUCCAUCGUGGCGGUGACGAAACACACAGGAUGACGAUGUUCGGAACGGAGAAGAUGGGGUUUUGGCGAGAAAAUAGUAGGAUCCGACGCCAUGAGUUCUGUUCAUCGCACGUCAUGAUAUACUAAUAGCUGGCUCAACCAACGUGCACCAGCGACAUCUACUUGAGCCAGCACGAGGUAUAUGCACUGCUCUAGCUAACGUCAGAUAUUAUUUGUCUCUGUCCUCCUAACUGUCAGCGAUUAGCACCACCAGCUCAAAGAGGGCAAAAUUAUCACCAUUAGCGGUACCGCAGCUUCCAGUCACGUGCACAAGUGGUAGGUACAUGCAAUGGAUGUUGUAGUGUCGCGUUCUCUCCUAUGGUAGUUGGGACAUGUACAACAUCUAAAAGGAAAAUUGGGACGUUGAUAAAGAGACGCAUCUUAAAUUCGCAAUAUUAUGAUGAUAACAAUAAAAAAAAUAGUCCCAUCGAGUAUACUAAAUAAUGUACUAAAGCAAAGACAAGUAAUAUGGAUCGAAGAGAACACACUGAGUUGCCUUUUAAUCGAAUCUCUUGAAACUAGAUAUAAAUAUACGGUGAAAGAUAUUGUUGCUAAAAGACCAUCUCUUGAUUAAUUCUCUCCUUCACCCCAACAUUUAUUAUUGUGACAUUUCUAAGAUAAUACAUAUCAUUGUACACCCCCUUAGGUCAUCUCUGAGGAGAAAUCUCAAAUGGGCACCCUCAAAUGUCCCGGAAACGUCCGGUCAUGUCUCGAGACAGUCGGUCAGACGCUGACCAAAUAAAGCUAUAUUUGAAAACUCUCCUACUUAUCUGUCCCUUCCCCUUCACUUCUUUUUGUUCACUAAAUCAAUUUCUUCCAUGUUCAACAUUCAAUAGCAAUUUUACGACGCAUAUAACACUUGCAAAUAAAAACAAGCAAAACCAAAAGCACCGGAUGCCCAACAAAAAUAGCAAUUACUCGAAAGAAAAUAACGACCAGACGAGCGUUAGCGACUCGAUGAACAUGUAGUCCUUGUUGAGGUCGACGGCGAUGUACGGUUGAGGGUGGCCGGAGGUGAAGGAGGCAACAGAGUGUUGUCGCGAUUGUUGCAUGCCAGGUUCACCGUACUUUUGGGCAGCGGAGUAGUAUGACACUUUGUACUAGGCGGGCCAUGGUGGCAAUUGCCCCAGCUAGACCGACAAGGCGGUCCGUUGUGGAGGAGGAGCUCCGGCCUGAACGGCUGCCUGCAUCUUUGUCUUCACCCUUCGCUUUAUGCACCUCUCUUGUUGUUUGGUAGUCUCCGGAUUCACCGGUGCGGCGCGCGUGGCAGACGUGCUCCGGGUCCAAAGGGGCGAUGAACCUCGUUAUGGGCUUUAGUGGAUCCAUUGUGGCGGUGACAAAACAGAUAGGAUGACGAUGUUCGGAACGAAGAAGACGGGGUUUUGGCGAGAAAAUAGUAGGAUCCGACGCCAUGAGUUUUGUUCAUCGCACGUCAUGAUAUACUAAUAGCUGGCUCAACCAACAUGCACCAGCGGAUUCUAUUUGAGCCAGCACGAGGUAUAUGCACUGCUCUAGCUAACCUCAGAUAUUAUUUGUCUCUGUCCUCCUUACUGUCAGCGAUUAGCACCACCAGCUCAAAGAGGGCAAAAUUAUCACCAUUAGCGGUACCGCAGCUUCCAGUCAUGUGCACAAGUGGUAGGUACAUGCAAUGGAUGUUGUGGUGUCGCGUUGUCUCCUAUGAUAGUUGGGACAUGUACAACAUCUAAAAGGAAAAUUGGGACGUUGAUAAAGAGACCCAUCUUAAAUUCACAAUAUUAUGAUGAUAACAAUAAAAAAUAUAUAGUCCCAUGGAGUAUACUCAAAAAUGUACUAAAGCAAAGACAAGUAAUAUGGAUCGAAGAGAACACAAUGAGUUGCCUUUUAAUCGAAUCUCUUGAAACUAGAUAUAAAUAUACGGCGAAAGAUAUUGUUGCUAAAAGACCAUCUCUUGAUUAAUUCUCUCCUUCACCCCAACAUUUAUUAUUGUGACAUUUCUAAGAUAAUACAUAUCAUUGUACACCCCCUUAGGUCAUCUCUGAGGAGAAAUCUCAAAUGGGCACCCUCAAAUGUCCCGGAAACGUCCGGUCAUAUCUCCGGACAGUCGGUCAGAUGCUGACCAAAUAAGGCUAUAUCUGAAAACUCUCCUACUUAUCUGUCCCUUCCCCUUCACUUCUUUUUGUUCACUAAAUCAAUUUCUUCCAUGUUCAACAUUCAAUAGCAAUUUUACGACGCAUAUAACACUUGCAAAUAAAAACAAGCAAAACCAAAAGCACCGGAUGCCCAACAAAAAUAGCAAUUACUCGAAAGAAAAUAACGACCAGACGAGCGUUAGCGACUCGAUGAACAUGUAGUCCUUGUUGAGGUCGACGGCGAUGUACGGUUGAGGGUGGCCGGAGGUGAAGGAGGCAACAUAGUGUUGUCGUGAUUGUUGCAUGCCAGGUUCACCGUACUUCUGGGCAGCGGAGUAGUAUGACACUUUGUACUAGGCGGGCCAUGGUGGCGAUUGCCCCAGCUAGACCGACAAGGCGGUCCGUUGUGGAGGAGGAGUUCCGGCCUGAACGGCUGCCUGCAUCUUCGUCUUCACCCUUCGCUUUAUGCACCUCUUUUGUUGUUUGGUAGUCUCCGGAUUCACCGGUGCGGCGCGCAUGGCAGACGUGCUUCGGGUCCAAAGGGGCGAUGAACCUCGUUAUGGGCUUUAGUGGAUCCAUUGUGGCGGUGACGAAACAGACAGGAUGACGAUGUUCGGAACGAAGAAGAUAGGAUUUUGGCGAGAAAAUAGUAGGAUCCGACGCCAUGAGUUUUGUUCAUCGCACGUCAUGAUAUACUAAUAGCUGGCUCAACCAACAUGCACCAGCGGAUUCUACUUGAGCCAGCACGAGGUAUAUGCACUGCUCUAGCUAACCUCAGAUAUUAUUUGUCUCUGUCCUCCUUACUGUCAGCGAUUAGCACCACCAGCUCAAAGAGGGCAAAAUUAUCACCAUUAGCAGUACCGCAGCUUCCAGUCACGUGCACAAGUGGUAGGUACAUGCAAUGGAUCUUGUGGUGCCGCGUUCUCUCCUAUGGUAGUUGGGACAUGUACAAUGAUACGUCUCCAACGUAUCUAUAAUUUUUGAUUGCUCCAUGCUACAUUAUCUACUGUUUUGGACAUUAUUGGGCUUUAUUAUCCACUUUUUUAUUAUUUUUAGGACUAACCUAUUAACCGAGGCCCAGCCCAGAAUUGUUGUUUUUUUGCCUGUUUUAGGGUUUCGAAGAAAAGGAAUAUCGAACGGAGUCCAAAUGGAAUGAAACCUUCGGUAACGUGAUUUUCUCACCGAAUACAACUCAGGAGACUUGGACCCUUUGUCAAGCCAAUUAACAGGAGGCCACGAGGUAGGGGGGCGCGCCUGCCCCCAGGCGCGCCCUCCACCCUCGUGGGCCCCCUGUUGCUCCACCGACGUACUUCUUCCUCCUAUAUAUAUCCACGUACCGAUAAACGAUCAGAAACGGAGCCAAAAACCUAAUUCCACUGCUGCAACUUUCUGUAUCCAUGAGAUCCCAUCUUGGGGCCUGUUCCGGAGCUCCACCGGAGGGGGCAUCGAUCACGGAGGGCUUCUACAUCAUCAUCCAAACCCCUCCGAUGAAGUGUGAGUAGUUUACUUCAGACCUACGGGUCCAUAGUUAGUAGCUAGAUGUCUUCUUCUCUCUUUUUGGAUCUCAAUACAAUGUUCUCCCCCUCUCUCAUGGAGAUCUAUUCGAUGUAAUCUUCUUUUUGCGGUGUGUUUGUUGAGACCGAUGAAUUGUGGGUUUAUGAUUGAAAGGAUCGAUAUGGUUGACUAGGGGGGGGGGUGAAUAGGCAACUACCAAUUUUUAGCUUUUCUUUACCAAAUUAAACUUUGCAUCAAAGUAGGUUGUCUAGAUGUGCAACUAGGUGAGCAACCUAUGUGAUGCAAUAUCAACAAGCAUACAAGCAAGCAAGGUAGAAACACUAAAGAGCUUGCACAAGUAAAGGUAAGAGAUAACCAAGAGUGGAUCCGGUGGAGACGAGGAUGUGUUACCGAAGUUCCUUCCUUUUGAGGGGAAGUACGUCUCCGUUGGAGCGGUGUGGAGGCACAAUGCUCCCCAAGAAGCCACUAGGGCCACCGUAUUCUUCUCACGCCCUCACACAAUGCGAGAUGCCGUGAUUCCACUAUUGGUGCCCUUGAAGGCGGCGACCGAACCUUUACAAACAAGGUUGGGGCAAUCUCCACAACUUAAUCGGAGGCUCCCAACAAGACCACGAAGCUUCACCACAAUGGAAUAUGGCUCCGAGGUGACCUCAACCAUCUAGGGUGCUCAAACACCAAGAGUAACAAGAUCCGCUAGGGAUGAGUGGGGGAAUCGAAAAUCCCUUGGUGGAAGUGUAGAUCGGAGCCUUCUCAACCACUCCCGAGCAAAUCAACAAGUUUGAUUGGCUAGGGAGAUAGAUCAGGCAAAAUGAAGCUUGGAGUAUUUAAUGGAGCUUGAGCAAUAAAUGGAACUUUGGGGGAGGAAGAGGUGAGUGAGAAGGAGGAAGGGGACUCCCUUUUAUAGUGGGGGCAACAAUCCCGUUGCCCCCCCACCAACCAGCCCCGGACAGGGCGGUACUACCGCUGAGAGGGUGCGGUACUACCGCCAGGCGAUGGUACUACCGCGCCACCCUGCGGUACUGCCGCGCUGAGGAGACUUAGUAGGGAACGGACCCCAAUAGCAGUACUACCGCGGUGGUAGGGCGGUACUACCGCUCCUGGAACGGUACUACCGCCACUACAACCGUGACUAGUGCCGCAAAACCCGACACGAGAAAAAGACCUCUCGAAUCGAGGCAGUGAGCCAGAAUACCCAGCGGUACUAAGGCAGUGGGGUCAAGGGCGGUAGUACCGCUGUGGAGCGGUACUGCCACUUGUGACCCUUCGGCCGUAGUACCGCAGGCAGUGCGGUACUACCGCUGGGGCGCACGCGCGAGAGAGAAGGGAUCUCUCAAAAAUGCUGAGGACACGGCGGAUGUGCCAGGCCCCCAGCGGUACUACUGCUGUGGAGCCACAGCGGUACUACCGCUGCAAACGGUACUGCCGCUUGUGGCUUCUCAGCGGUACUACCGCUGGGUGCGCGGUACUGCCGCUUAGACCCAGACAGAACAAGGAAGAGAGGAGAGAUCUCUUCAAUGGACAGGAAAAGCUCGGAGGGUGAGAAGCUGAUGUGUACGUGAUGAUUCCACCCAUGCAAAACCCCAGCGGACCCCCUCUUGAUAGUACGGUGCCCUCUACGCAACUAGUCCACCGAGAAAGAAACGAAAGAGCUACACCAUCUUGAAAUACACUCUGAGGGGAAGAAAGUGUCUCGUGCCAGGGGAGAAUCUGUGAAUUAUUCAAAGCACAAGAUUAGUCCGCAAACAUGUCGUCAUCAAUCACCAAAACUACCUUGAGAGAGAUAUGCCGUAACAAUCUCCCCCUUUUUGGUGGAUUGAUGACAACUAGGGAUUUGCGCAAGGAAAAGAAAUAAAAUGAAGAAAGCUAAGAACUACAAAAUAUAGACGGGCUCCCCCAGAAUGUGUGCACCAAGAGAUGGCACGACCCACACAUUCGGAUCAAAACUCCCCCUAUAUUUUAUAGUCCAACAAUACUAAGCACAAGAUAUAUGAGAGAAUUGAAUAAACAGGACAAGCGUGCAUCUCACAAUAAACUACAGUACUCAGACAUGACAUAAGUAAUAAGGUAGCGAUAGGGAGCAUAUGUCUCACACCAUAUGUCUAGAGCUUAGGGCUCACACCAAACCAAACCAAAGAAGGACACCAAGAGAACACACAAGAAACCACAAGACGACACAAAACACGACACAAGAGGCAAAUCCCUACACUCUCUCCCCCUUUGGCAGCGAGACACCAAAAAGGGCAUAGAGUGACACUACGACUCCAGGUGAUGGGAGGUGGAAGAGCUCGAACAUCACAUCUCUGCAUCUUCAUCGUGGGUCGAGAACUGCUCGGCAUCGGAGUCGGUCCAGUGGCAAUUUUGAUGAAUCCAGUCCUCCUCUUCAGUGAUCUGACCCUCAGACCCACUAGCAACUGUUGCUCCCAUCUGACGCAUGAGCUCCUUGUGGCGCGUCCUGGCAUGCUUCUCCGCCACACGAGUCAUGUACUGACCAUGAGACUCCAUGCAGAAAAGCUUCUUCAUCUUGCGCUUAAGCUUCUGUGCCCAUGAAGGUUCAGCACUAGUGGAACCAAAAUCCUCCUCAUGAGCAUCAGUAGCAGCCUCACCCUCGGUCCCCAUGGCAGCAGCAGCAGCAGCAGGCGGACCCCUUGGGGCAGCAGUAGCAGAUGGACCCCCUAUGUGAGGCGCUGUCCGGUUGUCCUUCUUCCUCAGACGCUUGAUCUCAUGAGAAACCAAGUCUCCAGUCUCUAGCAGCACUCUGGGAUAAGUCUGUGCCCAGGCCCUCUCAAUGAGCCUCAUGAUGAAUGGACCAUAGAUAGGACACUUGCGCUCAGACACGGCAGAUAGAAGUUCACACCACAUGACAUGAGAGAUAUCCAGGCUCUCUCCAGUGCUUGCUUCCUUCUCAUGCUGACAGAAAAGGAGCAUGUCCACGAGGUAAGAGUGGACCAUAUCCAGAUUCCCAAUCCGAGGGAAGAGAGUCUCACGGAAUAUGCGAUGAAGAAUGUCCAGAUACGGAGACAACUCAUAGGUCUUCUUCUCAGUUACUGGGUGAACCUUCACAGUGCAGUAGGGCCAAAGGGCUUGCUUGUGGGUGGAUGUAGCAUUGCGGUGAGGACGGAAACCGACAGGAGUCUCAAGCCCGGUAUCCACCACAUCAAGUAACUCCAUGAAAGCCUUCCACUUGACAGAAAGCAGCUUGCCAUUGGUCAUCCAUGUCAGAGUCCUGUUGACAUCCGUCCCAAGAUGGACGGUGGCAUAGAAUUGAGCUACCAAAUCCGCAUCAAAGUCCUUGUUGAAUUGCAUGAUCCUGAGAAUGUUCAGCUGAGUGCACAUCUGAAGAGCUUCGCCAAAGUACUCCGGAUCCUUCUCCAUAGCAUCAGUGUCGAUGGAGUGAACAUCAACAAAAAGAUUCUUCUUGGCCUUGAUCACAUCAAAGUAGAUGGCAAACUGAAAACGGUUCCAGAACGGGUGGUUGACCAAAGUGGGUUCUUGGUCCACCGCAUAGGGGUUGCGGCGACGCUUCUCCCAAAACUCCUUGUUGGUCAUCUCAGUCACAGUCUUCUCGCUUCGAUUGCUGAGGAGGUGGAGGAGCACAUGCAGAAGCACUUGUUGGAGGCGGUUGGGUGCUCGAGGAACCACCGGCAGGCUCUGAGGUGCGGUAGCAUUUUGAUGUGGCACGCCCGGGGUUGAUAUGGUGACCUUGCUGCUCGGAAUGGUCAUCACCUGGAGCCAAACACAAGAACAACGCGAAACAACCAGAAAGAACGAGCAUAAGCCAACAACACAACAAAAGAUCAAGGUAAGGCAGGAGAAUGAUGGAAAUUGGCAUGCAACGGUAGUACCGUGACCUGCCCGCGGUAGUACCGCCCCAAAGGGAGCGGUAGUACCGCUCUAGGUCAAGCGGUAGUACCGCUCCAAAGGGAGCGGUAGUACGGCUUGAGGCGGAUAAACAACAGUUUCAAAGCACGAGGCGGUGAAACAGUGGUUUCCUACUACCGUGGUCAGAUCCGGCACUACCGACCUACCAAAUUCAAAAAUAAUCCUACCAAACUCUAAUCUAGAUAGUCUAGUUGCCUUCUCCAAUCAACUCAAGCCUAGAUUUCGCCAAAAAUCUAGAGAUGCAACCACCAUUGCCCCUAAGAAACAAGAACUAAAAGGAGACAAAACGAAAGAAAGAACGGGGGCAAUACCAGCAUCCAUGGCAAGAGGACGUGGUGGGGAUCGACUCCACCAAAGGAAAUGGAGAGGGACGCCCCAAAGACGGAGAUCUACCGGAGCACUCCCGCUCUCUAGAGGAGGCUGGAGAGAGGAAGAGAAAAGAGGGGCGAAGUGAAUGGGUAUGGGGGAGAAGAAACCUCCCCCUGCCCCCGACUUAACCCCCUGUUCUCGUCCCCCAGCAGUAGUACCAUGCUGGGGGGCGGUAGUACCGCUCACGAGCGGUAGUACCGCCUAGCGCACCACGGUAACUAAACAGACACGGCUUAGCUCGACGAAACGAAAAAAACCGGCAAACACACCAGCAAACGACCAAGACACGCCUCUUCACAAGAGGGCGGUGGCCGAGGCCACCUAUGUUUGAGUCAAAAGGUAUGGCACCGCGAAGAUUUUAACCUUGGGCCCAUGACCAAAACUCGUCUUUUAAGCACAAGUGCCAUCAACAAUGGCUAAAGUGAAAGACUUGAUCAAUUUAUGCAUAAUGGGGGGAGGGAGAGUUCAUUGAGAGAACAACACUCCCCCUAUGUCCAUGCCUACACCUAAACUAGACAACAAAUUGAGCGUGGUAGGGUGUGCAAGGGUUCAAGCCACAUUGCUUGAAUCAAUGAUAUUUAGCUCAUGCCUUAACUCGCGAAAUCUUGCUUCAUCCAAGGGCUUCGUGAAAAUAUCUGCAAGGUUGUCAUGAGUGUUGACAUAGUUGAGCUCGAUCUCUCCUCGCCUAAUAUGAUCCCGGAUGAAGUGAUACCGAAUCUCAAUAUGCUUCGUCUUGAAGUGUUGCACCGGGUUGAGAGAAAUCUUGAUGGCACUUUCAUUGUCACACCAAAGAGGCACUUUGUCACAAGUGACACCGUAAUCCUUUAAAGUUUGCCUCAUCCAUAGAAGUUGUGCACAACAACUACCGGCGGCAACAUACUCCGCCUCAGUGGACGAGAGAGACACACAACUUUGCUUUUUGGAAGACCAACUUACCAAAGAGCAACCAAGGAAUUGGCACCCUCCGGAAGUGGACUUCCUAUCCACUUUGUCUCCCGCCCAAUCGGAAUCCGAGUACCCUACAAGCUUGAAGUUUGAUCCUCUUGGGUACCAUAAGCCAAAGUUUGGGGUAUGAACCAAAUAUCGAAAGAUUCGUUUGACCGCCACAUAGUGACUUUCCUUAGGUGCGGCUUCAAACCGUGCACAAAUUCCCACACUCAACAUGAUGUCCGGUCUAUAUGCACAAAGGUAAAGCAAGGAACCAAUCAUGGAACAAUAUACCUUUUGAUCCACCACUUUACCAUUGGGAUCUAAGUCAAGUUGGCACUUGGUGGGCAUUGGAGUGGAGGCCGGCUUGACGUCACUUAGCUUGAAUCUCUUGAGCAUGUCUUGGCUGUAUUUGGAUUGAUUAAUGAAGGUUCCUUCUCUUCUUUGCUUCACUUCGAACCCUAGAAAGAACUUCAACUCUCCCAUGGAGGACAUCUCGAACUUUGAGGUCAUGAGAGCGGCAAAUUCCUCAUUGAAAGCUUUGUUAGGAGAACCAAAGAUAAUAUCAUCAACAUAUAAUUGGCACACAAACAACUCCCCUUUGACCUUCUUAGUAAAAAGAGUGGGGUCGAUUAGCCCAACUUCAAAACCAUGAUCUUGUAACAACUCGGUAAGGUGGUCAUACCACACACGUGGGGCUUGUUUAAGGCCAUAGAGUGCCUUAUCGAGUUGAUACACAUGAUCGGGAAAGUAGGGAUCCUCGAACCCGGGGGGUUGCUUGACGUAAACCAAUUCAUUAAUGGGACCAUUAAGAAAAGCACUCUUCACAUCCAUUUGUUGUAACUUAAAGUUAUGAUGAGAAGCAUAUGCAAUCAACAUGCGAAUGGAUUCAAGACGAGCAACGGGAGCAAAGGUUUCACCGUAGUCGAUACCCUCGACUUGGGAGUAGCCUUGUGCUACCAAACGGGCCUUGUUGCGAAUGAUAAUCCCAUGGGCAUCUUGCUUGUUCUUGAAUAUCCACUUGGUUCCAAUGACAUUAUGGUUCCCCGUUGGCCUUGGCACCAAUCUCCACACUUUGUUGCGCUCGAAGUUGUUGAGUUCUUCGUGCAUGGCAUUGAGCCAAUCCGGAUCUUCUAGCGCCUCAUAGACCUUGUGGGGUUCCACACAAGAGACAAACACGUGAUGCUCACAAUAAUUUGCUAAUUUUCUACGAGUGCUUACCCCCUUUCUUAAGCUUCCAAGCACAUUCGUCAUGAGAUGAUCCUUGGUGGAGAGCUUGGAAGCAACCUUGGCGGCACGACGCUCUAAUUCCUCCUCGGUGGUGAGUUGAGGAGCGGUUUGAUCAUCUUGAGUGUCGUCAUGAACUUGUUGUUGAUCUUGAACUUUCUCGAGGGAGAGAACUUGACUUUGGGCAUCACUUGGUGUGUCAACACCGUCUUGAGUAUGAUCUUGCCCUUGGUCUUGUUCAAGAGGUUGAGGGCCUUCACUUUGUUCUUUGGAAGCAUGUGGGCCUUGGGUUGGUGAUGGCUCCACUUGAGUGGAGCAUUGUCCUUCUCCUUCGGCCACAAGGGGUUCCUCAAUGGGUAGGAUGAAACCUACACCCAUUCUUCUUAUGGCUUGAGGAGGAAUUUCAUCACCUACAUCACAAGUGCCACUUUGCUCCACUUGGGAGCCGUUAUUCUCAUCAAACUCCACGUUACACGUCUCCUCAAUAAGUCCCGUGGAUUUAUUGAGUACACGGUAAGCAUGAGAGUUUGUAGCAUAACCAACGAAUAUGCCCUCAUAAGCUCUAGCCUCAAAUUUAGACAACCGAACACCUUUCUUGAGAAUGAAACACUUACACCCGAAUACUCGGAAGUACUUGAGAUUGGGCUUGUUACCGGUUAGUAUCUCAUAUGGAGUCUUGUUCAAGCCCUUGCGGAGGUAGAGCCGAUUGGAUGCAUGACACGCGGUGUUGAUGGCUUUGGCCCAAAAGUUGUACGGAGACUUGAACUCCGCCAUCAUGGUCCUUGCCGCAUCCAUCAAUGUCCGGUUCUUCCUCUCCGCAACACCGUUUUGUUGAGGGGUGUAUGGUGCGGAAUAUUGAUGCUUGAUUCCCUCAUCACUAAGAAAUUCAUCCAAGGUGUAGUUCUUGAACUCGGUGCCGUUGUCACUUCUUAUUGUCAAGAUCUUUGCAUUAUGUUGACGUUGUGCUUCAUUUGCAAAGUCAAUGACAGUUUGUUGGGUCUCGCUCUUCCUCUUGAAGAAAUACACCCACGUGUACCUUGAGUAGUCAUCCACAAUCACCAAGCAAUACUUUCUACCUCCAAGACUAUCGAAGGAUGGGGGCCCAAAAAGAUCCAUGUGAAGGAGCUCCAAAGGCCUCUUUGAAUAAAUGAUAGUCGUGGGAGGGUGAGCCUUCUCAUGUAGCUUUCCUUCGAUACAGGCACUGCAAGCACGAUCUUUAACAAAACUAACAUUCGUUAGUCCACGGACAUGGUCCCCCUUGAGAAGACUUUGCAAAGAUCUCAUAUUGACAUGGGCUAAACAGCGAUGCCAAAGCCAUCCCACAUCAACUUUAGCCAUUAGGCAUGUCGCGGUCUUAGUGGGUCGCUCCGAAAAGUUAAUCACAUAUAGACCGUUCUCGACAUGCCCAACAAAAGCUACUUUAAGAGUCUUGCUCCACAAGAGGGCCACGGUAUCGAUAUCAAAGAAAGUGGCAAAGCCCAUGAUUGCAAGUUGACGAACAGAAAGUAAAUUGUACGCAAGGGACUCAACAAGCAUGACCUUCUCGAUCGUGAGAUCAUGAGAGAUGACCACCUUGCCAAGUCCCAAUACCUUAGAGGAUGAGGCGUCACCCCACUCGACAUUGGUGGGCAUAGAUGGAACUUUGUGCACGUCCACCACCAAGUCCUUGCUUCCGGUCAUAUGUUUUUUAGCUCCGCUAUCGAGCAACCAUGAUCCACCUCCGGAAGCAAACACCUACAAGAUAUCAAUGCUUGGUUUUAGGUACCCAUUUUGUUAUGGGUCCUCUGAUGUUAGUAACAAGGGUCUUAGGAACCCAAAUAGACCAUUCAAUGUACUCAUGAAGAGAACCAACAAAUUUGUCAUAAACAUGCCCAUCACUAGCACGGCAUAACACAUAAGAAGGAUUAAAACCGCCAGCUUUGUUGGGAGGGAUGACAUUUCCCUUCUUGACAUUGUUCUUCUUCUUCUCCUCGGGGGCACUCUCUCCCUCCCUCACAAAGGUUUGCAUGAGGGGAGGAGGUCGUUUGGUCUUGUCAUUCUUCUUCUUGUUCUUGGAGUCGGGCACGUACCCAACCCCUUCCUUGGCCACACCUCCCUUUUGGUUGAUCAAGAGAUCGUUGAGGUUCUUCUUUCCUUGUAUGCAAGUCGCAAGACCUCUCUCAAGUUGCUCCUUCAACUUAGCAUUUUCCUCAACAAGAUGUAUAUGCUCACAACACGAGUAGCAUUUGCAUUAUCAAUUAAAACCAUAUGAGGAAAAGUUGCUUUCUCCUUAGUUAGCUUCACUUGGAGUUGAUCAUGAGACUCCUUGAGACUAGCGUGAAUACCCUUCAAGGACUUGUGGGCCUUGUCAAGUAUAUCAAACUCCUGUUUGAGUCUAGCAAGAUCAACCCUAAGUUUGGCCUUCUCGGAAUUUAGCACACGAGAAACAAUGAGGGCAUGAUCAUAAUCUUUCUUUAACUUAGCAUGAUCAACGUUGUGUGACUCCUCAAGAGCCAAACGAAGACCACGCUCUUCCUCAAGAGCAUUGGAAAGAUUCGAAAUCUCAUCGGCAUAGUCACGACUAUGCCCUUCCAUCUUAGAGAUGGUAUCUUCGUGAGCCUCGAUCAUGUCAUUGGCCUCACCAAGUUGUUCCAAGAGAGCAACAAAGUGCUUCUUGGAUUUUCCCUUGAGUUUGCCCAUAAAAGCCUCAAACUCGUUAGCCUCCACAUUAGCUCCCUCAAGUUCAUUAAUGCUAUCCAUUGGGGAAGGAUGAUUAAUGAUGGUAGUUUUGAUGUUGGAGGUUACCUUGUUGGUGGCUUUAUCCAUGAGGCAUUUGGCGGUGAUGCUCUCGUUGGGUGAGUCAAAGAGAGACACCCGUGAUGUUGUUGCAAUGGCAACGGAGGCCAUGGCAACCGACUCAUCAUCUUCAUCAUCGUCAUCAUCAUCAUUGUACUCUUCUUGCACAACCAAAGCCUUGGGAGGAGUCUUCUUGGUGAAGUUGUUCUUGUUGGGGAACGACUUGGCCUUGUCCUUUCAGAUGAGUUUGCCACCAUUGUCUUCUCUCUUCUCAUAUGGGCAUUCCGCAACUAAAUGACUCACGUUGCCGCAAUUGUAGCAAGUUCUUACAUGUUGCUUGCUCCUUGUGCCACUCGAGUUGUUUUUGCUAAAGUUGGGCCUCGAGUUUUUCUUGCUCCAAAAUUGCCUUGAAGCAAGUGCCAUGUGUUCAUGAUAUGCAUACUUCGUAUCUUCGGGGUUGCUCUCCUCUUCUUCCUCUUCUUCUUCUUCCACGGUGAGCUUGGCCUUCAAUGCAAGGUUAGGCUUCUUUGCCCGUUGAGAACGGAGCACCGCAUUGUCGGCGGUCUUGUCCAAAAUGUUCAUGGCCACAAACUCAUCCAACACUUCGCUUGAGGUCAAAGUGUGGAAGUCCGGUCUUUGACGAAUGACGGAGGACAUGGCCUUGUGGUAGGGCAUCAUUGCCUUGAGGAAUUUGCGCUUGAUCCAAUUGUCAUCCGUGUCCUUGCUCCCUGAUCUCGUAGUGAGACCGCGAGUUUGGUUACUCUCCGAUAAAGCUCACGAGGUUCUUCAUCUUCCUUCAUUGCAAACUCAUCGGCCUCAUCUUGUACCACUUCAUAGUUGGACCAUUGAAUGCUUGCACUUCCCCGAUAGAGAGACACGACACAAUGCCAUGCAUCUUUGGCCAAGGCGAAGGGACGAAGAUGAGGUAGGUCUUCAGGUGGAAUUGCAUCUUGAAUGAUGAAGAGAGCAUUCUCAUUGAAUUGAUUGUCCGCGGCUUCUCGAGGAGUGAAGUUGCUUGGAUCAUGUGGAUAGAAACCUUCUUCAAUGAUUCUCCAAAGGUUAGUGUUCACAUGAUUUAAAUGACGUUUAAAGUGGUAAACCCAAGAAUCAAAAUCCUCAUUUUUCACAAUCUUAGGGGAGGACCGGCAUGAUUCAAAUGAGUGGAGGGAACCGGUCCACCAUAAACAAGUGGUGGUUUCACAUGGGCAAAGAUGCCGGUGCCAUUCUUGCCACUAGAAGAAGGAGCCUUUUCACUACUAGCUUCCCCCUUGUCAGGGAUAGCAUUCGACACCUUGUUGGCGGGAUCACCCACUUUCAACGGUGCGGUGGAAAGUUUAAGCCCCUCAAGAAAUUUAGUAAACAUGCUUUCAACUUCGGUCGUCAUGGAGGUUUUCAAUGUCUCCAAGGCCACAUUGAAAUCCUCACGAGAGAUCGAAGUUCCCCCAUCUCCCGUAGACAAGAUCGGAUUCACACCGGAGUGUUCCUCCACACCGUCUACGGUAUCAACCAUACUCUUUGGACGGUAAAGUCCUUAAUAAAGAGACGACGCUCUGAUGCCAAUUGAAAGGAUCGAUAUGGUUGACUAGAGGGGGGAUGAAUAGGCAACUACCAAUUUUUAGUUUUUCUUUACCAAAUUAAACUUUGCAUCAAAGUAGGUUGUCUAGAUGUGCAACUAGGUGAGCAACCUAUAUGAUGCAAUAUCAACAAGCAUACAAGCAAGCAAGGGUAGAAACACUAAAGAGCUUGCACAAGUAAAGGUAAGAGAUAACCAAGAGUGGAUCCGGUGGAGACGAGGAUGUGUUACCGAAGUUCCUUCCUUUUGAGGGGAAGUACGUCUCUGUUGGAGUGGUGUGGAGGCACAAUGCUCCCCAAGAAGCCACUAGGGCCACUGUAUUCUCCUCACGCCCUCACACAAUGCGAGAUGCCGUGAUUCCACUAUUGGUGCCCUUGAAGGCGGCGACCGAACCUUUACAAACAAGGUUGGGGCAAUCUCCACAACUUAAUCGGAGGCUCCCAACAAGACCAUGAAGCUUCACCACAAUGGAAUAUGGCUCCGAGGUGACCUCAACCAUCUAGGGUGCUCAAACACCCAAGAGUAACAAGAUCCACUAGGGAUGAGUGGGGGAAUCGAAAAUCCCUUGGUGGAAGUGUAGAUCGGAGCCUUCUCAACCACUCCCGAGCAAAUCAACAAGUUUGAUUGGCUAGGGACAUAGAUCGGGCAAAAUGAAGCUUGGAGUAUUUAAUGGAGCUUGAGCAAUAAAUGGAGCUUUGGGGGAGGAAGAGGUGAGUGAGAAGGAGGAAGGGGACUCCCUUUUAUAGUGGGGGCAACAAUCCCGUUGCCCCCCACCAACCAGCCCCGCACAGGGCGGUACUACCGCUGAGAGGGGGCGGUACUACCGCCAGGCGGCGAUACUGCCGCGCCACCCUGCGGUACUGCCGCGCUGCGGAUUCUUAGUAGGGAACGGACCCCAAUAGCGGUACUACCGCGGUGGUAGGGCAGUACUACCGCUCCUGGAACGGUACUACCGCCACUACAACCGUGACUAGUGCCGCAAAACCCGACACGAGAAAAAGACCUCUCGAAUCGAGGAAGUAGGAGCCAGACUACCCAGCGGUACUACGGCAGUGGGGUCAAGGGCGGUAGUACCGCUGUGGAGCGGUACUACCGCUUGUGACCCUUCGGCCGUAGUACCGUAGGCAGUGCGGUACUACCGCUGGGGCGCGCGCGAGAGAGAGAAGGGAUCUCUCAAAAAUGCUGAGGACACGGUGGAUGUGCCAGGCCCCCAGCGGUACUACUGCUGUGGAGCCACAGCGGUACUACCGCUGCGAAGCGGUACUGCCGCUUGUGGCUUCUCAGCGGUACUACCGUUGGGUGCACGGUACUGCCGCUUAGACCCAAACAGGACAAGGAAGAGAGGAGAGAUCUCUUCAAUGGACAGGAAAAGCUCAGAGGGUGAGAAGCUGAUGUGUACGUGAUGAUUCCACCCAUGCAAAACCCCAGCGGACCCCCUCUUGAUAGUACGGUGCCCUCUACGCAACUAGUCCACCAAGAAAGAAAUGAAAGAGCUACACCGUCUUGAAAUACACUUCGAGGGGAAGAAAGCGUCUCGUGCCAGGGGAGAAUCUGUGAAUUAUUCAAAGCACAAGAUUAGUCCGCAAACAUGUUGUCAUCAAUCACCAAAACUACCUUGAGAGAGAUAUGCCGUAACAAUGAUCAAGUCUAUCUAUGAAUAAUAUUUGAAUCUUCUCUGAAUUCUUUUAUGUAUGAUUGGUUAUCUUUGCAAGUCUCUUCGAAUUAUCAGUUUGGUUUGGCCUACUAGAUUGGUUUUUCUUGCCAUGGGAGAAGUGCUUAGCUUUGGGUUUGAUCUUGCGGUGUCCUUUCCUAGUGACAGAAGGGGAAGCGAGGCACGUAUUGUAUCGUUGCCAUCAAGGAUAACAAGAUGGGGUUUUUAUCAUAUUGCAUGAAACUAUCCCUCUACAUCAUGUCAUCUUGCUUAAGACGUUACUCUGUUUUUAACUUAAUACUCUAGAUGCAUGCUGGAUAGCGGUCGAUGAGUGGAGUAAUAGUAGUAGAUGCAGGUAGGAGUCGGUCUACUUGUCUCGGACGUGAUGCCUAUAUACAUGAUCAUACCUAGAUAUUCUCAUAACUAUGCUCAAUUCUGUCAAUUGCUCAACAGUAAUUUGUUCACCCACCGUAGAAUACUUAUGCUCUUGAGAGAAGCCACUAGUGAAACCUAUGGCCCCCGGGUCUCUUUCUCAUCAUAUCAAUCUCCAUCACUUUAUUAUUGCUUUGCUUUUACUUUGCUUUUACUUUUUACUUUGCAUCUCUAUACCAAAAAUACCAAAAAUAUUAUUUAUCAUCUCUAUCAGAUCUCACUUUCGUAAGUGACCGUGAAGGGAUUGACAACCCCUAAGCGCAUUGGUUGCGUUGAGCUAUUGUUUUUGUGUAGGUACGAGGUACUCGCGCGUAGCCUCCUACUGGAUUGAUACCUUGGUUCUCAAAAACUGAGGGAAAUACUUACGCUACUUUGCUGCAUCAUCCUCUCCUCUUCGGGGAAAUCCAACACAGUGCUUAAGAGGUAGCAAGAAGAAUUUCUGGCGCCGUUGCCAGGGAGUCUGCGCAAAAGUCAACAUACCAAGUACCCAUCACAAUCCCUAUCUCCCGCAUUACAUUAUUUGCCAUUUGCCUCUCGUUUUCCUCUCCCCCACUUCACCCUUGCCGUUUUAUUCGCCCUCUCUCUCUAUCCUCCCUCUCUUUCUCUAUUUGCCUUUUUUUGCCCGUUUGCCUUUUGUUUGCUCGUGUGUUGGAUUGCUUGUUUGUCAUGAUGGCUAAAGAUAAUACUAAAUUGUGUGACUUCACCAAUACCAACAACAAUCAUUUCCUUAGCACUCCGAUUGCUCCUCUCACCGAUGCUGAAUCUUGUGAAAUUAAUACUGCUUUGCUGAAUCUUGUCAUGAAAGAUCCGUUCUCCGGCCUUCCUAGUGAAGAUGCCGCUACCCAUCUAAAUAGCUUCGUUGAUUUGUGUGACAUGCAAAAGAAGAAAGAUGUGGAUAAUGAUAUUGUUAAAUUGAAGCUAUUUCCUUUUUCGCUUAGAGAUCGUGCUAAAGCUUAGUUUUCGUCUUUGCCUACAAAUAGUAUUGAUUCAUGGAACAAGUGCAAAGAUGCUUUUAUCUCUAAGUAUUUUCCUCCCGCUAAGAUCAUCUCUCUUAGAAACGAUAUUAUGAAUUUUAAGUAACUUGAUCAUGAACGUGUUGCACAAGCUUGGGAGAGAAUGAAAUUAAUGAUACGUAAUUACCCUACUCAUGGUUUAAAUUUGUGGAUGAUUAUACAAAUAUUUUAUGCCGGAUUGAAUUUUGCUUCUAGAAAUCUUUUAGAUUCAGCCGUGGGAGGCACCUUUAUGGAAAUCACUUUAGGAGAAGCUACUAAACUCCUAGAUAAUAUUAUGGUUAAUUAUUCUCAAUGGCAUACUGAAAGAUCUACUAAUAAAAAGGUGCAUGCGAUAGAAGAAAUUAAUGUUUUGAGUGGAAAGAUGGAUGAACUUAUGAAAUUAUUUGCUAAUAAGAGUGUUUCUUCUGAUCCUAAUGAUGUGCCCUUGUCUACUUUGAUUGAAAAUAAUAAUGAGUCUAUGGAUGUGAAUUUUGUUGGUAGGAACAAUUUUGGUAACAACGCGUAUAGAGGAAAUUUUAAUCCUAGGCCUUAUCCUAGUAAUCCCUCUAAUAAUUAUGGUAAUUCCUACAACAAUUCUUAUGGAAAUUAUAAUAAGAUGCCCUCUGAUUUUGAAUCUAAUAUUAAAGAAUUUAUUUCUUCGCAAAAGAAUUUUAAUGCUAUGAUUGAAGAAAAAUUGCUUAAGAUUGAUGAUUUGGCUAGGAACGUUGAUAGAAUUUCUCUUGAUAUUGAUUCUUUGAAACUAAGAUCUAUUCCACCUAAGCAUGAUAUCAAUGAGUCUAUCAAAGCCAUGAGAAUUUCCAUUUACGAGUGCAAAGAAAGAACCGCUAGGAUGCGUGCUAAGAAAGAUGCCUUUAUAAAAGCGUGUUCUUCUAGUUCCUAUGAAAAUAAUGAUGAAGAUCUAAAAGUUAUUGAUGUGUCCCCUAUUAAAUCUUUUUUUGCAAUAUGAAUCUUGAUAAUGAUGGGACUGAAUAUGAUCCACCUUUACCUAGAAGGCGUUCCAAGAAUUUGAAUCUUUUGAUCUUGAUGCUAAAUUUGAUAAAAGUGGGAUUGAAGAAAUUAAAACCCUAGAUGUUGCUAAACCCACUAUUAUGGAUUUCAAGGAAUUUAACUAUGAAAAUUGCUCUUUGAUUGAUUUUAUUUCCUUAUUGCAAUCUGUGCUAAAUUCUCCUCACGCUUGUAGUCAAAAUAAAGCAUUUACUAAACAUAUCGUUGAUGUCUUGGUGCAAUCUUAUGAAGAAAAACUUGAAUUGGAAGUUUCUAUCCCUAGAAAACUUUAUGAUAAGUGGGAACCAACUAUUAAAAUUAAAAUUAAAGAUCAUAAGUUUUAUGCUUUGUGUGAUUUGGGUGCUAGUGUCUCUACUAUUCCCAAAACUUUGUGUGAUUUGCUAGAUUUCCGUAAUUUUGAUGAUUGCUCUCUAAACUUGCAUCUUGCGGAUUCCACUAUUAAGAAACCUAUGGGAAGAAUUAAUGAUGUUCUUAUUGUUGCAAAUAGGAAUUAUGUGCCCAUAGAUUUUAUCGUUCUUGAUAUAUAUUGCAGUCCUUCUUGCCCUAUUAUUCUCGGUAGACCUUUCCUUAGAACGGUUGGUGCAAUUAUUGAUAUGAAGGAAGGGAAUAUUAGAUUCCAAUUUCCAUUAAAAAAGGGCAUGGAACACUUCCCUGGAAAGAAAAUAAAAUUACCAUAUGAAUCUAUCAUGAGAGCCACUUAUGGAUUGCCUACCAAAGAUGGCAAUACCUAGAUCUAGUCUUGUUUGUUAUGCCUAGCUAGGGGCGUUAAACGAUAGCGCUUGUUGGGAGGCAACCCAAUUUUAUUUUUAUUCCUUGCUUUUUGAUCCUGUCUAUUAAUAAAUAAAUUAUUUAGCCUCUGUUUUGGUUGUGUUUUUUGUGUUUAAUUAGUGUUUGUGCCAAGUAGAACCGUUGGGAAGACUUGGAGAAAGUCUUGUUGAACUUGCUGUAAAAAACAGAAACUUUAGCGCUCACGAGAAAUGCUGCCAUUUUUAUUUGGAGAGGGAUAUUUAGUUAAUUCUUUUUUAAGAUGAUUAAUAGAUAAAUUUCUCAUGUCCAACAAUUUAUUUUAGAAUUUUUGGGGUUCCAGAUCUUGCGCUAGCUGCAGAUUUCUACAUACUGUUCUGUUUUUGACAGAUUCUGUUUUUCGUGUGUUGUUUGCUUAUAUUGAUGAAUCUAUGGCUAAUAAAAUAGUUUAUAAAUCAUAGAGAAGUUGGAAUACAGUAGGUAUAACACCCAUAUAAAUAAAUAAUGAGUUCAUUACAGUACUUUGAAGUGGUCUUUUGUUUUCUUUCACUAACGGAGCUCACGAGAUUUUCUACUUUAAGUUUUGUGUUGUGAAGUUUUCAAGUUUUGGGUAAAGAUUUGAUGGAUUAUGGAACAAGGAGUGGCAAGAGCCUAAGGUUGGGGAUGCCCAUGGAACCCUCAAGAUAAUAUAAGGACACCUAAAAGCCAAAGCUUGGGGAUGCCCCGGAAGGCAUCCCCUCUUUCGUCUACUUCUAUCGGUAACUUUACGUGGAGCUAUAUUUUUAUUCACCACAUGAUAUGUGUUUUGCUUGGAGCAUCUUUUAUGAUUUGAGUCUUUUCUUGUUAGUCUACCACAAUCAUCCUUGCUGUACACACCUUUUGAGAGAGCCAAACAUAAUUUGGAAUUUGAUAGAAUACUCUAUGUGCUUCACUUAUAUCUUUUGAGUUAUAUAAUUUUGCUCUAGUGCUUCACUUAUAUCUUUUAGAGCACAGUGGUGGAUUUGUUUUAUAGAAACUAUUGAUCUCUCAUGCUUCACUUAGAUUAUUUUGAGAGUCUUAAUAGCAUGGUAAUUUGCUUAAUAAUAAUAUGCUUGGUAUUCAAGAUUUGUAAAACUUUCUUUUGAGUGCGUUGAAUACUAAGAAAAAAAAUUGAUGCUUGAUAAUUGUUUUGAGAUAUGAGGAUGGUAAUAUUAGAGUCAUGUUAGUUGAGUAGUUGUGAAUUUGAGAAAUGCUUGUGUUAAAGUUUGUGAUUCCCGUAGCAUGCAUGUAUGGUGAACCGUUAUGUGAUGAAGUCAGAGCAUGAUUUAUUUAUUGAUUGUCUUUCUUAUGAGUGGCGGUCGGGGACGAGCGAUGGUCUUUUCCUACCAAUCUAUCCCCCUAGGAGCAUGCGCGUAAUACUUUGCUUUGAUAACUUCUAGAUUUUUUCAGUAAGUAUAUGAGUUCUUUAUGACUAAUGUUGAGUCCAUGGAUUAUACGCACUUUUCUUCCUUCCACCAUUGCUAGCCUCUCUAAUACCGCUCACUUUUCGCCGGUAUCAUACACCCACCAAAUACCUUCCUCAAAACAGCCACCAUACCUACCUAUCAUGGCAUUUCCAUAGCCAUUCCGAGAUAUAUUGCCAUGCAACUUUCCACCGUUCCAUUCAUUAUGACACGCUCCAUCAUUGUCAUAUUGCUAGUAUGAUCAUGUAGUUGACAUCGUAUUUGUGGCAAAGCCACCGUUCAUAAUUCUUUCAUACAUGUCACUCUUGAUUCAUUGCAUAUCUCGGUACAUCGCCGGAGGCAUUCAUAUAGAGACAUAUUUUGUUCUAAGUAUUGAGUUGUAAUUGUUGAGUUGUAAGAAAAAUAAAAAGUGUGAUGAUCAUCAUUUUUAGAGCAUUGUCCCAAGUGAGGAAAGGAUGAUGGAGACUAUGAUUCCCCCACAAGUCGGGAUGUGACUCCGGACGAAAAUUUAAAAAAAAUAAAGAGGCCAUAAAAAAAAGAGAAGACCCAAAAAAAUGAGAGAAAAAGAGAGAAGGGACAAUGUUACUAUCCCUUUACCACGCUUGUGCUGCAAAGUAGCACCAUGAUCCUCAUGAUAGAGAGUCUCUCAUUCUGUCACUUUCAUAUACUAGUGGCAAUUUUUCAUUAUAGAACUUGGCUUGUAUUUUCCAAUGAUGGGCCUCCUCAAAAUGCCCUAAGUCUUCGUGAGCAAGCGAGUUGGAUGCACACCCACUUAGUUUCUUUAGUUGAGCUUUCAUAUACUUAUAGCUCUAGUGCAUCUGUUGCAUGGCAAUCCCUACUCACUCACAUUGAUAUCUAUUGAUGGGCAUCUCCAUAGCUCGUUGAUACGCCUAGUUGAUGUGACUCCGGACGAAAAUUUAAAAAAAAUAAAGAGGCCAUAAAAAAAAGAGAAGACCCAAAAAAAAUGAGAGAAAAAGAGAGAAGGGACAAUGUUACUAUCCCUUUACCACGCUUGUGCUGCAAAGUAGCACCAUGAUCCUCAUGAUAGAGAGUCUCUCAUUCUGUCACUUUCAUAUACUAGUGGCAAUUUUUCAUUAUAGAACUUGGCUUGUAUUUUCCAAUGAUGGGCCUCCUCAAAAUGCCCUAAGUCUUCGUGAGCAAGCGAGUUGGAUGCACACCCACUUAGUUUCUUUAGUUGAGCUUUCAUAUACUUAUAGCUCUAGUGCAUCUGUUGCAUGGCAAUCCCUACUCACUCACAUUGAUAUCUAUUGAUGGGCAUCUCCAUAGCUCGUUGAUACGCCUAGUUGAUGUGAGACUAUCUUCCCCUCUUUUUGUCUUCUCCACAACCACCAUUCUAUUCCACAUAUAGUGUUAUAUCCAUGGCUCACGCUCAUGUAUUGCAUGAAGAUAGAAAAAGUUUUGAAAAUGUCAAAAGUAUGAAACAAUUGCUUGGCUUGUCAUCGGGGUUGUGCAUGAUUUAAAUAUUUUGUGUGGUGAAGAUAGAGCAUAGCCAGACUAUAUGAUUUUGUAGGGAUAGCUUUCUUUGGCCAUGUUAUUUUGAGAAGACAUAAUUGCUUUGUUAGUAUGCUUGAAGUAUUAUUAUUUUCAUGUCAACAUAAACUUUUGUCUUGAAUCUUUUGAAUCUGAAUAUUCAUACCACAAUUAAGAAGAUUUACAUUGAAAUUAUGCCAAGUAGCACUCCGCAUCAAAAAUUCUGUUUUAUCAUUUACCUACUCGAGGACGAGCAGGAAUUAAGCUUGGGGAUGCUUGAUACGUCUCCAACGUGUCUAUAAUUUUUGAUUGCUCCAUGCUAUAUUAUCUACUGUUUUGGACAUAAUUGGGCUUUAUUAUCCACUUCUAUAUUAUUUUUGGUACUAACCUAUUAACCGGAGGCCCAGCCCAGAAUUGUUGUUUUUUUGCCUGUUUUAGGGUUUCAAAGAAAAGGAAUAUCAAACGGAGUCCAAACAGAAUGAAACCUUCGGGAACGUGAUUUUCUCACCGAAUACAACUCAGGAGACUUGGACCCUACGUCAAGCCAAUUAACAGGAGGCCACGAGGUAGGGGGGCGCGCCUGCCCCCCCUAGGUGUGCCAUCCACCCUCGUGGCCCCCCUGUUGCUCCACCGACGUACUUCUUCCUUCUAUAUAUAUCCACGUACCCCCAAACGAUCAGAAACGGAGCCAAAAGCCUAAUUCCACCGCCGCAACUUUCUGUAUCCACGAGAUCCCAUCUUGGGGCCUGUUCCGGAGCUCCACCAGAGGGGGCAUCAAUCACGGAGGGCUUCUACAUCAUCAUCCAAGCCCCUCCAAUGAAGUGUGAGUAGUUUACUUUAGACCUACGGGUCCAUAGUUAGUAGCUAGAUGGCUUCUUCUCUCUUUUUGGAUCUCAAUACAAUGUUCCCCCCUUUCUCGUGGAGAUCUAUUUGAUGUAAUCUUCUUUUUGCGGUGUGUUUGUUGAUACCGAUGAAUUGUGGGUUUAUGAUCAAAUCUAUGUAUGAAUAAUAUUUGAAUCUUCUCUGAAUUAUUUUAUGUAUGUUUGGUUAUCUUUGCAAGUCUCUUCGAAUUAUCAGUUUAUUUUGGCUUACUAGAUUGAUUUUUCUUGCCAUGGGAGAAGUGCUUAGCUUUGGGUUCGAUCUUGCGGUAUCCUUUCCCAGUGACAGAAGGGGCAGCAAGGCACGUAUUGUAUCAUUGCCAUCAAGGAUAACAAGAUGGUUUUUUUAUCAUAUUGCAUGAAACUAUCCCUCUACAUCAUGUCAUCUUGCUUAAGGCGUUAAUCUAUUUUUAACUUAAUACUCUAGAUGCAUGCUGGAUAGCGGUCGAUGAGUGGAGUAAUAGUAGUAGAUGCAGGCAGGAGUCGGUCUACUUGUCUCGGACGUGAUGUCUAUAUACAUGAUCACACCUAGAUAUUCUCAUAACUAUGCUCAAUUCUGUCAAUUCCUCAACAGUAAUUUGUUCACCCACCGUAGAAUACUUAUGCUCUUGAGAGAAGCCACUAGUGAAACUUAUGGCCCCUGAGUCUCUUUCUCAUCAUAUCAAUCUCCAUCACUUUAUUAUUGCUUUGCUUUUACUUUGCUUUUACUUUUUACUUUGCAUCUCUAUACCAAAAAUACCAAAAAUAUUAUUUAUCAUCUCUAUCAGAUCUCACUUUCAUAAGUGACCGUGAAGGGAUUGACAACCCCUAAGCGCGUUGGUUGCGUUGAACUAUUGUUUUUGUGUAGGUACGAGGGACUCGCACGUAGCCUCCUACUGGAUUGAUACCUUGGUUCUCAAAAACCGAGGGAAAUACUUACGCUACUUUGCUGAAUCAUCCUCUCCUCUUCGGGGAAAUACAACGCAGUCCUCAAGAGGUAGCAUACAACAUCUAAAAGGGAAAUUGGGACGUUGAUAAAGAGACGCAUCUUAAAUUCGCAAUAUUAUGAUGAUCAUUGAAUAUACUAAAAAAUGUACUAAAGCAAAGACAAGUAAUAUGGAUCGAAGAGAGCAUAGUGAGUUGCCUCUUAAUCGAAUCUCUUGUAACUAGAUAUAAAUAUACGACGAAAGAUAUUGUUGCUAAAAGACCAUCUCUUGAUUAAUUCUCUCCUCCACCCCAACAUUUAUUAUUGUGACAUUUCUAAGAUAAUACGUAUCAUUGCACACCCCCUUAGGUCAUCUCCGAGGAGAAAUCUCACAUGGGCACCCUCAAAUGUCGCGGAAACGUCCGGUUAUGUCUCCGGACAGUCGGUCAGACUCUGACCAAAUAAGGCUAUAUCUGAAAACUCUCCUACUUAUCUGUCCCUUCCCCUUCACUUCUUUUUGUUCACUAAAUCAAUUUCUUCCAUGUUCAACAUUCAAUAGAAGUUUGACGACGCAUAUAACACUUGCAAACAAAAACAAGCGAAACAAAAGCACCGGAUGCCCAGCAAAAAUAGCAAUUACUCGAAAGAAAAUCACGACCGGACGAGCGUUAGCGACUCGAUGAACAUGUAGUCCUUGUUGAGGUCAACGGUGAUGUACGGUGGAGGGUGGCCGGAGGUGAAGGAGGCAACAGAGUGUUGUCGCAAUUGUUGCAAGCCAGGUUCACCAUACUUCUGGGCAGCGAAGUAGUAUGACGCUUUGUACUAGGCGGGCCAUGGUGGCGAUUGCCCCAUCUAAACCGACAAGGUGGUCCGUUGUGGAGGAGGAGCUCCAGCCUGAACGGAUGCCUGCAUCUUAUUCUUCACCCUUCGCUUUAUGCAGCUCUCUUGUCAUUUAGUAGUCUCCGGAUUCACCGGUGCGGCGCGCGUGGCGGACGUGCUCUGGGUUUGAAGGGGCGAUGAACCUCGUGAUGGGCUUUGGUGGAUCCAUCGUGGCGGUGACGAAACAGACAGGAUGAGGAUGUUCGAAACGGAGAAGAUGGGGUUUUGGCGAGAAAAUAGUAGGAUCCGACACCAAGAGUUAUGUUCAUCGCACGCCAUGAUAUACUAAUAGCUGGCUCAACCAACGUGCACCAGCGGCAUCUACUUGAGCCAGCAUGAGGUAUAUGCACUGCUCUAGCUAACCUCAGAUAUUAUUUGUUUCUAUCGUCCUAACUGUCAGUGAUUAGCAGCACGAGCUCAAAGAGGGCAAAAUUUUCACCAUUAGCGGUAACGUAGCUUUGAGUCACGUGCACAAGUGGUAGGUACAUUUUUAGUGCAGUCGUAGGCCUAAUGUAAAAUACAUAUUUGGGGGCCCGGGGCGGCCGCCCCCGCCCCCCCCCCCCACCCCCCAAGGGCCGGUCCUGUUCAGACGCUGACCAAAUAAGGCUAUAUCUGAAAACUCUCCCACUUAUCUGUCCCUUCUCCUUCAUUUCUUUUUGUUCACUAAAUCAAUUUCUUCGAUGUUCAACAUUCAAUAGCAAUUUGACGAUGCAUAUAACACUUGCAAACAAAAACAAGCAAAACCAAAAGCACCGGAUGCCCAACAAAAAUACCAAUUACUCGAUAGAAAAUCACGACCAGACGAGCGUUAGCUACUCAAUUAACAUGUAGUCCUUGUUGAUGUCGACGGGGAAAUGUACGGUGGAGGGUGGCCGGAGGUGAAGGUGGCAACAGAGUGUUGUCGCGAUUGUUGCACGCCAGGUUCACCGUACUUCUGGGCAACGAAGUAGUAUGACGCUUUGUACUAGGCGGGCCAUGGUGGCGAUUGCCCCAGCUAGACCGACAAGGCGGUCCGUUGUGGAGGAGGAGCUCCGGCCUGAACGGCUGCCUGCAUCUUCUUCUUCACCCUUCGCUUUAUGCACCUCUCUUGUCGUUGGUAGUCUCCGGAUUCACCAGUGCAGCGCACGUGGCGGACGUGCUCCGAGUCCGAAGGGGCGAUGAACCUCGUGAUGGGUGCUACCUCUUGAGCACUGCGUUGGUUUUCCCUUAAAGAGGAAAGGAUGAUGCAGUAAAGUAGCCCAAGUAUUUCCCUCAGUUUUUGAGAACCAAGGUAUCAAUUCAGUAGGAGGCUACGCACGAGUCCCUUGCACCUGCACAAAACAAAUAAAUUCUCGCAACCAACGCGAUAAGGGGUUGUCAAUCGCUACACGGUCACUUACGAGAGUGAGAUCUGAUAGAUAUGAUAAGAUAAUAUUUUUGGUAUUUUUAUGAUAAAGAUGCAAAGUAAAAUAACAGGCAAUGAAAAUAACUAAGUGUUGGAAGAUUAAUAUGAUGAAGAUAGACCCGGGGGCCAUAGGUUUCACUAGUGGCUUCUCUCAAGAGCAUAAGUAUUUUACGGUGGGUGAACAAAUUACUGUUGAGCAAUUGAUAGAAUUGAGCAUAGUUAUGAGAAUAUCUAGGUAUGAUCAUGUAUAUAGGCAUCACGUCCGAGACAAGUAGACUGACUCCUGCCUGCACCUACUACUAUUACUCCACACAUCGGCCGCUAUCCAGCAUGCAUCUAGAGUAUUAAGUUCAUAAAAACAGAGUAACGCCUUAAGCAAGAUGACAUGAUGUAGAGGGAUAAAUUCAUGCAAUAUGAUAAAAACCCCAUCUUGUUAUCCUCGAUGGCAACAAUACAAUACGUGCCUUGAUGCCCCUAUUGUCACUGGGAAAGGACACCGCAAGAUUGAACCCAAAGCUAAGCACUUCUCCCAUUGCAAGAAAGAUCAAUCUAGUAGGCCAAACCAAACUGAUAAUUCGAAGAGACUUGCAAAAAUAACCAAUCAUACAUAAAAGAUUUCAGAGAAGAUUCAAAUAUUGUUCAUAGAUAAACUUGAUCAUAAACCCACAAUUCAUCGAUCUCAAUAAACACACCGCAAAAAAAGAUUACAUCGAAUAGAUCUCCACAAGAGAGGGGGAGAACUUUGUAUUAAGAUCAAAAAAGAGAGAAGAAGCCAUCUAGCUAAUAACUAUGGACCCGUAGGUCUGAGGUCAACUACUCACACUUCAUCGGAAGGGCUAUGGUGUUGAUGUAGAAGCCCUCCGUGAUCGAUGCCCCCUCCGGCGGAGCUCCGAAACAGGCCCAAGAUCGGAUCUCGUGGAUACAAAAAGUUACGGCGGUGGAAUUAGGGUUUUGGCUCUGUAUCUGAUCGUUUGGGGGUACGUAGGUAUAUAUAGGAGGAAGAAGUAUGUCGGUGGAGCAACAGGGGCCCACGAGGGUGGAGGGCGCGCCUAGGGGGUAGGCGCGCCCCUACCUCGUGGCCUCCUUGUUGGUUGCUUGAUGUAGGGUCCAAGUCUCCUUGAUCUUGUUCGUUCCAAAAAUCACGUUCCCGAAGGUUUCAUUCCAUUUGGACUCCGUUUGAUAUUUCUUUGCUUCGAAACCCUAAAAUAGGCAAAAAAACAAUUCUGGGUUGGGCCUCCGGUUAAUAGGUUAGUCCAAAAAAUAAUAUAAAAGUGUAAAAUAAAGCCCAAUAAUGUCGAAAACAGUAGAUAAUAUAGCAUGGAGCAAUCAAAAAUUAUAGAUACGUUGGAGACGUAUCAAGCAUCCCCAAGCUUAAUUCCUGCUCGUCCUCGAGUAGGUAAAUGAUAAAAACAGAAAUUUUGAUGUGGAAUGCUACUAGGCAUAAUUUCAAUGUAAUUCUUCUUAAUUGUGGCAUGAAUAUUCAGAUCCGAAAGAUUCAAUAUAAAAGUUUAAUAUUGACAUAGAAAUAAUAAUACUUCAAGCAUACUAACUAUGCAAUUAUGUCUUCUCAAAAUAACAUGGCCAAAGAAAGUUCAUCCCUACAAAAUCAUAUAGUUUAGUCAUGCUCCAUUUUCGUCACACAAGAAUGCUCUCAUCAUGCACAACCCCGAUGACAAGCCAAGCAGUUGUUUCAUAUUUUAGUAAUCUCAAAAUUUAUAAACCUUCACGCAAUACAUGAGCGUGAGCCAUGGAUAUAGCACUAUGGGUGGAAUAGAGUAUAAUGAUGGGGGUUAUGUGGAGAAGACCAAAAGGAGAAAGUCUCACAUCAACGAGGCUAAUCAAUGAGCUAUGGAGAUGCUCAUCGAUUGAUGUUAAUGCAAGGAGUAGGGAUUGCCAUGCAACGAAUGCACUAGAGCUAUAAAUGUAUGAAAUCUCAACAAAAGAAACUAGUGGGUGUGCAUCCAACUUGCUUGCUCACGAAGACCUAGGGCGCUUGAGGAGGCCCAUUGUUGGAAUAUACAAACCAAGUUCUACAAUGAAAAAUUCCCACUAGUAUAUGAAAGUGACAAAACAAGAGACUCUCUAUCAUGAAGAUCAUGGUGCUACUUUGAAGCACAAGUGUGAAAAAUGAUAGUAGCAUUGUCCCUUUUCAUUUCUCUUUUUUUGGGCCUUCUUCUUUUUUUGGCCUUUCUCUUUUUUUAUUGGGACAAUGCUCUAUUAAAUGAUGAUCAUCACACUACUAUUUAUUUACAACUCAAUGAUUACAACUCGAUACUAAAACAAGGUACGACUUUAUAUGAAUGCCUCUGGCGGUGUACCGGGAUAUGCAAUGAAUCAAGUGUGACAUGUAUGAAAAAUUAUGAACGGUGGCUUUGCCACAAAUACGAUGUCAACUACAUGAUCAUGCAAAGCAAUAUGACAAUGAUGAACGUGCCAUGAUAAACAGGAUGGUGGAAAGUUGCAUGGCAAUAUAUCUCAGAAUGGCUAUGGUAAUGCCAUAAUAGGUAGGUAUGGUGGCUGUUUUGAGGAAGAUAUAAGGAGGUUUAUGUGUGAAAGAGCAUAUCAUAUCAUGGGGUUUGGAUGCACCGGCGAAGUUUGCACCAACUCUCAAUGUGAGAAAGGGCAAUGCACGGUACUGAAGAGGCUAGCAAUGAUGGAAGGGUGAGAGUGCGUAUAAUCCAUGGACUCAACAUUAGUCAUAAAGAACUCACAUACUUAUUGCGAAAAUCUACAAGUCAUCAAAAACCUCGGCACUACGCGCAUGCUCCUAGGGGGAUAGAUUGGUAGGAAAAGACCAUCGCUCGUCCCCAACCGCCACUCAUAAGGAGGACAAUCAAAGAACACCUCAUGUUUCAAAUUUGUUACAUAACGUUUACCACACGUGCAUGCUACGGGACUUGCAAACUUCAACACAAGUAUUUCUCAAUUUCACAACUACACAACUAGCACAACUUUAAUAUCACUACCUCCAUAUCUCACAACAAUCAUCAAGCAUCAAACUUCUCUUAUUAUUCAAAACACUCAUAAGAAAGUUUUUACUAAUCUCGAAUACUUAGCAUAUUAGGAUUAUUUAAGCAAAUUACCAUGAUACUUAAGACUCUCAAAAUAAUAUAAGUGAAGCAUGAGAUAUCAAUAGUUUCUAUAAUACAAAUCCACCACCGUGCUCUAAAAGAUAUAAGUGAAGUACUAGAGCAAAACUAUAUAACUCAAAAGGUAUAAGUGAAGCACAUAGAGUAUUCUAAUAAUUUCCAAAUCAUGUGUGUUUCUCUCAAAAGGUGUGUACAGCAAAUAUGAUUGUGGUAAACUAAAAAUCAAAGAUUCAAAUCAUACAAGACGCUCCAAGCAAAACACAUGUUAUGUGGUGAAUAAAAAUAUAGCUCCAAAUAAAGUUACUGAUAGAAGUAGACGAAAGACGGGAUGCCUUCCGGGGCAUCCCCAAGCUUUGGCUUUUUGGUGUCCUUAUAUUAUAUUGGGGGUGCCAUGGGCAUCCCCAAGCUUAGGCUCUUGCCACUCCUUGUUCCAUAAUCCAUCAAAUCUUUACCCAAAACUUGAAAACUUCACAACACAAAACUUAAAGUAGAAAAUCUCGUGAGCUCCGUUAGCGAAAGAAAAGAAAAGACCACUUCAAGAUACUGUACUGAACUCAUUAUUUAUUUAUAUUGGUGUUAAGCCUACUGUAUUCCAACUUCUCUAUAGUUUAUAAACUAUUUUACUAGCCAUAGAUUCAUCAAAAUAAGCAAACAACACACAAAAAACAGAAUCUGUCAAAAACAGAAUAGUAUGUAGUAAUCUGUAGCUAGCGCAAUAUCUGGAACCCCAAAAAUUCUAAAAUAAAUUGCCGGACGUGAGGAAUUUAUCUAUUAAUCAUCUGCAAAAAGAAUUAACUAAAUAUCACUUUCCAAAUAAAAAUUGCAGCAGUUCUCGUGAGCGCUAAAGUUUCUGUUUUUUACAGCAAGAUUAACAAGACUUUCCCCAAGUCUUCCCAACGGUUCUACUUGGCACAAACACUAAUUAAAUACAAAAAACACAACCAAAACAGAGUCUAGAUAAAUUAUUUAUUGAAUUACAGCAAGGAAAAAUAUUGGGUUGUCUCCCAACAAGCGCUUUUCUUUAAAGCCUUAUAGCUAGGCAUUGAUAAUUUUAAUGAUGCUCACAUGAAAGACAAGAAUUAAAGCACAAAAGGAGCAUCAUAAAACAUGUGACAAACACAUCUAAGUCUAACAUACUUCCUAUGAAUAGGCAUCUUAUAGGCAAACAAAUUAUCAUGGCAAGCAAAAACUAGCAUAUGCAUGGAAGAGGAAAGAAACAAUAGUAAUCUCAACAUAACGAGAGGUAAUUUAGUAACAUGAAAAUUUUUACCACCAUAUUUUCCUCUCUUGUAAUAAUUACAUGUAGGAUCAUAAGAAAAUUCAACAAAAUAGCUAUCACAUAAAAUAUUUUCGACACGAUCCACAUGCAUGCAAAGUUGACACUCUUCCAAAAUAAUGGGAUUAACAUUAACUAAAGUCAUGACCAUUCCAAACCCACUUUUAUCAAAAAUUUCAUAAGAUUGAACAUUCUCCAAAUAUGUGGGAUCUAAAGUUGACACUAUUCCAAACCCACUUUCAAUAAUAUUGCAAACAUUAUUAUCAAUCUCAUAUUCAUCAUGGGGCUUAAAUAAAUUUUCAAUAUCAUAAGAAGAAUCACCCCAAUCAUGAUCAUUGCAACAAGUAGAGGACAUAGCAAAACUAGUAUCCCCAAGCUUAGGGUUUUGCAUAUUAUUAGCACAAUUUACAUAAAUAGAAUUUAUAAUAAAAUCAUUGCAAUCAUGCUUUUUAUUCAAAGAUCUAUCGUGAAUCGCUUCAUAAAAUAAUUCAUCACACUUUUCAGAUUCAUGAAUUUCAAGCAAAACCUCAUAAAGAUAAUCUAGUGCACAAAACUCACUAGCAAUUGGUUCAUCAUAAUUGGAUCUCUUAAAAAUAUUAGCAAGCGGGUGAGGAUCCAUAGAUCUUAGGUUCUCUAUUUAGUAAUAAAUAAGCAAGUAUUCCAACCAUACGAGCAAACAAGAAACGGGUAAAAAGAGGCAAAUAGAGAAAGAGAGGGAGGAUAGAGAGAGAGAGGGCGAAUAAAACGGGAAGGGUGAAGUGGGGAGAGGAAAACGCGAGGCAAAUGGAAAAUAAUGUAACGCGGGAGACAGGGGUUUGUGAUGGGUACUUGGUAUGUUUGACUUUUGCAUAGACCUCCCCGGCAACGACGCCAGAAAUGCUUCUUGCUACCUCUUGAGCACUGCGUUGGUUUUCCCUUGAAGAGGAAAGGGUGAUGCAGCAAAGUAGCGUAAGUAUUUUCCUCAGUUUUUGAGAACCAAGGUAUCAAUCCAGUAGGAGGCUACACGCGAGUCCCUCGCACCUGCACAAAACAAAUAAAUCCUUGCAACCAACGUGAUAAGGGGUUGCCAAUCCCUACAUGGUCACUUACGAGAGUGAGAUCUGAUAGAUAUGAUAAGAUAAUAUUUUUGUAUUUUAUGAUAAAGAUGCAAAGUAAAAUAAAAGGCAAUGAAAAUAACUAAGUGUUGGAAGAUUAAUAUGAUGAAGAUAGACCCGGGGGCCAUAGGUUUCACUAGUGGCUUCUCUCAAGAGCAUAAGUAUUUUACGGUGGGUGAACAAAUUACUGUUGAGCAAUUGACAGAAUUGAGCAUAGUUACGAGAAUAUCCAGGUAUGAUCAUGUAUAUAGGCAUCACGUCCGAGACAAGUAGACCGACUCCUGCCUGCAUCUACUACUAUUACUCCACACAUCGACCGCUAUCCAGCAUGCAUCUAGAGUAUUAAGUUCAUAAGAACAGAGUAACGCCUUAAGCAAGAUGACAUGAUGUAGAUGGAUAAAUUCAUGCAAUAUGAUAAAAAACCCAUCUUGUUAUCCUCGAUGAAAAAAUAUAAUACGUGCCUUGCUUCCCCUACUGUCACUGGGAAAGGACACCGCAAGAUUGAACCCAAAGCUAAGCACUUCUCCCAUUGCAAGAAAGAUCAAUCUAGUAGGCCAAACCAAACUGAUAAUUCGAAGAGACUUGUAAAGAUAACCAAUCAUACAUAAAAGAAUUCAGAGAAGAUUCAAAUAUUGUUCAUAGAUAAACUUGAUCAUAAACCCAAAAUUCAUCGGUCUAAACAAACACACUGCAAAAGAAGAUUACAUCAAAUAGAUCUCCACAAGAGAGGGGGAGAACUUUGUAUUGAGAUCCAAAAAGAGAGAAGAAUCCAUCUAGCUAAUAACUAUGGACCCGUAGGUCUGAGGUAAACUACUCACACUUCAUCGGAAGGGCUAUGGUGUUGAUGUAGAAGCCCUCCGUGAUCGAUGCCCCCUCCGGCGGAGCUCUGGAAUAGGCCCCAAGAUGGGUUCUCGUGGAUACAAACAGUUAUGGCGGUGGAAUUAGGUUUUGACUCCAUAUCUGAUCGUUUGGGGGUACGUAGGUAUAUAUAGGAGGAAGAAGUACGUCGGUGGAGCAACAGGGGGCCCACGAGGGUGGAGGGCGCGCCAGGGGGGUAGGCACGCCCCCCUACCUCAUGGCCUCCCUGUUGGUAACUUGACGUAGGGUCCAAGUCUCCUGGAUCUUGUUCGUUUCAAAAAUCACGUUCCUGAAGGUUUCAUUCCGUUUGGACUCCAUUUGAUAUUCCUUUUCUUCGAAACCCUAAAAUAGGCAAAAAACAACAAUUCUGGGCUGGGCCUCCCGUUAAUAGGUUAGUCCCAAAAAUAAUAUAAAAGUGUAUAAUAAAGCCCAAUAAUGUCCAAAACAGUAGAUAAUAUAGAAUGGAGCAAUCAAAAAUUAUAGAUAUGUUGGAGACGUAUCAAUGGGCUUUGGUGGAUCCAUCGUGGCAGUGACGAAACAGACACGAUGACGAUGUUCGGAACAGAGAAGAUGGGGUUUUGGCAAGAAAAUAGUAGGAUCCGACGCCAUGAGUUCUGUUCAUCGCACGUCAUGAUAUACUAAUAGCUGGCUCAACCAACGUGCACCAGCGGCAUGUACUUGAGCCAGCACGAGGUAUAUGCACUGCUCUAGCUAACCACAUAUAUUAUUUGUCUCUGUCCUCCUAACUGUCAGCGAUUAGCACCACCAACUCAAAGAGGGCAAAAUUAUCACCAUUAGCGGUACCGCAACUUCCAGUCACGUGCACAAGUGGUAGGUACAUGCAAUGGAUGUUGUGGUGCCGCGUUCUCUCCUAUGGUAGUUGGGACAUGUACAACAUCUAAAAGGGAAAUUGGGACGUUGAUAAAGAGACACAUCUUAAAUUCGCAAUAUUAUGAUGAUAACAUUAAAAAAUAUAGUCUCAUCGAGUAUACUAAAAAAUGUACUAAAGCAAAGACAUUAAUACGGAUCGAAGAGAGCACAGUGAGUUGCCUCUUAAUCGAAUCUCUUGUAACUAGAUAUAAAUAUACGGCGAAAGAUAUUGUUGCUAAAAGACCAUCUCUUGAUUAAUUCUCUCCUCCACCCCAACAUUUAUUAUUGUGACAUUUCUAAGAUAAUACAUAUCAUUGUACACCCCCUUAGGUCAUAUCCGAGGAGAAAUCUCAAAUGGCACCCUCAAAUGUCCCGAAAACGUCCGGUCAUGUCUCCGGACAGUCGGUCAGACGCUGACCAAAUAAGGCUAUAUCUGAAAACUGUCGUACUUAUCUGUCCCUUCCCCUUCAUUUCUUUUUGUUUACUAAAUCAAUUUCUUCGAUGUUCAACAUUCAAUAGCAAUUUGACGACGCAUAUAACACUUGCAAACAAAAACAAGCAAAACGAAAGCACCGGAUGCCCAACAAAAAUAGCAAUUACUCGAAAGAAAAUCACAACCGGACAAGCGUUAGCGACUCGAUGAACAUGUAGUCCUUGUUGAGGUCGACAGUGAUGUACGGUGGAGGAUGGCCGGAGGUGAAGGAGGCAACAGAGUGUUGUCGUGAUUGUUGCACGCCAGGUUCACUGUACUUCUGGGCAGCAAAGUAGUAUGACACUUUGUACUAGGCGGGCCAUGGUGGCAAUUGCCCCAGCUAGACCGACAAGGCGGUACAUUAUGGAGGAGGAGCUCCGUCCUGAACGGCUGCAUGCAUCUUCUUCUUCACCCUUCGCUUUAUGCAGCUCUCUUGUCGUUUGGUAGUCUCCGGAUUCACCGGCGCGCCGCGCGUGGCGGACGUGCACUGGGUCCGAAGGGGCGAUGAACCUUGUGAUGGGCUUUGGUGGAUCCAUCGUGGCACUGACGAAACAGGCAAGAUGACGAUGUUCGGAACGGAGAAGAUGAGGUUUUGGCGAGAAAAUAGUAGGAUCCGACACCAUGAGUUCUGUUCAUGUCACGUCAUGAUAUACUAAUAGCUGGCUCAACCAACGUGCACCAGCGACAUCUACUUGAGCCAGCACGAGGUAUAUGCACUGCUCUAGCUAACCUCAGAUAUUAUUUGUCUCUGUCCUCCUAACUGUCAGCGAUUAGCACCACCAGCUCAAAGAGGGAAAAAUUAUCACCAUUAGAGGUACCAAAGUAAUCCAGGAGUAGAUCACUAGACAGCGGUCAAGAACAUCCUGAAAUACCUGAAAAGGACUAAGGAUAUGUUUCUCGUAUAUGAAGGUGACAAAGAGCUCAUCGUAAACGGUUAUGUUGAUGCAAGCUUUGACACUGAUUCGGAUGAUUCUAAAUUGCAAACCGGAUACGUGUUUACAUUGAACAGUGGAGCUGUCAGUUGGUGCAGUUCUAAACAAAGCAUUGUGGCGGGAUCUACAUGUGAAGCGGAGUACAUAGCUGCUUCGGAAGCAGCAAAUGAAGGAGUCUGGAUGAAGGAGUUCAUAUCUGAUCUAGGUGUCAUACCUAGUGCAUCGGGUCCAAUGGAAAUCUUUUGUGACAAUACUGGUGCAAUUGCCUUGGCAAAGGAAUCCAGAUUUCACAAAAGAACCAAGCACACAUCAAGAGAUGCUUCAAUUCCAUCCAGGAUUUAGUCCAGGUGGGAGACAUAGAAAUUUGCAAGAUACAUACGGAUCUGAAUGUUGCAGACCCAUUGACUAAGCCUCUUCCAUGAGCAAAACAUGAUCAGCACCAAGGCUCCAUGGGUGUUAGAAUCAUUACUGUGUAAUCUAGAUUAUUGACUCUAGUGCAAGUGGGAGACUGAAGGAAACAUGAUCAGCACCAAGGCUCCAUCUCUUGCCUGUCUAUGUUUGAUUGUAGAUAGAUGGCCCGUGCUGUUGUUUCGUUGAAUUUUAAUACAUUCCUUGAGAAAGCAAAGUUGAAAGAUGAUGGUAGCAAUUACACGGACUGGGUCCGUAACUCGAGGAUUAUCCUCAUUGUUGCCCAGAAGAAUUACGUCCUGGAAGCACCGCUGAGUGCCAGGCCUGCUGCUGAUGCAACUGGCGACGUUAAGAACGUCUAGCAGAGCAAAGCUGAUGACUACUCGAUAGUUCAAUGUGCCAUGCUUUACGACUUAGAACUGGGACUUCAACGAUGUUUUGAACGUCAUGGAGCAUAUGAGAUGUUCCAGGAGUUGAAGUUAAUAUUUCAAAAGAAUGCCCAGAUUGAGAGAUAUGAAGUCUCCAAUAAGUUCUAUAGCUGCAAGAUGGAGGAGAAUAGUUCUGUCAGUGAGCAUAUACUCAAGAUGUCUGCGUACUACAAUCACUUGAUUCAACUGGGAGUUAAUCUUCCGGAUGAUAGCGUCAUUAACAGAAUUCUCCAAUUACUUCCACCAAGUUACAAGAGCUUCGUGAUGAACUAUAAUAUGCAAGGGAUGGAUAAGACAAUUCUCGAGCUCUUCGCAAUGCUAAAGGUUGCGGAGGUAGAAAUCAAGAAGGGGCAUCAAGUGUUGAUGGUCAAUAAGACCACCAGUUUCAAGAAAAAGUGCAAAGGGAAGAAGAAGGGGAACUUCAAGAAGAACAGCAAGCAAGUUGCUGCUCAGGAGAAGAAACCCAAGUCUGGGACUGAGUGCUUCUACUGCAAGCAGACUGGUCACUAGAAGUGUAACUGCCCCAAGUAUUUGGCGGAUAAGAAGGAUGGCAAAGUGAACAAAGGUAUAUGUGAUAUACAUGUUAUUGAUGUGUACCUUACUAGAGCUCGCAGUAGCACUUGGGUAUUUGAUACUGGUUCUGUUGCUAAUAUUUCCAACUCGAAACUGGGACUACGGAUUAAGCGAACACUGGCAAAGGACGAGGUGACGAUGCGCGUGGGAAAUGGUUCCAAAGUCGAUGUAAUCGCAGUCGGCACGCUACCUCUACAUCUACCAUCGGGAUUAGUAUUAGACCUAAAUAAUUGUUAUUUGGUGCCAACGUUGAUCAUGAACAUUAUAUCUGGAUCUUGUUUAAUGCGAGAUGGUUAUUCAUUUAAAUCAGAGAAUAAUGGUUGUUCUAUUUAUAUGAGUAAUAUCUUUUACGGUCAUGCACCCUUGAAGAGUGGUCUAUUUUUGAUGAAUCUCGAUAGUAGUGAUACACAUAUUCAUAAUGUUGAAGCUAAAAGAUGCAGAGUUGAUAAUGAUAGUGCAACUUAUUUGUGGCACUGCCGUUUAGGUCAUAUCGGUGUAAAGCGCAUGAAGAUACUCCAUACUGAUGGACUUUUGGAACCACUUGAUUAUGAAUCACUUGGUACUUGCGAACCGUGCCUCAUGGGCAAGAUGACUAAAACGCCGUUCUCCGGAACUAUGGAGAGAGCAACAGAUUUGUUGGAAAUCAUACAUACAAAUGUAUGUGGUCCGAUGAAUGUUGAGGCUCGUGGCGGAUAUCGUUAUUUUCUCACCUUCACAGAUGAUUUAAGCAGAUAUGGGUAUAUCUACUUAAUGAAACAUAAGUCUGAAACAUUUGAAAAGUUCAAAGAAUUUCAGAGUGAAGUUGAAAAUCAUCGUAACAAGAAAAUAAAGUUUCUACGAUCUGAUCGUGGAGGAGAAUAUUUGAGUUACGAGUUUGGUCUACAUUUGAAACAAUGCGGAAUAGUUUUGCAACUCACGCCACCCGGAACACCACAGCGUAAUGGUGUGUCCGAGCGUCGUAAUCGUACUUUACUAGAUAUGGUGCGAUCUAUGAUGUCUCUUACAGAUUUACCGCUAUCAUUUUGGGGUCAUGCUUUAGAGACGGCCGCAUUCACGUUAAAUAGGGCACCAUCAAAAUCCGUUGAGAUGACGCCUUAUGAACUGAGGUUUGGCAAGAAACCAAAGUUGUCGUUUCUGAAAGUUUGGGGCUACGAUGCUUAUGUGAAAAAGCUUCAACCUGAUAAGCUCGAACCCAAAUCAGAGAAAUGUGUCUUCAUAGGAUACCCAAAGGAAACUGUUGGGUACACCCUCUAUCACAGAUCCAAAGGCAAGAUAUUCGUUGCUAAGAAUGGAUCCUUUCUACAUAAGGAGUUUCUCUCGAAAGAAGUGAGUGGGAGGAAAGUGGAACUUGAUGAGGUAACAGUACCUGCUCCUCUAUUGGAAAUAGUUCAUCACAGAAAUCGGUUUCUGUGACGCCUACACCAAUUAGUGAGGAAGUUAAUGAUGAUGAUCAUGGAACUUCAGAUCAAGUUACUACUGAACCUCGUAGAUCAACCAGAGUAAGAUCCGCACCAGAGUGGUACGGUAAUCCUGUUCUGGAAGUCAUGCUACUAGAUCAUGAUGAACCUACGAACUAUGAAGAAGCGAUGGUGAGCCCAGAUUCCGCAAAAUGGCUUGAGGCCAUGAAAUCUGAGAUGUCAUCCAUGUAUGAGAACAAAGUGUGGACUUUGGUUGACUUGCCCGAUGAUCGGCAAGCAAUUGAGAAUAAAUGGAUCUUCAAGAAGAAGACUGACGCUGACGGUAAUGUUACUGUCUACAAAGCUUGACUUGUUGCGAAAGGUUUUCGACAAGUUCAAGGGAUUGACUACAAUGAGACUUUCUCACCCGUAGCGAUGCUUAAGUCUGUCUGAAUCAUGUUAGCAAUUGCCGCAUUUUAUGAUUAUGAAAUUGGGCAAAUGGAUGUCAAAACUGCAUUCCUGAAUGGAUUUCUGGAAGAAGAGUUGUAUAUGAUGCAGCCGGAAGGUUUUGUCGAUCCAAAGGGAGCUAACAAAGUGUGCAAGCUCCAGCGAUCCAUUUAUGGACUGGUGCAAGCCUCUCGGAGUUGGAAUAAACACUUUGAUAGUGUGAUCAAAGCAUUUGGUUUUGUAUAGACUUUUGGAGAAGCCUGUAUUUACAAAAAAGUGAGUGGGAGCUCUGUAGCAUUUCUAAUAUUAUAUGUGGAUGACAUAUUGUUGAUUGGAAAUGAUAUAUAAUUUCUGGAUAGCAUAAAGGGAUACUUGAAUAAGAGUUUUUCAAUGAAAGACCUUGGUGAAGCUGCUUAUAUAUUGGGCAUCAAGAUCUAUAGAGAUAGAUCAAGACGCUUAAUUGGACUUUCACAAAGCACAUACCUUGACAAAGUUUUGAAGAAGUUCAAAAUGGAUCAAGCAAAGAAAGGGUUCUUGCCUGUGUUACAAGGUGUGAAGUUGAGUAAGACUCAAUGCCCGACCACUGCAGAAGAUAGAGAGAAAAUGAAAGAUGUUCGCUAUGCUUCAGGCAUAGGCUCUAUCAUGUAUGCAAUGGUGUGUACCAGACCUGAUGUGUGCCUUGCUAUAAGUCUAGCAGGGAGGUACCAAAGUAAUCCAGGAGUGGAUCACCGGACAGCGGUCAAGAACAUCCUGAAAUACCUGAAAAGGACUAAGGAUAUGUUUCUCGUAUAUGGAGGUGACAAAGAGCUCAUCGUAAAUGGUUACGUUGAUGCAAGCUUUGACACUGAUCCGGACGAUUCUAAAUCGCAAACCGGAUACGUGUUUACAUUGAACGGUGGAGCUGUCAGUUGGUGCAGUUCUAAACAAAGCGUUGUGGCGGGAUCUACAUGUGAAGCGGAGUACAUAGCUGCUUCGGAAGCAGCAAAUGAAGGAGUCUGGAUGAAGGAGUUCAUAUCCGAUCUAGGUGUCAUACCUAGUGCAUCGGGUCCAAUGAAAAUCUUUUGUGACAAUACUGGUGCAAUUGCCUUGGCAAAGGAAUCCAGAUUUCACAAGAGAACCAAGCACAUCAAGAGACGCUUCAAUUCUAUCUGGGAUUUAGUCCAAGUGGGAGACAUAGAAAUUUGCAAGAUACAUACGGAUCUGAAUGUUGCAGACCCAUUGACUAAGCCUCUUCCACGAGCAAAACAUGAUCAACACCAAGGCUCCAUGGGUGUUAGAAUCAUUACUGUGUAAUCUAGAUUAUUGACUCUAGUGCAAGUGGGAGACUGAAGGAAAUAUGCCCUAGAGGCAAUAAUAAAGUUAUUAUUUAUUUCCUUAUAUCAUGAUAAAUGUUCAUUAUUCAUGCUAGAAUUGUAUUAACCGGAAACAUAAUACAUGUGUGAAUACAUAGACAAAUAGAUUGUCACUAGUAUGCCUCUACUUGACUAGCUCGUUGAUCAAAGAUGGUUAUGUUUCCCAACCAUAGACAUGAGUUGUCAUUUGAUUAACGGGGUCACAUCAUCAGGAGAAUGAUGUGAUUGACAUGCCACAUUCCGUUAGCUUAGCACCCGAUCGUUUAGUAUGUUGCUAUUUCUUUCUUCAUGACUUAUACAUGUUCCUAUGACUAUGAGAUUAUGCAACUCCCGUUUACCGGAGGAACACUUUGUGUGCUACCAAACAUCACAACAUAACUGGGUGAUUAUAAAGGUGCUCUACAGGUGUCUCCAAAGGUACUUGUUGGAUUGGCGUAUUUCGAGAUUAGGAUUUGUCACUCCGAUUGUCGGAGAGGUAUCUCUGGGCCCUCUCGGUAAUGCACAUCACUUAAGCCUUGCAAGAUUGCAACUAAUAAGUUAGUUGCAGGAUGAUGUAUUACAGAACGAGUAAAUAGACUUGCCGGUAACGAGAUUGAACUAGGUAUUGAGAUACCGAUGAUCGAAUCUCGGGCAAGUAACAUACCGAUGACAAAGGGAACAACGUAUGUUGUUAUGCGGUUUGACCGAUAAAGAUCUUCGUAGAAUAUGUAGGAGCCAAUAUGAGCAUCCAGGUUCCGCUAUUGGCUACUGACCGGAGACGUGUCUCGGUCAUGUCUACAUAGUUCUCGAACCCGUAGGGUCCGCACGCUUAACGUUACGAUGACAGUUAUACUAUGAGUUUAUAUGUUUUGAUGUACCGAAGGUUGUUCAGAGUCCCGGAUGUGAUCACGAACAUGACGAGGAGUCUCAAAAUGGUUGAUACAUGAAGAUUGAUAUAUUGUAAGCCUAUGUUUGUAUAUCAGAGGUGUUUCGGGUGAAAUCGGGAUUUUACCGGAGUACCGGGAGGUUACCGGAACCCCCCGGGAGGUAAAUGGGCCUUAGUGGGCCUUUACGGAGAAGAGGAGAGGCGGCCAGGUGUAGGAUCGAAAGUAUGUCUAGAGGGGGGUGAUUAGACUACUUGACCAAAUAAAAACUUAACCUUUUCCCAAUUUUAGUUCUUGGCAGAUUUUAGCUAUUUUAGGACAAGUCAAGCAAUCAUCACACAAUUCAAGCAAGCAUGCAAAGAGUAUAUUGGCAGCGGAAAGUAAAGCAUGCAACUUGCAAGAAUGUAAAGGGAAGGGUUUGGAGAAUUCAAACGCAAUUGGAGACACGGAUGUUUUUCCCGUGGUUCGGAUAGGUGGUGCUAUCCUACAUCCACGUUGAUGGAGACUUCAACCCACAAAGGGUAACGGUUGCGAGAGUCCACACAGGGCUCCACCCACAAAGGGUAACGGUUGCGUGAGUCCACAUAGGGCUCCACCCAUUAAGGGUCCACGAAGAAGCAACCACCCACAAAGGGUCCAGGAAGAAGCAACCUUGUCUAUCCCACCAUGGCCAUCGCCCACACAGGACUUGCCUCACUAGCGGUAGAUCUUCACGAAGUAGGUGAUCUCCUUGCCCUUACAAACUCCUUGGUUCAACUCCACAAUCUUGUCGGAGGCUCCCAAGUGACACCUAGCCAAUCUAGGAGACACCACUCUCCAAGAAGUAACAAAUGGUGUGUAGGUAAUGAACUCCUUGCUCUUGUGCUUCAAAUGAUAGUCUCCCCAACACUCAACUCUCUCUCAUAGGAUUUGGAUUUUGUGGAAAGAAGAUUUGAGUGGAAAGCAACUUGGAGAGGCUAGAGAUCAAGAUUCAUAUGGUAGGAAUGGAAUAUCUUGGUCUCAACACAUGAGUAGGUGGUUCUCUCUUAGAACAUAUGAGUUGGAAUGGUGUAUGCGUUCUGAUGGCUCUCUCUUCGAAUGAAGAGGAGGUGGAGGGGUAUAUAUAGCCUCCACACAAAAUCCAACUGUUGCACACAGUUUUCCAAUCUCGGUGGGACCGAAUCAACAAACUCGGUCGGACCGAAAAUGUAAACCUAGUGACCGUUAGAGAUUUUCGGUGGGACUGACAUGCAACUCGGUAGGACCGAUAUGGUUAGGGUUUGGGCAUAACGUAAUCUCGGUGAGACCGAUUACACAAACUCGGUGAGACCGAAUUUGGUAAUUAGCUAACCAGAGAGUUGGUCAGGCAAACUCGGUGGGACCGAUUUGCUCUUUCGGUGAGACCGAAAAGUUACAAAGGGGAAACACUGAAUUUACAUUGCAAUCUCGGUGGGACCGAUUCGCUCUUUCGGUGAGACCGAAAAGUUACGAAAGGGAAACAGAGAGUUUGCAAUCCCAUCUCGGUGAGACCGAGAUCCCUAUCGGUAGAACCGAAUUGCUAGGGUUUGGUAGUGGCUUAUGACAAGUGAAACUCGGUGGCGCCGGAUAGGAAGAAUCGGUAGGACCGAGUUUGGCUUAGGGUUUAGGUCAUAUGUGGAUAUGGGAAAGUAGUUGAGGGUUCUGGAGCAUAUCACUAAGCACAUGAAGCAAGAGGCUCAUUAAGCAACACCUCAUCCCUCCUUGAUAGUAUUGGCUUUUCCUAAAGACUCAAUGUGAUCUUGGAUCACUAAAAUAUAAAAUGAAGAGUCUUGAGCUUUUGAGCUUGAGCCAAUCCUUUGUCCUUAGCAUUUUGAGGGUUCCACUUUCACAUCCAUGCCAUGCCAAUCAUUGAGCUUUCUUGAAAUAAUCAUCUUGGAAUAGCAUUAGCUCAAUGAGCUAUAUGUUGUUAUGAAUUACCAAAACCACCUAGGGAUAGUUGCACUUUCAAUCUCCCCCUUUUUGGUAAUUGAUGACAACAUAUAGAUCAAAGCUUCGACAAAUGAUAAUAAGCAUGAAAUAUAUCGUCGCUUUGAGAAGUAUGUGAUAAGUAAGAGCUCCCCCUAAAUUUGUGCAUAUUUAAAAUUUGCUUUGGACUGCAAAUGCACAAGGAGUUAGAGCCAUGGGUUACUCUUCCAUGUCACAUACAUCUUGGUGGAGCGCUUAAAAUGAUAAGAAUGAAAUACAUGCACUCAUCACCAAGAAUAGUGAAUGAUCACAUAAGAUAGAUAAGAUAAUAACAUUAAUCAAACAUUAAGUGUAGCUUAUGAUCAAACACCUGAUCAUCAAUGUCUCACGAGCAUAGUAUCUCAAGCACUCAAACGCAAACAAGUUCGAAAAAAAACACCAAAUAAAGCAAGAGAGAAAAGCAACACUCUCUCUCUCGAAGCCUAUGAUCUAUACAUUUUUCUCCCCCUUUGGCAACAAUUUACCAAAAAGUUCCUAGAAAAUGCAUAGUGCUAGAUCGACGCUCAGGCUUCAUCUUCAGGUGGUGGUGGAGUCCGGAUCACUCCAAGGACGAAGGCUUUUGUAGAUGCUGAAGUAGACGCUGGAGUUGGAGCUGAAGUAGAUGCUGGAGCAGGUUGGGCUGGUGCUACGGCUGGAGCUGAGGCAGUUGCUCUUGUGUCAGGAACUGGCACUGCAGACGACCUCGGACCUCGUGGCACUCUGGCAAAGGCAUCAGUGGUUAUCUUCCCUUUCCUCUCCUGCGUAUCGUCUUGAAGCUGCUCCACUGCAGUCUGAAUUUCUAUCACCUUGACAUCCAAGUCAUAGAACUUUUGUUCCAUGAUUCUCUCUAGGCUUGCCUGGUUUUGAGUUAGGGUGGCUAGUCCUUUCUCAAUCCGUAGGGUGGAUGCAAUCAGGUAACCAAGCUGCUCUUGUUUGGUUUUCAAGAAAUACUCAGAUGCCUCCUCUUGAGUUGGCAUCUUGGCAGCUUUCUCCUUCCUUGCCUUCUCCUUCUUUACUUGUGCUUGAACUGAUGAUGGCUCAUUCUCAGUCAUUACAACUUGAUUGUCCUCAAAAUCUGGACGGAUGGGCAGGUGUUCCUUGUCCAAUAAAUAUAUGCCUGUGCCCAUCUUAGAGUUGAUGAGCUCCUGAAUUUGAGGGGCAUAACCACAACUCCUCUUCUGAUCUGCUGCAGUCCUCUUGAUAGUCUCUACUAUGAGGCUCAUGACCUUGAAUUUCUGUGGCACAUCAAAUACAUGUAGCAAGUUGAUUGCAUGGCCUCUGAUCAUCUUGUGAUCUCCAGACUUGGGCAAUAAGGUGUGCCUCAAUAUCCAAUUGAUGGUUGGCAGCCCUGACAGAAGAUAAUGCACUGAGCCAAAUUUGAAAGUGUCAAGAGCUUCAUUGGGAAUUUCCUUGUACAUGUUGGACAUUGAGUUAUGAUCCAUUUUCUUCUUGGCAUAGAUAUCCAAGUCAUCUGCUUGCUCCUCUGGGGCAUUGAUCAACUUUGCCCAUUCCUCAACAGUUGAUUGGUACCUCGUACCCUCAGACAUCCAUGUGAUCCUCCCAUCUGGAUAAAAGUGUGCCGUGGAGUAGAAUUUCAUGAUGAGCUCCUCGUUCCACUUUGUGAGCUUCUGCCCAACAAAGUCAGCAACUCCACAAGCACUAAAGCUGUCAUACACUCUAGGGUAGUGUUCCUCAUUUUCCUUUAUGUAGUCCCAAUCGACCCAUCUCAUGUCACAGACUAUUGGCUUCUUGUCUAGCAGCACUGUCUCAUAAAAAUCUUGCUGCUCCUUGGUGUGAAACCUGUAAUCCACAGCAGUCCUUCUCCUUGAAGCAUACGGAUCUGCUUCUCUCCACUUCCUCAGCCCUGAGUCUCUCCUGAGCUUCAUAUCCUCAGCCACAGGAUGAGCGUCGUUAUGGUCUGGGAUCUUGGGCUUGAGCUUUCUCAGAAUUUGCUCUUCAUCCUCUUCUUCAGCAACAGUCUCAGGCACUGGGGCCUUGUUCUUCUCAGCUACAGGAAUGCUCCUUGUAUUCCUCUUUGGUGCAGACUUGGGCUUGGAGGCAGCUUUGGGUGCUUCUUUGGGCUUAGAUGCAGCAGCCCCUGUCCUGAUAGCAUCACCCAUAAGCUUAGGUGCUUUAGGUGCUGGUGCAGCAACCUCUUCUUCCUCUUCCUCUUCCAUAAUGGAAGCCUUCCCAAGCACUCUGGCUACGGUCUUCUUGACCCUUUCCUUCCUCUUCUUGCCUUCUGCAGCAACUGGCUCUUUGGGUCCAGGCUUUUCAGUUGAAGCUCUAGCCUUUGACAUAGGCUGCCUGCCUGCUGGCCUUUUGAUCUUUAGACCUAGCUUUGUGCCUUGAGCUGGCUCAACUCUCUUUGAUGUGGCCUCUUCUUCUGCCACAUAAUCUUCAUCUUCAGAAUCAGAAGUUCUCUUCUUCCUUUGUCUAGUGGCAGCUUUUGGCAGAUUGCUUGGGGUACUUCUGCUGCCAUCAUCUGAAGAGCUGGAGGGGCUAGUGCCCUCACUCAUCUGCACUUGCUCUUCUGACAUGUUUUGGCUAUCACUUUGAUCAGACAUGCUGUAAACUCUGACUGCUGACCCUGUGAAUAGUUUAUAGAUGAGGUAGAAUGGAUGAGUAUCACAAAAUGCAGAGAUUUUUGCAAAAGAAUGAUCCAAAAACUUAGUUUUAGUUUCCCACUGAAAUCAUCUCGGAUCUACCGAUUUUCAAACUCGGUGAUACCGAAGCAGUUGUGGAACCUAAACUAGUGAACUCGGUUGGACCGAGUCACAGUUCGGUGACACCGAGACUGCUAGGGUUUCACAAAAUUCCAAAAUCGGUCACACCGAUAAGUAAUUCUCGGUCAGACCGAGUCUCACUUGUGCAAUGGCAUAAGCCAAAUCGGUGGGACCGAGUUUUUCAACUCGGUGGGUCCGAGAUGGUUUCGGCGGAAACCUAACCCUAAAAUUUUCGAAUCAAACCUAAUCUACGAGCGUAUUGACUGGAUAGGAGUGUUUCAAUCGUGGCAAGAAUCAUGAUGAUCACAAUGUGCUAAGAAUCGGAUUGGGGAAUAGCACAAAGAUCGAGUCCAUACCCUAGUUCGGCGAAGACUCGCUACGGCGGCAACGGCGGGGCAGAAUUCCCGUUGACGGCGACGGAGACCAGCGACUGGAGGCGGCUGGCGGCGAGGAGACGAUCCGGAGACCACGUUGGCAGAGCAGGCUAUCGCGCGGGCAAAGGAGUUCGGAGAAAUUUCCAAAUUUUGCCCGUGACUAUAUAUAGCCCGACCCUGUCGGUGUGACCGAGUGGAACAACUCGGUGGCACCGAGAUUCAUAACUGCAAGCAGUUACUGAAACUCGGCGUGACCGAAAGGUUCAAAUCGGUUGCACCGAGAUCGAAAACCUAGAUCAACUUAGUGAUCUCGGUAGGACCGAAAGUGGGGUAUCGGUCAGAUCGAGAAUCAUAAAGAGGUUUUGGAAGUUUAAGUCUAUGACGAAUCGGGGACUCCGAGCGCUCCUCACACAGAGUGGUUCGAAUCUGACUUGAUCAAAUUUUGUGAUGCAGCAUGAAUAGAGUUUGAGACGAGAAAAGCAUAGAUAGCUAGAGGAGGUUCUUAGGCAUUCUUGUCCAUCCACUUGGCAAAAGAAAAUAAAACCAAACAAUCAAAACAACAAGUGGAUGUCCUCGAAUGAGUAAAAUAUGCAACCAGCAUGCUCACACAAUAAGAUGGCAAAUGAAAUAUGUGACAAGGCAUGCACAACCAAUUCUAGCAUCUAUCAAGCAAUUUGCGAUGACUAGGUCAUCUAUAUAUGAGUAUAUUGACUUAGGAGUCAAGUGAGAACACUUGAUCAUAGGUCAUACUCAUCGCUUAAGCUCAAGUGGGGUUACCACUUUUACAUAAAGCAUUGUUGUGUUCACAUCUUUAGAGUUGCUUUAGCUCAAGUCUUAGAGUAAAGCUCCCCCUAGAUGUGAUACCCCCCCUAAGAGGGAUGAACUAACCUUGGGUUUUGUCGAUGAUGACUUCAUGUAGAUGUUGAAGAUGUGGAUGCUCAAUGUUGAUGUAGAUCACUUGGAGCUAUCCAUUUGAGUGAAUUGCACUUUCAAUACCUACAUGGGUUAGUCCCACAAGGAACAAACAAGGAUAUCCAUAGACAUAGAGUGAUGCACACACAAGAUGAUGUCCAUGAAAACUUUUAGGUUACCUUGUCCCUUGUCUUACCAACAUGAGGGUUUGUGACUCCUUGAACUAGUGCAAGAUGUGGAAGUUGAUUGCACUUGUUCUUGCCAAAAUGAUAAGAGUGAAGUGUGUUGGCGGAGUCACCCUCAAGGACUCUCUAGUUCUUCUUCUUUUGGAUCCACAUCAUCUUGAUGGGAAUCCUUGGAGUUAUAGUCGUACUUGAUGAAGUGGAACUUGAAGUAGUCUUGGGAAUCCACUUGACUAAGGUCUUAGAAGCUUCUUCAAAUGCGUCAAUUUCCUCUUGAAGCUUGUCCUUGCCUUUUUGCUUGUAGUCUUGUGGUGGAAGAUCAUCUUGAGCUUGUGUCCCCUUGAAAGAAGUAUCAUACUUCUCUUGUUGAGGAACAAACUUUGUCUUGGGGUAUUGAUCUUCUUCCCACUCAACUCCAUUGGCAUUGAACUUUCGUUCAAAACCAACACCUUGAUUCUUCCAGUGCAUUCCUUGCUUGCGCACAAUUUCCUCUAAUUGCUUACUCCCAGCAAGGCUUUUGUACACUCAUUUCUCUAUAAUUCCCUUCAAUAAGCUAUUUUCUUGCUCAAGUGUAACUUGGCUAAGAGAAUCAUUAGUGGAAUCAAGAGAACUACUAGAAGCAACAAUAUUGGAUUUAGCAUGAUCAUUGUUACUACUAGAGGAAGAAUCUUUCUUGUUCUUGUUACUAGACUUGACUUGAGGCAUGUAAGUGGAUAAGAGUAAAUGCUUGGCAAUGUGAGAAGAACUUUUCUUGCGGAGAUCAUCAUUGAUUGCUUUUAAGAACUCAUGCUCUUGCUCAAGAUUGAGCUUUUCAAAGCGUAAUUUCUCAUGAGCUCUUAAAAGUUCUCGAUGAUCUUCGAAGAUAGUUUCAUGGGCUAACUUAAGAGUGUUUAGUUCUUUAGUUAGGGCCUCAAUCUUCUCCUUAUCAUUGUCAUUCGUUUUAUCUUGAUUAGCAUGUUUAAUUGACGUUUCAUCAUAGUAUUCAUCACUAGAGUUGUCAACAAGCAAAUCAUCACCUAACAAGUCAUCUUCAUCACUAUUGAAAUCAACAUACUCGGGGUGUGUUACCUUAGGACCUUUGGCCAUGAAGCAUCUUCCAAUUCCUUCAUUUGGUGAGUCAAAUAUGUCGUAGGAGUUGGUUGACACAAGUGCUAGACCAGCAACACCUUCAUCUUGAGUAUCUUCGGAGUCGGAGUGAUAACUUCUCUCAGAGUGGCUGUCGGAGUCGGAGCCGGAUACCCAUUCACCAACAUGAGCUUGAUGUCUUCGUCUUGUGUAGCUCCUUGAUGAUUUUUCCUUUCUUUCCGAAUCCUUGCUUCUCCGUGAGUAUCUUCGUUCAUAACGAUCAUCUCUACUCCUUCUCUCUCUUGGUGGUGAUUCUUUGCUUCUUCUUUUUGGAGAAUCUUCUCUUCUCUUGUAGGGAGCCGUACACUCAUUGGAAUAGUGUCCGGGUCUUCCACAACUGUAGUAGUUUCGCUCUCGACUAGAAGAUCUUUUGUCAUUGUAGGACCUUGACUUGAAGCUUCUAUCUUUGCUUCUACUCUUGUAGAACUUGUUGAAGUUCUUCACCAUUAAGCUCAAUUCUUCAUUGAAGUCCUGUUUCUCACUUGAUGAUGUAGGGGCUUCACAUGAGGCUUUAUAGGCACCACUUGAUUUGUUGUGAAGUUCCUCUUUAUCCUUAAGUGACAUCUCAUGAGCAACAAUUCUUCCAAUCACCUCCGUUGGCUUGAGAUCUUUGUAAUUGGGCAUCAUUUGGAUCAAUGUGCACACGCUAUCAUAUUUUCCAUCCAAGGCUCUUAGAAUCUUCUUGAUGAUGAAUCUAUCGGUCAUCUCUUCACUUCCUAAGCCGGCAAUCUCAUUUGUGAUGAGAGCAAGCCUAGAGUACAUUUCAGCGAUACAUUCACCAUCCUUCAUCUUGAACUUGUCAAGUUGGCUUUGAAGCACAUCCAACUUGGAUUCCUUGACGGAGUCGGUACCUUCGUGCAUAUCAAUCAAAGUGUCCCAAAUUUCCUUAGCAUUCUCAAGACGGCUGAUUUUGUUGAAUUCUUCGGGGCACAAUCCGUUGAAGAGAAUAUCACAAGCUCGAGCAUUGUAUUGCAACAUCUUCAACUCAUCCGCGGUAGCUUCACGGUUUGGUUCUUUCCCAUCAAAGAAGUCACCUUGCAAACCAACACACACAAUAGCCCAAACGGCGGGGUUAUGUCCAAGAAUAUGCAUUUUCAUUUUAUGCUUCCAACUAGCAAAAUUAGUACCAUCAAAGUAGGGACCUCUACGGUGAUAAUUUCCCUUGCUAGACGCCAUACUCUCCUAGGUUGUGAAACUAGGCUAAUGACCACCAAAAGCUAUGGAGAUCAAAGCAAAUGAAGACCAAAGCUCUGAUACCACUUGUAGGAUUGAAAGUAUGUCUAGAGGGGGGUGAUUAGACUACUUGACCAAAUAAAAACUUAACCUUUUCCCAAUUUUAGUUCUUGGCAGAUUUUAGCUAUUUUAGGACAAGUCAAGCAAUCAUCACACAAUUCAAGCAAGCAUGCAAAGAGUAUAUUGGCAGCGGAAAGUAAAGCAUGCAACUUGCAAGAAUGUAAAGGGAAGGGUUUGGAGAAUUCAAACGCAAUUGGAGACACGGAUGUUUUUCCCGUGGUUCAGAGAGGUGGUGCUAUCCUACAUCCACGUUGAUGGAGACUUCAACCCACAAAGGGUAACGGUUGCGAGAGUCCACACAGGGCUCCACCCACAAAGGGUAACGGUUGCGCGAGUCCACACAGGGCUCCACCCACGAAGGGUCCACGAAGAAGCAACCUUGUCUAUCCCACCAUGGCCAUCACCCACACAGGACUUGCCUCACUAGCGGUAGAUCUUCACGAAGUAGGCGAUCUCCUUGCCCUUACAAACUCCUUGGUUCAACUCCAUAAUCUUGUCGGAGGCUCCCAAGUGACACCUAGCCAAUCUAGGAGACACCACUCUCCAAGAAGUAACAAAUGGUGUGUAGGUAAUGAACUCCUUGCUCUUGUGCUUCAAAUGAUAGUCUCCCCAACACUCAACUCUCUCUCAUAGGAUUUGGAUUUUGUGAAAAGAAGAUUUGAGUGGAAAGCAACUUGGAGAGGCUAGAGAUCAAGAUUCAUAUGGUAGGAAUGGAAUAUCUUGGUCUCAACACAUGAGUAGGUGGUUCUCUCUCAGAACAUAUGAGUUGGAAUGGUGUAUGUGUUCUGAUGGCUCUCUCUUCGAAUGAAGAGGAGGUGGAGGGGUAUAUAUAGCCUCCACACAAAAUCCAACUGUUACACACAGUUUUCCAAUCUCGGUGGGACCGAAUCAACAAACUCGGUCGGACCGAAAAUGUAAACCUAGUGACCGUUAGAGAUUUUCGGUGGGACUGACAUGCAACUCGGUAGGACCGAUAUGGUUAGGGUUUGGGCAUAACGUAAUCUCGGUGAGACCGAUUACACAAACUCGGUGAGACCGGAUUUGGUAAUUAGCUAACCAGAGAGUUGGUCAGGCAAACUCGGUGGGACCAAUUUGCUCUUUCGGUGAGACCGAAAAGUUACAAAGGGGAAACACUGAAUUUACAUUGCAAUCUCGGUGGGACCGAUUCGCUCUUUCGGUGAGACCGAAAAGUUACGAAAGGGAAACAGAGAGUUUGCAAUCCCAUCUCGGUGAGACCGAGAUCCCUAUCGGUAGAACCGAAUUGCUAGGGUUUGGCAGUGGCUUAUGACAAGUGAAACUCGGUGGCGCCGGAUAGGAAGAAUCGGUAGGACCGAGUUUGGCUUAGGGUUUAGGUCAUAUGUGGAUAUGGGAAAGUAGUUGAGGGUUCUGGAGCAUAUCACUAAGCACAUGAAGCAAGAGGCUCAUUAAGCAACACCUCAUCCCUCCUUGAUAGUAUUGGCUUUUCCUAAAGACUCAAUGUGAUCUUGGAUCACUAAAAUAUAAAAUGAAGAGUCUUGAGCUUUUGAGCUUGAGCCAAUCCUUUGUCCUUAGCAUUUUGAGGGUUCCACUUUCACAUCCAUGCCAUGCCAAUCAUUGAGCUUUCCUGAAAUAAUCAUCUUGGAAUAGCAUUAGCUCAAUGAGCUAUAUGUUGUUAUGAAUUACCAAAACCACCUAGGGAUAGUUGCACUUUCAAUCUCCACGUCGUCGUGCUGACGAAACUCUCCCUCAACACUCGGCUGGAUCGGAGUUCGAGGGACGUCAUCGGACUGAACGUAUGCUGAACUCGGAGGUGCCGUACGUUCGGUACUUGAUCGGUCGGAUCGUGAAGACAUACGACUACAUCAACCGCGUUGUGCUAACGCUUCCGCUUUCGGUAUACGAGGGUACGUGAACAACACUCUCCCCUCUCGUUGCUGUGCAUCACCAUGAUCUUGCGUGUGCCUAGGAAUUUUUUUGAAAUUACUACGUUCCCCAACACCAGUCACGUGCACAGGUGGUAGGUACAUGCAAUGGAUGUUGUGGUGCCGCGUUAUCUCCUAUGGUAUUUGGGACAUGUACAACAUCUAAAAGGGAAACUGGGACGUUGAUAAAGAGACCCAUCUUAAAUUCGCAAUAUUAUGAUGAUAACAAUAAAAAAAUAUAGUCUCAUCUAGUAUACUAAAAAAUGUACUAAAGCAAAGACAAAUAAUAUGAAUCGAAGAGAGCACAGUGAGUUGCCUCUUAAUCGAAUCUCUUGUAACUAGAUAUAAAUAUACGGCGAAAGAUAUUGUUGCUAAAAGACCAUCUCUUGAUUAAUUCUCUCCUCCACCCCAACAUUUAUUAUUGUGACAUUUCUAAGAUAAUACAUAUCAUUGUACACUCCCUUAGGUCAUCUCCGAGGAUAAAUCUCAAAUGGCACCCUCAAAUGUCCCGAAAACAUCCGAUCAUGUCUCCGGACAGUCGGUCAGACGCUGACCAAAUAAGGCUAUAUCUGAAAACUCUCCUACUUAUCUGUCCCUUCCCCUUCAUUUCUUUUUGUUCAGUAAAUCAAUUUCUUCGAUGUUCAACAUUCAAUAGCAAUUUGACGACGCAUAUAACACUUGCAAACAAAAACAAGCGAAACGAAAGCACCGGAUGCCCAACAAAAAUAGCAAUUACUCGAAAGAAAAUCACAACCGGACAAGCGUUAGCGACUCGAUGAACAUGUAGUCCUUGUUGAGGUCGACAGUGAUGUACGGUGGAGGGUGGCCGGAGGUGAAGGAGGCAACAGAGUGUUGUCGUGAUUGUUGCAAGCCAGGUUCACCGUACUUCUGGGCAGCGAAGUAGUAUGACGCUUUAUACUAGGCGGGCCAUGGUGGCGAUUGCCCCAUCUAGACCGACAAGGCGGUCCGUUGUGGAGGAGGAGCUCCGGCCUGAACGGCUGCCUGCAUCUUCUUCUUCACCCUUCGCUUUAUGCAGCUCUCUUGUCGUUUGGUAGUCUCCGGAUUCACCGGUGCGGCGCGCGUGGCGGACGUGCUCCGGGUUUGAAGGGGCAAUGAACCUCGUGAUGGGCUUUGGUGGAUCCAUCAUGGCGGUGACGAAACAAACAGGAUGGCGAUGUUCGGAACGGAGAAGAUGGGGUUUUGGCGAGAAAAUAGUAGGAUCCGACGCCCCCCCCCCUCAAAAAACCUACUACAUUUACGGGAUUUCAAACGUCCGAACUGAUUCAAUCUGAUUUGGUAAGCCGCGUUGAAGCACUAAAAUUGACCGAUCCAUACUUUUGGGAUGGUUUGGGCGUCGGAGAUAUCAUGAACUCAGGCCAACUCUAUCGCAUGAUCUCGAACGAAUGUCCGUUUUAUCCGGAUUCUUUCUGUCUAGAACGACAAUGGAUGCAAAAACGGACACAUGUGUCCGGCUUUCGUUGGAGGCGCCCACCGCCACAGCCGACCCUAAAUUGUCCGCCCGCCACACCUCGUCCUCGCGCGCUCCGCCUCGCAAUGNNNNNNNNNNNNNNNNNNNNNNNNNNNNNNNNNNNNNNNNNNNNNNNNNNNNNNNNNNNNNNNNNNNNNNNNNNNNNNNNNNNNNNNNNNNNNNNNNNNNNNNNNNNNNNNNNNNNNNNNNNNNNNNNNNNNNNNNNNNNNNNNNNNNNNNNNNNNNNNNNNNNNNNNNNNNNNNNNNNNNNNNNNNNNNNNNNNNNNNNNNNNNNNNNNNNNNNNNNNNNNNNNNNNNNNNNNNNNNNNNNNNNNNNNNNNNNNNNNNNNNNNNNNNNNNNNNNNNNNNNNNNNNNNNNNNNNNNNNNNNNNNNNNNNNNNNNNNNNNNNNNNNNNNNNNNNNNNNNNNNNNNNNNNNNNNNNNNNNNNNNNNNNNNNNNNNNNNNNNNNNNNNNNNNNNNNNNNNNNNNNNNNNNNNNNNNNNNNNNNNNNNNNNNNNNNNNNNNNNNNNNNNNNNNNNNNNNNNNNNNNNNNNNNNNNNNNNNNNNNNNNNNNNNNNNNNNNNNNNNNNNNNNNNNNNNNNNNNNNNNNNNNNNNNNNNNNNNNNNNNNNNNNNNNNNNNNNNNNNNNNNNNNNNNNNNNNNNNNNNNNNNNNNNNNNNNNNNNNNNNNNNNNNNNNNNNNNNNNNNNNNNNNNNNNNNNNNNNNNNNNNNNNNNNNNNNNNNNNNNNNNNNNNNNNNNNNNNNNNNNNNNNNNNNNNNNNNNNNNNNNNNNNNNNNNNNNNNNNNNNNNNNNNNNNNNNNNNNNNNNNNNNNNNNNNNNNNNNNNNNNNNNNNNNNNNNNNNNNNNNNNNNNNNNNNNNNNNNNNNNNNNNNNNNNNNNNNNNNNNNNNNNNNNNNNNNNNNNNNNNNNNNNNNNNNNNNNNNNNNNNNNNNNNNNNNNNNNNNNNNNNNNNNNNNNNNNNNNNNNNNNNNNNNNNNCCGUCGCCCCGUCGUGGCCGCGUGGAGGUGGCCGCCGGCCGCAAAAGAAGAGAGAGGGAGAGAGAAAAAUGAGAGAGAGAAGGACAGGUGGGUUGGCAGCCGGGCCCAUCUGGUUCCAAUGACAGGUCGGCCGGGGGUCACAUGCAAAGGGACAGGGGUGGACGAGGACCACGCAGAAAACGUCCGGACGUGUCCGUUUUAGACCCUAACCCAGGGCAACUUUGCUCCGAGAAUGGGUCGAGGCGGACAAGAAACCGACAUUUUUUUAGGACAGGGUUAUGCGUUGGGACGUUUCGUAUGUUCGUUUUAUCUCAAACGGACAGCCCAAAUAAUUUGAGGUCGUGCGGUGGAGUUGGCCUCACGGUAGCCAGUAGCCAGGUCGCUGGACAAGUCUCGUCUGGAAGAGCGUGUGCUACUGCUGUGCUGGACCAAAACGAAAACCAGGAUGGGACGCGCGGACCACGCGGCGAAACGGUCAGGAUCCUCCCUCCGCCCCACUCCCUUUUAAGCCCCCCAUCCGCCCGUACUCGUCGGCGCCGUGCAGUUGAGUGCUCGCUGCUCCCUCCUCCCCCUCCGCGAAGAUUCUCCUUCGACCCCUGCCGAUCUCCAAGGCGACGUCGCCGUCGCCGUCGCCGCGCGCCAGAUCUCCUCCGCGCGCUCGCGGCGCGCCCUCGCCGCCUGCGCGAUCUGCCCGGUGAGUCCCCUUCCACCGCUGCCUGCUCCUAGAUCCGUGUCCUCGCCUGGAAUUCCGGUGGGGUUUCAGUUGCCGAGUGUACCAUUCCCGUGCGUGUUGUUCGCCGCGGCCAAGAAUUCGGUUGUGGUUUCACGUUGCGUGUAUUGGUUUGCCACUGCUGGACCUGGGGAUCGCGAUGAUGGGCGCCUGGUGAAAAUUGCAUUUGUCAGGGGUGGAUGUUCUUCUAUGCCUGCUGAUGGCUAUGGUGCCAGUUCAGUCAGUUCUCUACUGUUUUACUACUACUACUACUACUACUACUACUACUACUACUACUACUACUACUACUACAUAGCCUGCUGAUGGCUGUGGAGUUAAUAAUGUUUCCUCUAUUCUUCCUUCAUAGUUGGAGUAUAUCUGCUUUUAGUUUUAGUAGGAGGUGCCUUGUUUUCCUAGUAGUAACUUCGAUUAUAAGUUUGUAAGAAUAAUUACUGCUGGGCACAUUAAUAACACUAGCAGGUUUGGAUAUUUAUUUGCAGGCCAAGAUGGCGACCUAUGAGCCCAAGAACAUCCUCAUAACUGGUGCUGCGGGUUUCAUUGCAUCCCAUGUGGCGAACCGUCUAAUUAGGAGCUAUCCUCACUACAAGAUUGUCGUCCUCGACAAGAUUGACUACUGCUCCAACCUGAAAAAUCUCAACCCUUCCCGGCCAUCGCCAAAUUUCAAGUUUGUCAAGGGCGACAUUGCAAGUGCUGACCUGGUGAACUAUCUUCUCAUCACUGAGUCGAUUGACACCAUCAUGCACUUUGCUGCCCAGACUCAUGUGGAUAAUUCGUUUGGCAAUUCCUUUGAGUUCACAAAGAACAACAUAUAUGGCACCCACGUUCUCCUUGAGGCGUGCAAGGUUACUGGCCAGAUCAGAAGAUUUAUUCACGUCAGUACUGAUGAGGUGUACGGAGAAACUGAUGAGGAUGCUGUGGUUGGUAACCAUGAGGCCUCGCAGUUGCUUCCGACAAAUCCAUAUUCAGCUACCAAAGCUGGGGCUGAAAUGCUUGUGAUGGCUUAUGGGAGGUCUUAUGGUCUUCCUGUGAUUACAACCCGAGGCAACAAUGUGUAUGGACCAAAUCAGUUCCCUGAGAAGCUCAUCCCAAAAUUUAUCCUUUUGGCCAUGAAAGGCUUGCCCCUUCCAAUUCAUGGUGAUGGCUCUAAUGUCAGGAGCUACCUGUACUGCGAGGAUGUUGCUGAAGCUUUUGAGGUAGUUCUUCACAAAGGAGAGGUUGGACAUGUGUAUAAUAUUGGUACUGUGAAGGAGAGGAGGGUAAUUGAUGUGGCCAGUGACAUAUGCAAGCUAUUUGGCUUGGACACCGAAAAGGUCAUCAGGUUUGUCGAGAACAGGCCCUUCAAUGACCAGAGGUACUUCCUGGAUGAUCAGAAACUGAAGAAGUUAGGAUGGGCAGAGCGCACUACAUGGGAAGAGGGUUUGAAGAAAACAAUUGAAUGGUACACCAGCAAUCCUGAUUACUGGGGAGAUGUUGCCGGUGCAUUGCUCCCUCAUCCAAGGAUGUUGAUGACGCCUGGAGUUGAAAGGCAUAACUGGACUGAGGAAAUCAAAUCUCUUGCUUCUUCGCCAGCUGAAGCCAAGGAAUGUAGUACAGUACCUGCUGCAGCCACAUCCAAGAGCACCAGCAGUGUCCCUCAAAAGGCCACCUACAAGUUCUUAAUAUAUGGUAAGACUGGAUGGAUUGGUGGUCUACUUGGGAAGAUAUGUGAGAAGCAAGGCAUACCUUAUGAAUAUGGUAAAGGCCGCCUGCAAGAGCGCUCUCAGCUCUUGCAGGACAUUAGAAACGUGAAGCCGACUCAUGUUUUCAAUGCUGCUGGUGUCACUGGAAGGCCAAAUGUUGACUGGUGUGAGACCCACAAACAGGACACUAUCCGCACCAAUGUUGUAGGCACCUUGAAUCUUGCUGAUGUUUGUCGUGAGCAGGGGUUGCUCAUGAUUAAUUAUGCUACAGGUUGCAUAUUUGAGUAUAAUGCUGAACACCCUGAAGGGUCUGGAAUUGGUUUUAAAGAGGAGGACACACCCAACUUUGUAGGUUCAUUUUAUUCCAAAACCAAAGCCAUGGUAAGUUCAAAUAUUUUGUUUAUGAUGUGUAACACAUAUCCUUUUGCUUCUCGUGGAAACAAACUCAUUUGUUCAUACAUACAAUGCAGGUGGAAGAGUUAUUGAAGGACUAUGAUAAUGUCUGUACUCUUAGAGUCAGGAUGCCCAUAUCAUCAGACCUGAGCAAUCCUCGUAACUUCAUCACAAAAAUAGCCCGCUAUGACAAGGUGGUGAACAUUCCCAACAGUAUGACAAUUUUGGAUGAAUUGUUGCCUAUCUCUGUUGAGAUGGCGAAGCGGGAUUGUAGGGGCAUAUGGAAUUUCACCAACCCGGGGGUUGUCAGUCACAACGAGAUUCUGGAGAUGUACAAGGAAUACAUCAACCCAGACUUCAAGUGGACCAACUUCACGCUCGAAGAGCAGGCCAAGGUUAUAGUUGCACCCAGAAGCAACAACGAAAUGGACGCGUCAAAGCUGAAGUCCGAGUUCCCUGAGCUACUGUCCAUUAAGGAAUCUUUGAUCAAGAAUGUCUUUGAGCCAAACAGGAAGGUUUCUACUAAUUGAAGAUUCAUGUGACACAGGUCUGCUAGAAGCUAUUUCCAAUUAGCUAAUAUAUUUCAUGGUGGCAGCUGUGGUCAAUUCCAUUGUGGUAUAGCAGGCAUACAUAUUUACGAUUUUUUGUUACGCAUUACGUUUCACUUGAGAACAGAUCUUAAAAUCUAUGUAGUGGUGGAUAUGUUUGUUGGCCUGGUUAUCUAUGUGAACAGAUCUUAAAAUCUUGUUUCUAUUUAUCAGGUGCCUUUCAUGUGCAUGAUGCUGCGCUUGUGCAUUCUGUUUACGUGUUGUUUUUCUUGGUUUGCAUAUCUGAAGUUUGUAUUGGCAGACUCGACUUAUAUGUGUAGUUUUGUUGGUUCAUAUUUGAAGUUUGCAUCAGCUUCCAAAAACAUGUGCAUUCAGAAGCCCAGAGGGUUUGUCAGUUGAUGCACCCUGAUCAACUGUAAGCUCCUGUCGGCCGUCAAAAGCGACGUUUGAGUAUCACACGCUGAAUUAUUUGCUUGCAGUAGAUUAGUUUGACUUUUGAGUAUCACACGCUGAAAUAUUUGCUUGCAAUAGAUUAGUUUUUGGUGCAGGCUGACGGCGUUGCCAGAGCUUGUCUUUUCCUGCUCCACAAACAUAAUGAUCAUACCGACUGUUUCCAGAGUUCGAGGUUUCCAUAGAUCUGUUCCUGUUUUGUGUAAUCUUCUUGAUCUCUGGCUUUCCCCUUUUGCGCUUGAAACCUCUCUUGCUCGGGGGAUACCAUGGAGUGCGCGCAUGGGACGAGUGGGCUAUGUUUGGUCGUGUGGGAGAGAUUUCUCCGGGUUACAAAGCAUGGGUGCGAUUUUUCUUCGCACAUGCGAAUCCACGGAGGAAUUUCUCAGACACCAUUUGGCACUUCGGGGAUUAGGCUGGGCUCCGUAGCUGUCGUAUGCAAAUGGAAAGAGAACUAGAUAGAAACGAGGCAGUCUUCAACAGCCGGCUCAAAUUCACCAGGCAAUCGUGGAAACAUACUUCGGCUUCACCAAGCUAAUCCUUUUCUUUUACCCCUAAAAAAAGCUAAUCUUUUUUUAGGAAUCAUUUUUUGGACGAUGAUAACACCUGAACGUUUGGUCUUGGAAAGCGUCCCACAGCCCCAAGGGCGUCCCUAUGUCUCGCCUUCCGUGACUCGGACUCGCUGAAGGGGUGACCGAGAUGGUCCGGCCCACGCGCGUGGCAGCCAACAGGCUUUUUUUCUGUUUUUUGUUUUAGUUUUUUGCUUUAUUUUUGUACUUUUGUUUAUACUUUAAAAUAUUCUAAAUAUAUAUAUUACAAAAAACAUUUGAAAAAUAGUGAACGAGUAUUUAAAAAAUGUUGAAUGGGUAUUAGGCAAAUGUUGAAUAAGUACUACAAAAAUGUUGAACAAGCAUUUGAAAAAAUUUGAACGAACGUUCAAUAAAGGUUGAACAUAUAUACAAAAAAUGUUGAUCACUUGCUAAAAAAAUGAUGAUUUUUUUAUCAUGUAUAUAAAAAUGUUGAUCAAGCACCUGAAGAAAAUGUUAAUAAAAAAUUCGGGAAAUGUUAAACAUGUAUAGAAAAAAAAUGUUGAACAUGUAUUAAAUAAAUGAUGGAAAAAAAUUGAUCGUGCAUAUAAACAUGUCAAUCAAGCAUUUGAAAAUAAAUGUUGCACAAGUGUUUGAGAAAUGUUAAUCAAGCAUUUGGAAAAUGUUAAAUAUGUAUAGAGAAAAUGUUGACCAUGUAUUCAAAAAAUGUUAAUUUUAAUUUUAAAACUAUUAAUAGAGCAUUUACAAAAUAUUUAAAAUGUGCGACGAAACUGUAAAAAAUGUUACAAAUAUGUAGAAAAAUGUUAAUCUUGUAUUUGAAAAAUGUUAAAACCAUGUAUAAAAAAAUAUUGAUCAUGUAUUAGAAAAAUGUAUAAUUUGCAUUGAAAAAAUUAGAUGUGUAUUCGAAAAAUGUUGUUGACAUAUACAAAAGAUGUAGAAUGAUAAGCAAAAGAACAAAGAAAACCGAAAAUAGAAACAAAAGAAAUAAAAGGAAAAAAGAAAAUAAAAAAAAACGAAGUAACAAAAUGCAAAAAAUAAUGAAACAGAAUGAAAGAAAAAUUGAGAAAACCAAAAAAGAAACAAAGAAAACCAAAAAAAGAAACAAAAAAAC
rnacentral:lncRNA from 1 species